AUGUUGGACGUUGCCCAAAUUCAAUCUCCAAAUUUCUAAUAAUUUCACGCAUCUGAUCAAAAUCAUAUUGUACAUAACUUACCCGAUCAAAUUUCUAAUAAUCACAGUUUUUUGUCAUUUGCAUUGUCACUGCAUCUGAUCAAAUUCAUCUAAUUUGUAAUUUGCUAUUUUCAGAUAAAAUUAUUCAUCUCAUUUGUAAUUGUACAGAGUUACUUCAGCCGAGUUCAUCGACUUAUUUCGGCAGAAGAAACUCGACGAACCACUCCUCGUGAACCUGAAGACGACACUGUUGACUUUGUUGGCGGUGCUCCAUGAUGCAGAGGAGAAGCAAAUUGUGAACCCUGCUGUGAGAGAGUGGCUUAACGAGCUCAAGCAUGCUGUCUUUGAUGCAGAGGACUUACUGGAUGAGAUUGACACUAAAGCUUUGCGAUGCAAGCUGGAAGGUGAGGAUCAAACCCACAAACUAACCAACAAGGAUCUUUUUCAUUGAAUUAUGUAAUCAAUUAUUCUCUUAUUGUUUUCGCACUGUUAAAGGAGUCAGCCACACAGAAUAAGAAACUAUGGAUGGGAGCAAUCUUAUUUCAUACUAAUUUAAAAUCCCUUUCUUUCUCAACAAUGGAGGAAUUUAUACUAAUCGCGUAGAAAUUAUUAUUGCAUGUUUUCACAUGAUGUAUAAAACAUACAGAGAUUCCAAUGCAAUACUCUUCCAGAAAGGAGAGAUGAUAGAAAUUUUUUUGAUCAUGUAAUUUGUUCGAACAAAAGCGAUCCAGCACAAGUGAGACGUUAUAAGUUUGGAGCUAAUGUCAAUGGCAUCACAAGAAACCUGCAAUUAUGUAUUUUGCAUAAGAAAUAAAAUAAAGACGCAACCAUAUCGUAAUCCAAACAAAGAAAUCUAUAGAUGACUGGAAAAAAUUUCAUUCCAAAAUUGAUGUCAAAAGUACUGCAAUGAGUAAAUGAAAUAACAACAAUUUCACAUAACCUACCCAACUGUCAUUGACUCUACGAAAAAAACCAAGUAAACAAACCCUUACAUUCAGUGAUCAAGAUAUUUCAGCUCUUCCAAAUCAUAGGUGUAUACAACACAAAAUACUUUAAAAGGCUCAAGAUGCACCCAUUCACCACGUCUUCUGGUCCAACAGGCUCCUCCUUCAAGAAUGCUUCAAGGCACUUAUACAGAGAAACAGACUCCUGAGGCUUUUUCGCAAAAAGGCUAGACUUGAAAAUCUCUGCCAAUGAGCUAAGAAGGCGAGUAUCAUACUCUGCAAUGUACUUUUUUGGCCAACAUACAAGCACAUUUAAUUGCUUGGACUCUUCUUUCUCUACUGUCUCAUUCAUUACUAUCUUUUUAUCCUUGGAAGUUCCCUUUUCAUCUGUUAUGUAAAACUGAAAACCAAAAUCCAAAGGUGAGUCAGCCCCAUUUCCAUAGCAGGAGUUCACACCCCCACCUAAAACAGGAGGUGUUGUGUCCUGUGUUCCACUGACUUCUUCAAGAGUGGCGCUCUCUGAACUAUCAAGACAUUCUUGGGAAUCAUUUCUAGGUGUUUGAAAUGGCUUAAGUAAUUUCAAGUACAAAUUGCAGAUAUCUGAUCCACUAGCAGAAUUACAAAGUCUUGAUACAAGAGGAAUUCCAAAGCUUGAUGUCAUUUUUCCAUGCAUGUACUGCCUGACAAUAUAGAACAAAUAAGAGGGUUAAGAGUGGGCAUGUACUGCCUGUCAGAAUCAGCAAAUUGUACACAGGACCCAGUAUGUCAAUGAAGAACUAACUCAUCAGAGAGCAUAUUCCUUAGUCUUUGAAAAUUACGACUACUAGGAGAUCAAAAUGCUAGGUGUAAAUUAUGAAAUAUGUUAGAAUUUGGUAUUUAGCUUGCUGGUUUUAGUGACUGAUUUACAGAACAAAAUAAAACCUUUUGUAAGCAACGUAUGCAGAGGAGAGAAAAACUCAGAGAGAAUGAGAAUGUUUCAGUCUAUUUUUUUUCAUCUAUUGCAUCAGAGCCAAAAACACACUAUAUGCAUGACACAAGCUGCCAAAAAAAAAAAACAGAUCCUAAAAACUAGGACACAAGGACUCAUCUCCAGCCAUUCAAGGUCAUUGGAGGCUAUGAUUCUUACACCUAGGCUAGAAAUCAUUACAGCAUAAAGGACUAGGACAGCUAAGAAUGACAGCUGUAGAGUUUCUCAAAAUAGUAAGAAAACUAGCCGUUGGACAUAUCCUAUAACAGCUAUUACUAUAAGAGGAAAGUUCUUCAGCUCCUUCGAUUCUUCAUCCUCUUCACUGUCAAUCUGCAGGAUUAACAUCUGCAGCUUGAUUCAAGACUAGUAUGCAGCUUAACUCUCAACAGCCUCUCCUAAGCUGCUUACUGGUUUAACUUCAAGCUUCAACCUCAAAUAAUUGAAUCGAUCUUUGGGCAGAGCUUUUGUAAAAAUAUCUGCCAACUGUUCUUCACUUCUACAGAAUCUCAUGUCAAUCACCCCUUCUUGUAAAGCUUCCCUUAUGAAAUGAUACCUUCGGUUUAUGUGCCUUGUUUUCUAAUGGAAAACAGGGUUUUUGACCAUUGAUAUUGCUAACAUGUUGUCACAAAACAAUGGUGUUGCAUCAGGUUGCAUUUCACCAAAAUCAUCCAACACAAACCUUAGCCAGAUAGCUUGAGCAGUUGCCUCAGUUGCUGAGACGUAUUCUGCUUCUGCAGUUGACAAUGCAACUGUGUUUUGCUUGACUGAAGCCCAUGAAAAAACUCCACUACCAAAACUGAAUGCAUAUCCAGAUGUGCUUCUACUGUCAUCUUCACUGCCAGCCCAAUUAAAGUCACAAAAACCAAUUAGAACAGCAUUCUUGUCCUUUGUAAAUUCAAUGCCAUAGCUGAGAGUGCCUUGAAUGUAUCUGAGAACCCUUUUUGCAAUUCUCAUGUGCUUCUUUGUGGGGCUAUGCAUGAAUCUUGAUAACAAACUGGCUACAAACAUUAUAUCAGGCCUGGUUGCAGUCAGUUACAACAGGCUGCCAACAAUUUUUCUAAACAAACCUUCAUCAGCCAACUGACUUCCAUAAACUUUCUUUAGUUUCUCACCAAUGGGUAGAGGAAUUGUUACUGACUUACAAUCCUCGAGACCAAACUUCACAAGCAAGGACUUUGCAUACUUGCUUUGAUGAAUAAACACCCAAUUUUCAGUUUGUAGAACUCUCAUUCCCAAGAAAUGAUGUAGGAGUCCUAAAUCAGUCAUUUCAUACUUCUACAUCAUGUCCCUUUUAAACUCACUGACCAAAGCAUUACUGUUUCCAGUAUAAACUAUAUAAUCAACAUAUAUAAAGACAAUGAUCAGUUUUCCUUCUUCAUCAGUUCUAGUAUAUAAGGUGGCCUCACUGAUGCUUCUUUUAAAAUUGCAGCUAGUUAGAUAGGUGUCAAUUUCACUGUACCAGGCUCUGGGAGCCUGCUUCAAACCAUAGAGAGCCUUCUUCAAUUUAUAAACCUUAUGACUUGCUGUUUUCACUUCAAACCCCUCUGGUUGCUCAGUAUAAACCUCCUCCUCAAGUACUCCAUUCAAGAAGGUUGACUUAACAUCUAAUUGGAACAACUUCCAACCCUUUUGUGCUGCAAGUGCAAUCAAAGUUCUAAUUGUAUCUAACCUUGCCACCGGGGCAAAGGUUUCAUUAUAAUCAAUACUAGGUUUCUGAGCAUACCCUUUAGCUACAAGUCUAGCCUUGUGUUUUUGAACUGUUCCAUCAAGAUUCAGCUUGGUUUUGAACACCCAUUUGACUCCUAUGACUGGUUUAUUUGUAGGCCUUUCCACUAGCUCCCAAGUUCCAUUCUUUUCAAUAGUUUCAAUCUCAGCAUCCGUUGCUUCCUUCCAUGCUUUGUCUUCAACAGCUUCAUAAUAAGUUUCAGGUUCAAUAAUGGUCAUGUGACAUCUUGCAUAAAUGUCCUCCAAACUUUUCAACUUUACUGGUGUAUUGCUUGGAGUUGACCCUUGACUGGUACCACUGCCAUUGCUUUCAGAGACAUGUUCAUCAUCUGAGAUUAAUUGAUUCAGAUUUGGUGAAGCAAUGCUAUGAGUUUCAUGAGAGGUUUCUUCUGUUUCAGUUAUCUCAGAACUUCCAUUUUCAAAGAUGAGAGGCACAUGGACAGUUUCAUCUUGCUUGCUUUCCCAAUUCCAGGAUUUGUUCUCGUAAAAAACAACACUUCUAGAGAGUAUGAUCUUCUCAGUUUGAAGAUUAUAGAUCCUGUAACCCUUAUCACAGCUGCCAUAACCCAUAAAAAUUCCUUUGCUUGCUUUGUCAUCAAACUUCUGUCUGGUUUGAUGGAAUGUGACUGUAACAGAUACUUCCAAACACUCUCAGGUGUUUUACACCUGGUUUUCUUCCUGUGAAAGCUUCAAAGGGAGUUUUGUCUGUAACUGAAGUGGUAUAGCACCUGUUUUGCAGAUACACAGCAGUACCAACUGCUUCAGCCCAGAACUUUACAGGAAUUUUCUUCUCAGUCAUCAUUGAUCUUGCCAUUUCACAAAUGGUUCUGUUUCUUCUUUCAGCAACCCCAUUUUGCUGAGGUGAGUAGGCAAUAGUCAAUUGCCUCUCCAUGCCAAGAUCACUGCAAUACUCAAGGAAUUCAUGUGAAGUGUAUUCUCCACCUCUGUCACUUCUUAGUUUCUUUAAAUUGAAUCCACUUUGUAGCUCAACAAAAGCUUUGAACUUUUUGAACACACUUAUCACACUUGACUUGUUUCUGAGAAAAUAUACCCAACACAUUCUUGAAUAGUCAUCAAUGAAUGUGAUGAAAUAUUUAUUUCCUCCAAUGGACUCAUUUUGCAUUGGACCACAUACAUCCGUGUGUAUCAACUCAAGUGGAUUCUUAGCUCUCCAAGGCUUCUCAUUCUCAAAUGGUUCUCUGUGGCUUUUACCAUACACACAGCCUUCACAUACUCAUUCUUUUUCUGAGAAAUCAGGUAAGCCUAACACCAUUUGUGUUUGCUGCAUUUUUUUCAUGCUUGCAAAAUUCAAAUGCCCCAAUCUUCUAUGCCAAAUCCAUGGAUCUUCUUGUACUGCUGCUUUCAUUCCCAUUGCAAAUAGAUUCCAUAGACAAUGGAAAGCAUCUAUUUCCAGCCAUUGCUACUUUGGCAACAACAUUGUCAAGACUGCUUUCGUCACAUAUUAAUGCAUAGUUUCCUCCAAAUAGAAUGUAGUACCCAUGCUCCAUCAUUUGUCCUAUACUCAACAAAUUCUCAUCUAGACCAGGGACGAACAACACCUCAUUUAUAUAUCUUCUCCCUUUUCUUGUCUCAACUACAAAUAUCCCUUUUCCUGUGGCUUGAACAAGAUCACCAGUGCCCAUUUUCACUUUACAGGUCACUGAUCUAUCAAGAUUGAUCAACAAGGACUCUUGAGAGGUCAUGUGGUUGCUGCAAGCACUGUCAACAAAACACACAGACUUGCUUGAUGCAAUUGAACUUGCAUGACAAGCAUAGAACAUUGUUCCUGUGGUUACGUCUUCCUCCUUUGCACAGUUUGCAACUUGUUUGCCAUUGUCACAGUCCUUAGUUAAAUGACCAAACCUAUUGCAUUUUCCACAUCUAGGUUUGCCUUUGUGCCUGCACACACCAAAAUGAAACUUCUGACAGACUUGGCACUGUGGUUCCACACCUCCUUGACUGCUACUUCCUUGCUUGUUUUGUGAAUUGAAACUGUUGUUCCAAUUCCCUCCAGAGCCAUUAUUCCAAUUUGAGCCAUUAUUGUUGUUAAAGUUUCCACCUUGAGACCAAUUUGAGCCCUUUUUGUUCUGUCCUUUCCAUUUUUGAUUUUGCUUUCCCUGAGAACUUUUGUUAGCUCCAAAAGCGUAAUUAUUUCCAACUCUAAGACUGCUAAAAGCUUUCUCAGUUCCUGCCAAUUUAUCCCUUUCUUCAUGUAGAUCCUCUCUCUUAUCAUAGACUUUGACAGAUGCAAGAAUUUCUUCAACUCUAAUAGUGUCAAGGUCUCUGGUUUCUUCAAUGAUUGACACUAUGGACUUGUACCUCCUACUUAGACUCAUCAACAAUUUUUGAACAAUCCUUUUCUCUGUUACAUCUUUUCCUAGAGAUUUCAGGUUGUUUACAGUUUCAAAAAAUCGAGCCAAGUAGCCAUCCAGAGAUUCAACAUCAUUCAUUCUCAAAUAUUCAAAAUCAGCUCUAAUAGCUUGUAAUUUCACAGCUCUUACCUUUUUAUCUCCUCUGAACUCGCUUCUUAGAAUUUCCCAAGCACCUUUUGCAGUCUUCUCAUUUCUGAUGCGUGGAAAGAGUUCAUCUGUUAGUGCUCCUUGAAUAAGACUCAAAGCCUUGGCAUUUUUGAUCUUAUCUUCUCUGGAGAUAGUAGGUGCUUCCACUGGAAUUUGCUCAGCCUCACUCUCUUCAUCUCCAGUGCCUUCAGAGCCUGCUUCCUGCUCAAUAAUCGGCUGUGGCUGUAUUCCAAUCUCCACUGCAUCCCAUAUAUCAUAUGCUAUGAGGAUAGUCUCCAUUUUUACUGACCAAAAAUCAUAGUUUGAACCAUUGAACUGUGGAGUUCGUAAAUCUCCACCUGCAGAACUUGAUCCCACCAUUUUGAUGUGAGUCUCAGUGAACCACAUAAUAAAAGAGCAACCUUUAUCCCUUAUAGAGAUUUCAGGAAAACCCCCUUUCUCACAGCUCACGCCCCUUCUAUGAAAUCAGACGAGGAGCUCUGAUACCAUGUUAGAAUUUGGUAUUUAGCUUGCUGGUUUUAGUGACUGAUUUACAGAACAAAAUAAAACCUUUUGUAAGCAACGUAUGCAGAGGAGAGAAAAACUCAGAGAGAAUGAGAAUGUUUCAGUCUAUUUUUUUUUCAUCUAUUGCAUUAGAGCCAAAAUAUAUGCAUGACUCAAGCUGCCAAAAAAAAAAACAUAUCCUAAAAACUAGGACACAAGGACUCAUCUCCAGCCAUUCAAGGUCAUUGUAGGCUAUCAUUCUUACACCUAGGCUAGAAAUCGUUACAGCAGAAAGAACUAGGACGGCUAAGAAUGACAGCUGUAGAGUUUCUCAAAAUAGUAAGAAAACUAGCCGUUGGACAUAUCCUAUAACAGCUAUUACUAUAAGAGGAAAGUUCUUUAGCUCCUUCGAUUCUUCAUCCUCUUCACUGUCAAUCUUCAGGAUUAACAUCUGCAGCUUGAUUCAAGACUAGUAUGCAGCUUAACUCUCAACAAAAUAUACCCAUAUUGCGUUUUCUUAAAGACAAAAGUCUUCUUCUUCUUUUUUUUUUUCCGACCAAAAAAAAAAAAGUAUUCAUAUAAUUACAAUCAACCAGUCACUAUAUUCUCUGCUAUUCCCAGAUUGGACACUCUUCUAUGGACAUUCAGCUUCAACAUACACAUGGCCGCAAGUUUAAAUGCAUCUCCAAAAGUACAAGAAACUAUCAUUUUUAGGUAAUAAUGAACUUUCACUUUCAGUUAAUGAAAAAAGGUUAUAUACAAUAAAACCCUUCACAUAGAAAAAAUAAAAAAUAAAGGAAAACAAUAUAGUAUUUAGUGACUUAUUUCAACAAGAACAAAGUAAAAUUAGUUGUGUUGGUGGAAACUAGCUGGUAGGGCUGUUCAGCUGAGGAAACUGCAACCUUAUCCGAUCCAAUGUCUUUCCUGGGUUUCCUUUUGAUUCAAUCUUGUGCAACCCCAUGAGGUUGCUUCAGCCUUGGGUUUGGAUUUUCAUAACCACUAGAAACCAAUCCAAACAACUAAACAUAUUUUACGUAAUAUUGAUAUACUAGGAGGCUACAAUCUUUUGAAUCUCUAAUCAAAAGGACAAAGCUAAUCAAUCUCUAAUCUCUCCAGCAGCCUCUUUUGAAUAUCCUCUCCAACUUAUCUGCCACCUCAAUUCUAUUCCAAUGCCAUUUUCAAGAACCAAAGUGGCAUCACCCACUCUCAUGGUCACAGACUUACAACCCCCUCUCAAUUUAACCUCUAUUCUCCUUCCUCUUUCAUCUCCACUAAGGCCCCAACUCACAAGUACCCUUUCUGAUAUGUUCUAAACUACUACUACCAUACAGAUCUCAGAAUGGGUGGGUUCAGUUUUCAUGUGUGCGCGGCAUUGGGCCACAGACCUUGUAACCUAAAGAGCUCAAUCCAUUAGAAUCUGAGCAUCCAACACAAAACCAAAUGGCAAUGGGUGGUGAGGCCCAAGAUCAUUUAACCCACUAAGGCAAGGCUUCUAUUUCUAAUGUGGGAUAACACUCUCAACACGCCACCUCACAUGUCGCUCUCAUGAGCGUGACAGGGGACCACAUGUUAAGCCCAACGUAGAUAACCUGGCUCUGAUACCAUAUUAGAAUGCAUAUACAUCCAAUCCAAAACGAAUUAGCAAUGGGUGGAGAUUGGAGAGGCACAAGAUCAUUUCAACCACUAGGGCAGGGCUUCUACUUCCAAUAUAGGAUAAUACUCUCAACAAAGUUUGAGUUGUACAACAAAACUAAUCAAACCCAUGAACAACCCUACUGGCUACAUCCGAACAAAACCCAAAUGCAAGUCUCGUAAGUCAACAAAAAUAUGAGAUCAUAAGAAAAGACCAAACGAGCUUCAGAUUGUCAUAGCACGCAGUAGAUGUCAAUAUCAUUGCCCAUAUCAAGAAAACUCUAUUGUUUUGAUAAUUGUUGAUGCAUAAAAAUGGUUCGGCACUUAGUGAUAUUGGGCCUUCGGUAUGCUCUGGGCUUCGAUAGAGCAUGUGAUCUACAAUAUAGCAAAUGCUCGGUAAGACCUAGGGCACCGGUGUGAUACCGGCCGAAAGCUCUCCGAUGCUUAAAUAAGUACGGAUUUAGUAAACUUGAACUGACAGAUCAAUAGGCAGUAUGCCGUAGAUUCUGAUUACCUCCAUUUUGGGGAAUUGUGCUCCUUUUAUAAGGCUUGGGAGGUGUGCUAGUUUAGUAGAUUUCCGAUGUGGGACUGCGGACAUCGAUUGUGGGCUUGCCACGUGUCCUGGAAUAGGAGGUUGCCCAAAUCAAUGAAUCAGUAGACAGGGUGCCGAAGGCUAUUAUGUUCAGGUUCAAACUGGCCCACGUGUCUGGUUCUCAUUGGCAGGUUCAUUUUGGAAAAACAGGAGUCCCCCAAGUUCUCAUUCGAGAGUUCUCGGAUGGGGACUUGAUAUUUUCUUCGGUAAGCAAAAUGUUGUCCUAACGGCAGCCAAGGCGAUUUUCGACUCGAUCGAUCGGUAAUCCAGACUGUUUUCCGGCAUUCAAAGCUCGAAAUAAGGUAUUGUUCGGCACCCUUAUUCAAUACUCCUACUAUGUGCACGUCCUUCCUUGGCAUGAACUAGACUAACCAUAGGGUUCCGUUUGGUAGUCUAGUUGCCAUAGCUAGUGAUGUAGGAAUCGGUAGGCUAGUCUUUUGCAUGGCCCUUAGUUUCCUGUUCUAUGUUUUAUAGAUGUCCGAUAGCGAGUCACCAUUCGAGAGUGAGCCCAAUGCGUUCGAUGGAGAGUCAGCGGAUGGUUUGUUUGAUACAGAUAACUAGGCUGUGAGCCUCGAAGCUGAGGGCGAAGAAGAUACCAAUAUCGAAAUACUCGGUGAAUGCCUAAGCUCCGUCCCUACCCACAGCAUCGGGAAAGGGCUUAUAACAAGGCAACCAGUGCCGUUGGCAGUGGUAUACCAUGACGGUAGUCACGUCGGCAUGGGCCAGCACUGCGAGUUCCAAAUCGGGAACGCCCGGGUGCCAGAGGAGCAUACCGGUCAUCAAUCGGAGGCCUCCACAUCUUGUCGUGGAAAGCCAUCUACCGAACUCGCAUCCCUGCCGAAAGUUACAAUAGUUCAUCGGGGAAAACCUAGGGUGCCCAUGGGCGUGCGGAAGGAAAAUCUUUUUGGGGUAGAUUACCUAGAGCCCAAUAAGAUUACCGAACGGGAGAUAGUCAAGCUUCAUGCUGAGUACCUUAUCCCAGAUUCGGUAAGGAUGAGGAUCCCGGGUCCUACAGAAUCACUCAGCAGACCGAAUGACGGUGAAGUCAUCUUCUUUACCAACGUCUUUCUACAGGGGUUCGAUUGCCGCUACAGCCUAUCGUCCAGAAGAUACUGGCCCAGAUCGGGUAUGCUCUUGGCCAAUACAAUCCCAGUUUUUGGGUGCCGGGGAAGGACAGCCUUCUUACGAGCAAUUCUCCUACCUGUACAGUGUCACGAAGUCCAAGUGUGUCGAUCACAGAGGUUGGGUUCAUGCCAAUUGUCUCCGGGCUUCUGAGCGGGGCCAUUUCGUGAGCACCGUGCCUACUUCUCAGAAGUCCUGGAGAAAUCGAAUGGUGCUCCUAUCUGCCGAUUGGGAGUUGUCAUCGGGACUGCCCAUCCGUUUCCACAUUCCUACCACCUUCCAAAUAGCCGGUAGGUCAACAUGCCGAUCAGUAGGUUGAUAGUCGUCCCUUUCUCAGAGGUCUUAACCUUGCUUUGUUUUCGUUUGAUUUUUUUUGUAGGCAAGAUGAAGCAACUGAGCCCCACUCAAUCAGAGAUUCAUCUGAUCGAUAGGGUGAGGUUGAAAGCUCCUACCGCUGAUAGGGUGUACCCUCAGUUCCUCCUUACCGAGAACCUUUUCAGAGCCAACCUUGUCAGCCAUGCCGAAAGUAAGUGCGCUUCACUUACCUUAUAUGUUCGCUUAUAUCAUGUUGGUUGCUUAUCGAAUGUUCAUUUUUGUAAAGUGACGGAUGCCAGGAGAGCUGCCAAAGCCAAGAGGAUGAAUGAAUCUUCAAGAAGGUACCUCAUGCUGGGCCUAUAGGGGAAAAAGAAGAAUCCGCAACCGGAGGCGGCCCCUAUGCAGGUGACGAACGUCGAUCACAAAUAGCAGACUCUUACCGAGCGACUGCGGCAGUUGAACGGCCAGUCUGUGCAUAAGAAAACUACCGGGACUGACUCAACACCGAAGCGUGGCCAGCCUACUGAAGACACGGCCUCCAAAGCUGCCAGGAAGCGGUCGCUCACAGUGGACCUUGACGCCGAGCCCGUGCCCAAGCGUGGUCGGCCUUCGGACAUCCCGAAGGCUAUCCUUUAUGUCGAAGAUGACGAAGGCCCUACCGAGCCUAUCAACAUUUCCUUGGUUCGCAAAUGGAAUUGUCAAAGAUCGAGGUACUGCCGAAGAAGCUCCUUCGGGAAGAAGCCGGUUGUGCCUUCCGUCUCCAGGCAUAGGGAAGUGCGGUAAGUUUUUUGAUACCCAUGUGUGGCCGCCUUUUGCUUUCAGAAUUCUUCAGAACUUAACUUGUUUUUCAGGAGUCGAUGGACAUGUGGCUGUGCAUGAAGUGGGCCAUCACUACUGCCGAGCGCGCCAAGAAGGCUUACGAGGAUGGCCGUGCAAAGGUUGCCGAGGCAGGCAAGGCUCUUCAACACCACACUCAUCUGCUGAAGGUCAAACAAGCUGCUGAACGACAAGUUAAAGCUUCAAAGGCUAAGCUGGCAGAGAUUAGAGUGGCUCUGGAGACCGCGGUGUCGGUGGCGAGAGAUGCUGAGGAGGCCAAGGCAGCUGUGCAAGUGGCGCUGGAGGAAUCUGAGGCUGCCAUGGCGAAGGCUUCGGAGAUCGAGGCUGCCAUUCAGGAGGCGAUAAGGGGUUACCGUUCAUAUGAGGAGUUCACUGUCCUGCUAGACAGUGAGGUAGGCUUGGAGAUGGCGGAUCUCCUCUAUUGCUUCAAACGGUACAACCCCGGUCGGAAGCUAAACCUCAACUUCAUCGCCGAUCCUCCUCCUCUACCGGAGGGCAUUACCGAGGAGAUGAUCGAAGAAUAUGAGGGGGAGGCCGCUCCGGAGAAGGCCUUUGCUGCCGAGUGCCCUGCUGUUGUCGAGGAAGCUCCUGCCGAUGCUGCUGGCUAGGGGCCUACCGCUUAAUUUAUCUAUUGCUUUGUGUUUAUUUUCUUUGUACCUGCCAUAAAGUAGCUUAUCUGAACACCUUGAUGCCAAGUGCAUCUCUUAAUAUAUUUUGAUAUUUAACUGCUUUUGAUCAUUUGGUAAUUUAUGCUUUCUACCGUUUCUGCAUUCUUUAUUGUCGCCGAGGGCUAACAGUUUUUAAUUGCCGAAGGCAAAUCAUAUGUAUAAAUAAAGAAUUUUCUUCAAUUUGGCAAAUUUGCGAGUGCAGAUAAGAUCGGUAGUAUUGGACUCAUGCCUAUCCACUGCCAUAGGGUAAAUAAAAGUUUAAUUUAUAAGCAUAGGGUAAUUCAUUACCGAUGGUCCCUACCGUAUCUUUUAAAUAAUGAAAAAUAAACAAACAUACCGAAGGUUCUGACUAUAUAUAAGCCGAAGGCCCUUUUCUUUUUCUUUUUUUUAAUUUUUGCCAAAGGCAUGAGUUACAGGUUCAUCAUAUUAUACUUUUGCCCUGCCGUAGGCUAGGUGACUUAUUUAAAAUAAUAUUUCAAAUGCUCUAUGUUCCAAGGAUGACCGAGGGUCUUACCGUUGGAGUCUCUUAGUCGAUAGGUCCCCGAUCGCAGGAUGCCUUUGACCUCAUAUGGUCCCUCCCAGGAAGGUCCGAGGGUCCCUUCUGUGGGAUUCUUGGUUGCCAGAGAGACUUUUCGCGUGACCUAGUCCCCAAUUUGGAAAGAGCGGGUUCUAAGCCUGGAGUCGUAAUAUCGAGAGACGCGCUGCUUCUAUGCCUCAUUCCGAAGGUUGGCUUGCGCUCGGCGUUCUUCGAUCAAGUCGAGGCUUAGUGCGAGUGCUUCCUCGUUCGUCUUUGGAGCCAAGCUUUCCAUUUGAUAAGAGGGCUCGUCGAUCUCCACGGGAACUACGGCUUCCGAGUCGAAGGCUAGAGAGAAAGGGGUUUCUCCGGUUGACGUUCGGUAGGAUGUCCGAAUGGCCCAUAGUGCUUCCGGAAGUUUCUCCGGCUGACAUUCGGUAGGAUGUCCGAAUGGCCCAUAGUGCUUCCGGAAGUUUCUCCGGCUUUGUCGAGCUGCUCCCUUGGCUUUGUCGAGCUGCUGUUUCAGCAGUUUCUUAAUGAUUUUGUUUAUUACUUCGACUUGAUCGUUCGACUGGGGGUGAGCUGGCGAAGCGAAGAACAGAUUGAUCUUGAGGCGAGUGUAUAACUGUCUAAAGAUUUUCGAGUCAAACUGCCUGCCAUUAUCGGUGACGAUUGCAUAGGGGAUAUCGAAUUGGUAGCAAAUGUGAUUCCAGAUAAAGUCUUCCAUCCUAGCUGCCGUUAUGGUUGCCAGAGCUUUGGCCUCUACCCAUUUGGUGAAAUAGUCCACAGCAACCACGGCAUACUUGACCUGGCCUUUGUCUUGCGGCAUUGGACCGAUCAAGUCCAGUUCCCAUUGGGCGAAAGGCCAUGGGCUUAAGAUCAAUGUUAAAGGCUCGAGAGGGAUGUAAGGUAUGUUGCCGAAGCGUUGACAUUUGUCGUACCUCUUUACUAGUGUGAUUGCGUCUUGGUGCAUAGUGGGCCAAUAAUACCCUUGCUUAAAGGCCUUAUGUGCGAGCGAUCAGGAUCCAAAAUGGUCGCCACACACGCCCCCGUGGAUUUCCCGAAGGACGUAGUCCCCUUUUUUGGUGGUGAUGCAUUUCAGAUACGGCAUAGUAUAGCCGCGUUUGUAGAUGACGUCAUUGAUAACUGUGUAUCUUGCCGAUCGGUACCGUAAUUUUCGGGCCUGUGACUUGUCGGAGGGCAGUGUACCGUUUGUUAGGAAACCGUAAAUAGGGGACACUCACAUGUUUUCGUACCGUAUGGUACAUAGCUUGAAAGUUGUCGUGCUAGCUUGAGAUAGGAUCUCUACCGGCACCUUUCUGCCGACCUUGUCAUUCAUUGCCGAAGCUAGUCGUGCCAGUGCAUCGGCAUGACUAUUUUCCAUCCUGAGGAUUUGCCGAAUCUCUUAAGCCUGAAAUGCCUCGAGGAGUCAGUGUGUGGUUGAUAAGUAGGCUGUCAUGGAGGUAUCCCUAGCUGCGAAGUCUGCCGUUAUUUGAUUCACUAUGAGCUGGGAGUCGCUGUGGAUUUGUUUUGCGCUCAUGCUCUUGGCUAGCCGAAGGCCGGCCAGAAGAGCUUCAUACUCAGCCUCGUUGUUGGAGGUUCUGAAGUUAAAUCGGAGGGCAUAUUCGACCUUGGCUCAAUCUGGAGUAGUUAACACCAGACCAGCUCCACAACCUUGUUGAUUUGCUGAGCUGUCGACAUGCAGAAUCCAUACGGGAACGGAAGGGUCGAAGUGUUCGGCAUUCUUCUUGCCUGGCUCCUCGGCAUCAGCGUCUGAACUGGCUGGCUCUGGUGCCACCGAAGGUGUAAGCUUGGAAAUGAAGUCAGCAACGGCUUGCCCUUUCUCCGCAGGUCUUGGUAUGAACUGUAUGUCAAACUCCCUUAACUCAAUUGCCCAUUUGAUCAAUCGGCCGAAUGUUUCUGGUUUCUGGGUUACUUGCCAAAGCGGUUGGUUGGUUAAGACUGUAAUUUCGUGCGCUUGGAAGUAUGGGCGGAGUCUUCGAGCCGAGACUAUGAAAGCCAGGAUUAGCCGUUCCAUAGGAGGAUACCGAAGCUCUGUGCUCUGGAGCACCUUACUGACGUAAAAAAUCGGUAAUUCUGCCUUCUCUGGCUUCCUUAUCAACACCGAGCUGACGGCAGUGCUGGAUACCGAAAGGUCGAGAAAUAGAACUUCACUAGGAAGUGGUUUUGACAAUAGCGGUGCCUUGCUCAUGUAGUUCUUUAAGUCUUGAAAUGCUUUGUCGCAUUCGACAGUCCACGUGAUAUGUUGUUUGCCCCCUUUCAAGGCUUUAAAGAAUGGUACGCACUUAUCGGUAGCCUUGGAAAUGAAGCGUGUUAAUGCCGCGACUCGUCCGGUGAGACUCUAAAUUUCCUUCUAUGCCUUCGGCAUUUCCAUGUCGAUUAUGGCCUUGAUUUUCUCAGGAUUUGCUUCGAUCUCUCUCUGACUGAUCAUAAAACCGAGAAACUUACCCGAAGACACACUGAAGGCGCACUUCGUUACGUUUAGUCUCAUUCGGUAAUCCUUCAGUAUACCGAACAUGAGGGUCAAGUUGUCUAGAUGCUCCCUUGUCGUUUGGCUUUUUACCAACAUAUCAUCAACGUACACUUCCAUGUUGCUGCCAAUAUGUUUGGCGAAAAUUCGGUUAACAAGCCUUUGGUAUGUUGCCCUUGUGUUUUUUAGGCCGAACGGCAUGACAUUGUAACAUACAAUCCUCGGUCAGUGAUGAAUGCCGUAUGCUCGUUAUCGGCAGGGUUCAUAAAUAUCUUGUUGUAUCGCGAAUAGGGGUCCAUGAAGCUCAGCAGCUCGUGACCGGUAGUUGUGUCCACGAGCUGGUCGAUACGGGGCAACGAGAAGCUAUCUUUCGGACAGGCUUUGUUCAGGUCAAUAUAGUCUUGGCACAUUCGCCACCCGCCUUUUGCCUUGCGUACCAUUACCGAGUUUGCUAGCAGAUAGGGUACGUUGCUUCCCUGAUAAAGCCGAUGGCUUUUAGUUUGUCAACUUUGGUACGCAUGGCUUCGUACCAUUCGACAUCGUAUGAACGAAGCUUCUGUCUCACAGGUUUGUAGGCGGGGGAGAUGCUGAGCUUGUGGCUGAUGACCUCAGGGGAUAUGUCUGGCAUGUCAUCAUAAGACCAGGCGAAAACCUCGGCAUAGUGCCGUAUGAACUCGAUAAACUGCGUCCGGAGAAACAGGGCGAGUGUGGUGCCGAUCUUGACGCACCGAUCAUGUUGCUUUUCGUCCAGUAUCAGCGUUUCCAGUUUUUUGGCGGGUUGUGCCUGUGGUGUUGGGGUUUUGUCUCUUGGGUCGUCAAUUAGCCCGUUACCGUUCGGUACCCCCAGGACAGACAUGGUCUCCUAUGGAGGUUUAAUGGCUACUGACUUUAGUGCCGUCUCAUAGCACGUCUGUGCACUAAGUUGAUCUCCUCGAACAGAGCCUGUGCCGUUGUACAUUGGGAAUUUCAUCAACAACAUAUGGGGGGACAUGUGUGCUUUGAUUCCGGUAAGUGUCGUUCGUCCGACUAUGAUGUUAUAUGCCGUUGGGCAGUCGACGAUAAGAAAUUGGUCAUAGGUUAUUGUUUUCCGAGAGGCAACACCGAAGGCGAUGGGUAGACUGACACUGCCGACUGGCUGGACCAGAUCCCCACAGAAACUAAGUAGUGGUGUUAUUUGUCGAUUAACCUGGCUAUCGGCUAUUCCCAUUCCUCUGACAGCAUCGGCGAAAAUUACAUUUACCGAACUUCCAAUGUCAAUCAGUACCCGUCCUACGUCGUAGUUGGCGAUUUCAACUCAAAUGAUCAUCGGGUCAUCAUAGGGGUAAAGGAUCCAUUUUUCCUCUUCUUCACAAAAUGCGAUGGGUUCCCACCCUACCCAUGGAACUUUGCGAUGCCGAUCAGCUUCUAUGCCGAAGACUUGAGGGUAGUGCGCAGCCCGUAUGUAUUGCUUUACCGAUUGAUUGGACAUACCCGCCAGUGUGGGACCUCCACUGAUGGUGCUGAUCAUGUUGAUCUGUCGAUUCCCAUUCGUCACCGGUGCUUGCGGUGGUCUGGCGAUGUACUGAUCCAGCUUAUGUUCCCAAAUUAAGCGUUCGACAAUUUUCCUCAGGCUUAUGCACUCCUCAGUGUUAUGACUGUUAUGCUGGUGGUAUCGGCAUAAUUUGCCGGUAUCCUGAUUGUCCUGCCGAUUGGGCUUUCGGUGGUUCAGCUUUGGUAUUAUCUCGUUUUUGUUUAUCAAAACGGCCUCGUAGGUGGUAUUUAGCAGGGUGUGAAUACUUCUUGACCGUGGUCGUAAUUCGGUAAGGGCGCCCGGUGGUCGUUGCGACCGUAUUUUCCUUUUUCUUUCUUUAAGUUCCCCUGCCGAGCGUCUCGGUCAUCUUUCCGUUUGUGCCCUGCCGAGGAUUCGCCAGUUCUUCUAGGGGCAUAUGAAAAUUCUUGCCCGGGGUAACUCUUCAACGCUGGUUCUUGCUGAUACGCCGAAGGCCUGGACUUUGAGUUGAAAUACUCGGCCUUGGCAUGAAUUGCCGCUUGCUUCAUCAGCUCGUCAUAGGUGCGCCAGUUGCUACUGUGCAUGAGGUACCGAAAGUGUGAGGACCGAAGGCCACUCUGAAGGCACCGUAGGCUGCCCUGUCGUCUGUUUCCGAACACCUCGAGUACUCGUGAAUGAAGCGUGCAGCAUAUUCUCUCAAAGGAUCAUCUUCUCUUUGCCGAAUCGUGUACAGAUCAUCGGUAGAAUACAGAUGGUCUGUCUGAAUCACAAAGUGAUUAAGGAAAAUCUGCUUUAAAUCGUCGAAGGAGUCUACCGUUCCUGGCUCCAGACGGUAAAACCAAUUCAAUGCCGCCCCCAUAAGCGCGGACGGAAACAGCAGGCAUUGCCCUUCGUCGCUGAGUCCCUUGCAUCCUAUUGCCGAUUGGAAGGAAUGGAGAUGCGUUACGGGUUCUUCCACCCCGGUGUAGAAUGGUAUACGUAGAGGCUGUAUCUCUCUGUCCUGCUGUGACCGCUUGAUUCGUUCGAUAAAUGGUCCUAACCGAAGCUUUCCCAGUCUGGUUCCUAAGAACGAACUCGGUCGUUUUCCAUCUUCUGGACUCUCUGAAAAAGGAGACGGACGACGAGAUCUCGACUAGGUACUUCGUGGGAGCUAUAGUCCUCCGAACGUCUCUAUGGGCUUACCAGCCUGGCCUCCGAGUACCUCGUUGGCGUUGCCGAACAGUAGAUAGACUCGCUGGUAUUGGAAGGGACAUACUCAGAGUUUGAUUCGGCGAUGGAUUGUAAGCCCCGAAUCUUCCGAAUUGGUGACUUACCUCCCAAAUCCUUCAAUUGUAAGUCUCGAAGUUGAGCAUUGACUCUGAUCGGAGAUCACUGUCUGUCGACCUCCUUGUCGUUAAGACGAUGAUGGCAAUCGGCAUAAACUUUCUUCGGUAGAUGGGGCUGAUCUCUGGGUGCCGGAACUACCAACUGCUUGGAGGGCGUAGGCGUUACCUUUGCCCCCUUCCUGCCCUUCUUCUGCCGACUAGGAGUCUGCAGACUCUGGGAAGAUUGGGUGGUUUGGAUAUUCUGCGUUUGCUAUUGAUUGAGCAAUUGCUGGGUUUCGUCCACUUUAGACGAGAGAAGAUUGUUAUGUUCUUGCAACUUAGCCAUGUCCUGCCGAAGAAAAGUGAUUUGGGCCAGAAGCUCUGCUUCAGCAGUGGUUUGAUUUACGGGUGAAUUAUCGAAAGGUGUGCAAAGGGGCAGCGCGGGGCUUGCUCCGCUUUGCCUUCCGAACGGUAAUCCAUUUUCCGAUAAGAACGUUGGUACUGAGGUGGUCCCCAUAUGUUCUGGGAAUAAUGGGUCGAUUCUUCUCGCUUCCCACAGACGGUGCUAAACUGUUGAUGCGUAAAAAUGGUUCGGCACUUAUCGCGCUCAACUUAGUGAUGUUGGACCUUCGGUAUGCUCUGGGCUUCGAUAGAGCGUGUGAUCUGCAAUAUAGCAAACGCUCGGUAAGACCUAGGGCACCGAUGUGAUACCGGCCAAAGGCUCUCCGAUACUUAAAUAAGUACGAAUUUAGUAAACUUGAACUGACAUAUCAAUAGGCAGUAUGUCGUAGAUUCUGAUUACCUCCAUUUUGGAGAAUUGUGCUCCUCUUAUAAGGCUUGGGAGGUGUGCUAGUUGAGUAGAUUUCCGAUGUGGGACUGCGGACAUCGAUUGUGGGCUUGCCACGUGUCCUGGAACAGGAGGUUGCCCUAAUCAAUGAAUCGGUAGACAAGGUGCUGAAGGCUAUUAUGUUCAGGUUCAAACUGGCCCACAUAUCCGGUUCUCAUAGGCAGGUUCAUUUUGGUAUAAACAAUAACCUUACCUGAUGUUACAUUUGUUUUCGCAUCCAAAAGAAAAUCUUCAAAGUUUAAUCACUUUCUGAGCCCAAUAAUUCUAGUCUCAUUGGCAUAAAGUAAACCGCCACAUACGCAUCUCAACAAAAGUCUUUCAUAGAACUAAACUGUUUUCGGUAACAUCCUUUUCUUUCACAAUAACAGUAAGGAGCACCCACUACAGUAAAAACCAUUCACAUCCAUGCAAUGAAUGUAGUGUGGUUGACAAAUACCUUGAAGUUGCUUUAACAUAACAAAUAUUGUGAUUCUAAAAGAAAUCAUGUGUGUUACGUGUCCGCGCAUGAGCUUACCUUCUAGACUCCACGAAUAUAUUUGGAUCUGUUCUUCCUUCCCUUGAGUUGCUUCCUUGACUUUUCCACCUUUGUAUACAGUACAUUUUGCACAAGGAGCCAAGUUUGAGAGAGCAAUAAACAUAUAGAGAUAAAUAAAUAGAGAGGGAGAAAGAGAGGGAGCGAGCUUUCUGUAUUUACACCAUCCAUGAGAGAAGAAAAAAAUUAUUUCAUGCCAAACUAACUACGGAUUCUUUAAUUGAAAGAAACCACAUAUUAAUCAUCCUUUGGCACAUAAAUGUCCCGGUAAUUGUCACUAAAUUAUCUAAAGCUUACAGAAUUAAAGAUUUUGAUGCAAACCUAAAAUUUGAAAAAAGGGCACCAAUUCAUGAAAAAUAUGGUGUAUUUAGUAUUAGGGUGUACCAGGGGUAUUUUUGGUAGUUAAAUAGGGUGUAUUUAAUUAAUUUUACAUUUUAAUAUAAAUAUUAGAGUGUACUUAGAUCAUAAAGUGUACUCAGAUCAUAAAGUGUACUCAGUUAAUUUUAAGAUUCGUUUAACAACACCCUUUUAUAUGUACAAAUUUUUUACAUUUUGAUUUUGUCUUUACAAUGUAUCCAUUAAUAAUUCUAAGAAUAUGAAAAAUAUUGCAACUCUUCUUUUGGUGAUUGAGAAUUGACUUGGUGAACUCUUAUAUAGUGUUUGUGCAUAAAGGUCCUUGACAACUUUCUCUCGUGUAAUUGCACAUGAACCUCUAAUCCUUUUUCUUUUUUUCUUUUUUUUCUUUUUUUUAAAAAUUUUUUUUUUAGGGCUACAACUAAGUAGAUCCAACAUAUUUUUUUUAACAACCAAGGACAAUCAUCAUAUUUUUUUAAGAACCAAGGAGAGCUUACAUUCUAGUUUGUCCAUCAUGUCAACACAUUUAUAAGUAAAACUUUUUUUUUUUGUGAGGUUUCAAUUUUGGUGUCACUGUAACCACUGGCGGAUCUACAGAGGCGCAAGGAGGUGCAGCUGCACCUCCCCUCACAGGAAAAUCACUUGGAGAAGCUGGAAAUGCCCCUCUGCUACUGCCCACCAGCUGUUCGAUUAUUUGCUCUAGAGAAGCUCCAGGCAGCAGCUCCUUUGCGUAGGCUGCAGUGCGCAGGGCUGCUUGGAUUCUGUUUUUUUAAGUGAUAUGUCCAAAACGCAUAGUUUUGGUCCAAGUGAAAACAAAAAUAAAAUAAAAAGAAAGGACCAACCUCAGAUGAGUUUCAAUCGAAAUUGGAUAUCCCAAAUAAACCCUAUCAUCCCCAACUCUUAACCUUACCCCUCCACACCUGAACCACCAUUACCCACACUGGCCAACUUCCCAACCACAUUCCUUUUUUCUCAAUCCUCCUUUGCCUCCAUCAUCCAUUAGCUUUUCUCUUUAUGCUUUAAUUAAUUAAGAUGGAUUGUUAGGUUUUGGUUAAUUGAUUGAGUUUUUGUACAGAUUUUUUUGAAUUUAUUUAUUUGUAUAUAUUUUUAGUUUUUAAUUAAUUAAUAAAGAUUGUUGUGGUUUGAUUAAAUGAUUAAUAUGGUGAUCGGUUAAUAUGAUUAAUAUAGUGUUUUUAGCCUUUUAAAUAUUGUUUAAAUUAUCAGAUUGUUUGGUUGUUUUUAUUUUGUUAAGCUCCUUUGAAAUACUGCCCCUCCUUUGAAAAAUUUCUAAGUCUGCCGCUGACUGUAACAAGACCACAAUUGCCAUUCAGUAUGCUAACAUUGUCACUAUGUUUGCCAAUUGAAUAUUAUUUAGAACAUGAAGGCUUUGGUGUUUUAUAGAUCCUCGGAGAGCCAAACCCGUCUUUAUAAAAAUGGUCCUUAUCAAGGGCUGAACCAGGAAUUUUUCAACGAGUGGGCUAGCUAAAGUUAUUAGCUUAAAAUUUAAUGAUUAUUUUUUUUGGUACUUCCAAUUUCUAUAGUCUUUCUAGAAAUAAAAGUAAACAUUAAAUCAUAUAUACCAAGCUAGUUCAUAGCUCCAUAGACUAAUUUUCAAUAAGUUUUAACAUAAACUAAAUAGGGUUUAACACCAUAGUGGAUUGAACAUCUAAGGCUUUUUACCUAGAUUGACUUUAGGUUCCUUCAUGCAUUCAUAUCAUACAUGAAAAGUUUUUUUAUGUAAAAAUAUUGACUAAGUAUGAAAAAUGGAUUUUCGGAAUAAUCAUCUUUUCAAGAUAAUUUUUGGCGGCUUUUAUUCCUUACACAUCAAAUAAGAAAACUUGAUUUUAUGGGAUUUUAGUAUGAAAUAUAUAUUGACUUAAUGAGCCAUCAUUUUUAGCCUAAAUCAUAUUUUGCACUAAAACCGAUUUUUCAUAUUUUGAUUUUGUGGGAAUUUGAUUUUCUAGUAUUUUUAUUUUAAUCCAAAUGGGGGGUACUUCCUUAUUUACAUUGUAAACUUAAGUAAAUGGAAUAAUAUAAAAAUAAAUAAAAGUAAAAUGACAAAGACAAUAUGUACAGCUCCACUAACUGGGCUAAUAUUGAAAAUAAGUUAAAUAUAUAGGUUUUAUAUUUUUUUUCCUAAAAAAUCACACUAGGCUACAGCCCAUUGUAGCCUUUAUUGUGGUUCCGCCCAUGAUCCUUAUGAUACUACUUUAACAACAACAAAAAAGUAUAAUAAACUAGUCCUUUGUAGUCAUUGAAUGGAUGUUUUGUCAUGGAUAUGACUAUUUAAAUGUAAUUACAGGAUUAAAACAAUAUAAAUUGGAGUAAACUAUAACAUUAUAUAUGAUCCAAUCUUUUUCAUAUAUUUUUGUUCAAGACUUUGUUUUAGAAUGCUCUAUUACUAAUUUGGUACAGGUCCCUAAAAUCUAUGCCUUUAUGAGGCAACGUCUUUAUUUCUUUGGUUAUUCCAGUUUAGAAUAUUUGCACAAAUGACAUGACUCCCAACAUAAAGUCACAUUCAACCAAAAAGCAUGAAAUCACACAAAAAAAGAACACGGACAAUUGCUAAGUUUAUCCUUGUAUUUUUAUUUUAUUGAUCUGACCCAAUUGAAAAAAAAAAAAAAAGAUGAUAAAAUAUAUUGUUCAUUGCUUACAUCUAUGAGUAAAGUCCUCCAUUUGAAAUUGCGUCAUUAUACAAAAUUGGAAUGAAAAAAAGAAAAUCCUACAGCUAAAUUUGAUAUAUUUCCUUUUCAUUUUAUGCUGGGUGUUUAAGUUUUCGUUGUUUCUUGUUGAAAAAAAAAUGAAAAUAAAUAAAUAAAUUCCACAGCUAGCAACUUCUCCACCUACCCUUCUUCCAACAACAAGGGAUGCCUUCGAUCCAAAAAAAAAGACAAGGGAUGCCAGGUCAGCAUCUCAAAUAAGUAUCACAACCAAAAUCAAUCAAAUCAUGACAUUUGUAUCUCUUUUUUGUGUUUUGUUCUAUUUCUCUUUGAAUUAACUGCAGAGUUUCAUGAGCGUGUCCUCCUUUUAAAAUUGUGUAUUAUUCAAAAUUGAAAUUUGCUGGUCAUACUUGAUAUCAGCUAAAAAAGUUUCCAACAUCUUGUAUCAGUUUUUUCCAGUGUGGGUCAUAAUUUGAAGAAGUCCACCGACAAUUUCUCAAAAGCUAUUACCAUAUUAUUACAUCCAACUUUGAAAAAAAUAGAAGUUUUCAAAAGUUACCCUAAACAACAGUCCUUGAAAGAGAGAGUUCUCCAAGGCUGAAGAUUACAAGGAUGUUAUUUACAGUCUCAACAAGCUUCAAAAUUGGAAUUUGCAUUGUGAUAGUUGAGUGGAGGACAGGCUUGAGUGGAAGAAUUGAUUAAUGAUGGUACAGAGCCAAUGUGGAGAUUGUUGAUUAGUGGCUCAUUUAGUAGUCAAAAGUGGAAAUCACUUUCGGUGAUUUUGUUUACUAUAAUGAUAAGUGGCUUGUCUUUGCAUGGUAAGUGGGCUGCUAUCAUAAUUAUUGAGUGGAGCACUUGCCAAAGUAGAGUUGUUGUAGUUUAUUUUUCACUCACUGAUGGUUGACGCUUUCGCACAACAAACGAAUCAUCCAUUCCAACUUUUGUUUCUUCUUUUUUAACUAAAUUUUGAAUUUCAACGAGUUUCGCACAUUACUAUUUAAUAUUAAUUUAUGUACUUGUACAUACAUUGCAGUAAUAUAUAUUAACAUAUAUAUAUAUAUAUGUUCAGAGUUCAACAAUAAUAUGUACCUACAAACAGGGAUGGGGUCAGAAAAAAUAUUCAUUGGGGGCAUCUCCAAACAAUAAAGUAAGAGUAGAAAUUUCAACAACAUACUUAAAGACAAGUUCAUACAUUAAUGCAUAGAGAAAUGCUAGCAACCUUCUCUCUAACCUUCUCCUUUUGACCUUCUCCAUUUUUUGCUUGACAUGUGUCAUUCUCCUUACACUUAAAACAAUGUCAUUAAUAUAUUAUACAAGUUAACUUUUGCUUUCCAACCUUACCCUUAUUAAAUAUAUUCAAUUUAUUCAAAAAAAUUUCACAACUUUUUUACCAUCAAUUUGUUUUUUCAAGAAAAUGUCUAAUUUUUUCAUGUCCCUUUUUUUUAAAAAAAAAAAACACAAAGGACUUUUUAAAUAUAUAUAUCUAAACCCUUUGUGUUUUAUAAAUUUUUUAAAAAAAAUCCAGACAUUUCCUCUUAAAAGUAUAUAUUUUCUUUUAAAAAAAUAAUUGAUGUUAGAAAAAAAAUUAAUAAGAUGGUAAAAAAGUUCUGAAAUUUUUUUUGGAUAAAUUGAAUACAUUUAAUAAGGGUAAACUUGGAAAGCAAAAGUUAGCUUGUAUAAUAUAUUAAUGACAUUGUUUUAAGUGUAAGGAGAAUGACAUAUGUCAAGCAAAGAAGAGAGAAUGUCCAAAGGAGAAGGUUAAAGAGAAGGUUGCUAGCAUUCCCCUUUGGUUUUAAAAGUUAGCAGCAAAAGACAAAAUGUAGAAUCUGUUUCUAUACUAUAUUCCAACAAAUUAGAAAAAUCAUCAAACCAAGCAGGAUUAAAUCUUCUUAAUGUUUUUCCAAAUUGCUUGUAAGGGAAAUUAUGGACUCUAGGCUAACAAGGACCUUUUUGCAAAUAUGCUCUCCUAACUUGAUCUCUAACAUUAAGAUUGUAAGGGAAAACCAAGUAAACUUACCUUACCACCACGGACAUUGAGAAAAGAAGAAAGACCAGCAAGCAACUGUUUAGAGGAGGAGGAGAAGAAAGAGUCGUGGGAGUGGGUGAUGUGGGAUUUGGUUUUGUAAAGGCUUAUUAUCACAAAACAUUCCUGAGAUUUGCGAAACUAUCAAAUUGCGUCCUUUAUGUUUUUUUUUGUCAUUUAUAGUCCUUAAGGUUAGUAAGUGUCCUCACAAAUAGUCCUUACUGUCAGAUCCGUUAAAAAGUCUGUUAAGUUGAUGAUGUGGCACAUAUGUGGAUCUCACAUAUCCAAUAAUAUGACGUCACGUGGAUUAAAUAAAAAAUACAUUUUAAAAAAUAAUUUCAAAUUAUAAACCAUUUUAAAAAACUUAAAAAAAUUAGAAACCUCUAAAUAAAAAAAUCACCACCCCCUUCAUUGCACCAAACCCCCACAUCCUUCGUCCAAAAACAAAAAACUCCCAUAUCCAGCCUCCUCCAUAUCCCAACCUGUUAUCCCAAAUCAACACCCACAACAGCCAACCCAAACCUUGAUAUGCCAGGAACCUCACCCACUGCCCGUCUAAUCUCCACCACCAAAGGCCAAAAUUGGAUGGUGGUUAGUAAAAGCCAAAUGAGUGGGUUGGGUGGGCUUAGUGGUUGUCUGGGUUUGCUUGGAGGGGAGGGGGGUGGAGUUUAGGUUGGUUGCUGUCAAAUAAAGAGAGAAUGGAACAGAGACAAAAAGGGAGAAAAAAAGAGGAGGGCGGGGUAGUGGUGUGGAGGGUGGGUGAGGAUAGGUGCGAGAGGGAGCGAGAGAGGAGAUGUGGGUGGGAGUGAGGAGAAAAAUGGGGGAAGGAAGAAUGGUAGGGGUUGGGGUUUAGUGCGUUGGAGAAGAUGAUGGUGAUUUUUUGUUUUUUAUUUUUAAUAUGUUUUCUUUUCUUUUAAGUUUUUUUAAAUUUUUUAUAAGAUUAAAAUGUUUAUUUUAUUUGUUUAUACCAAAAUGAACAGUCUAUGAAGACCAGACACGUGGACGAAACUGAACCUGACCAUGGUUGUCUUUGGCACCAUGCCUACCGAUUCAUCAAUUAGGACAACACCCUUUCCUGGACACAUGGCAGGUCCACAAUUGAUGUCCACAGUCCCACAUCAAAAUCUAAACAACAUGCACACCUCCCAAGGCCUAUAAACGAGAACCCUUGUCCCAAAAUAGAGGUAAUCAGGACUUACGGCAUACUGCCUAUUGAUAUGUCAAUUCAAGUUUACUAAAUCCGUACUUACUUAAGCAUCGGAGAGCCUUCGGCCGGUACCACACCGAUACCUAAGGGUCUUAUCGAGCGUGUGUUAUUUUACAGAUCACGUGCUCUGCCGAGGCUCAAAAGCAUACCGAAAGCCCAACAUCACUAAGUUGACCUCACAAACUGCCGAACCAUUUUUGAGCGUCAACAUUAUUUAAUCCACAUGGCGUCGUAUUAUUGGAUAUGUAGGACUCAUAUAUGUGCCACAUCAUUGACUUAACAGACUUUUUAACGGAAUCUGACGGUAAAGACUAUUUAUGAAGACACUUAUUAAUCUUAAAGACCAUAAAUGACAAAAAAAAAAUAUAAAUGACAAAAUGUGAUAGUUUCGCAAACCUUAGAGAUGUUUUAUGAUAAUAAGCAUUUUGUAAAUUGUAAUGCUUUUUGACCAAAAAAAAUAAUAUUAAAAGGAAAGGAAAGCUGAAUAAAAAAAUUUGAGUGGGUUUGGGGAGUGUAAAAGGAAUGUUUUUAUCAGUUUAAAUGGGUUUGGGUGAAUGAUUGCAUGUGGGUGAGUGGGGAAACGUGCACCCAGUGGGCCUAUACGGGCUCCGUAUAAUAUUGUCUUUACUCGAGCUCAAUGUCCAUGGUGCAUUGUGCAUGCAUUCAUGUGAAAUUUGUGGUUGGCAAAAGGGGGCUUGGCAGGGUUGAUGGACCUUUUUGGGUGUUAUGCAUGGAAGACUACUUGUUGGCACUUCGAGUUGCUGAGGAAUUUUGUAUACCGUUAUUUGUUAGCACCCAAAAUACACAAAAAACACGGACAAUUUGCUAAGUUUAUCCUUGUGUUCACUAGUUAGAUCCAUGAGCAUUAAAGUCCUCCUUUUUAAAUUAAGUUAUUAUUCAAAAUUUGAAUUUGUUGGUGAUAGUUUUUCUAUAUAUAUAAAGCAAAAGGAAUUGAUUAAUGCAAACAUUAAGAAUUAAAAUUAUUAAUUAAAUGAGGAUAAUAUGAUAAAUUCACACUUUUUUUAUCUAUAUACAUAAGGAAUUUAUAUAAUUUCGAAGAAUGCAAGGAAUCAACUUUCUCAAAGUUAAAGACGUCGUAUACACAAACCCACAAUUAUCCUCUAUGUUGUUAUUUAAUCAAGAUUUUAGAUCUGACAAAGAAAAAAAAACUAGAAUUAACCCAAAAUCGAAGAAUGAAUUUCUACAAGAGGGAGGCUUACAAUUGAAAUUGGAAAAUUUGUACAAACCAAAUACGUAAAUUUGCAAAUAGGAUAGAAGAAGUCUACUACUUACAUCAAGUGAAAUCGAAACUAACUCAAAAUUUAGCUACAAAUUGGGAAUUUAAGAAGAGAAAUUGAUAAUUCCUUCGUUUGACAACUUAAGUGCAGAAUUUAUUAAAUGACACGAGGAAAAAAUCGUGGAAAUUAAAGCAUCAAGUUUCCGAGUUUAAUUUCUACCAAAAUAUGAGUCAUUUCAUAAUUUUCAUAGUGUCAUUUACAAAAAUCUAUCAUUUACAAAAUUCGACAUACAUAAAUUCAAACACUAAAACCUUCAAUUGCCAUAAAUUGAAAUGAUGAAAAUCUGAAUUCUGUUAUUUUAGAAUUUUAUGUAAUUUUUAAUUUUUUCAUCCAAAUGAAAUAUUGAUGUUAAGUGAAUAGACAGAUAUCAAUAUAAUUUUUUUUUGAGAGUACAAAUGUCAAGAUUUUAGGUAAGGGACAACGAGGAUACAGAGAAAAUGGGACAAAAGAUGUGAACCCAAUUAUAUACAGUUUGGUUAGCGAGGAUGAAACCAUAAAGUUCCCCAAAACACACAAAGAACACGGACAAUUGUUAAGUUUAUCCUUGAAUUCACACAUAUUUGCACAAAUGAGAUUACUCCAAGCAUGACUAUACCAUUUGUUGGUUUAAUGUGAAAAGUAUGGACAACGAGGGUAAAAUCAUACAAACACACACAAAGAACAUGAACAAUUGCUAAGUUUAUCUUUGCGUUAUUUAUCCGACCUAACUGUAAAAUAAAAAAGAUGAAAAUAUAUAAUGUUCAUUACUUAGAUCUAUGAGCACUAAAGUCCUCCUUUUCAAAUUGCACAAAACAUCACUUUUGGUCUUUGGUAAAUUUUUAAAAUAAAUGAAUUUUUUACUUAUUUGUGAACUGAAAUGCCUCUAAAAAAAUAAUGAUAGUUCAAAGAAUUUGAUAGAAAUUAAAAAAUAUCCUCAAAUUACUUGGAAUUGAAGACCACAUAGGCAAAAACACCAAAUUGAAACCUCACUUUAAUGAUAAAAAUUGUAAACUACAAAGACAAAAAUGACGUCUUGCCUUAUGCAUAAUUGGAAUUUGCUGGUGAUAAUAGUCGAUAUCAUCUUUUGUCGGUCCGACCUAAAAAGAAGAAAAAGUUGAAAGCAUCUUGUACCAUUUUUGCCAAUGUGGGUCCAAACAAUUUGAAGAAGUCCACCGACAAUUUCUCAAAAGCUAUUGUGUGAGUGUUGUGAAGCCACUACUACAAAAAGCGAAAAAGACGACCAGAAAACAACGACGGUCUAAGUGAAAACCGUCGUGGUUUUUAAAAAGACGACGGUUCUAAAAACACCGUCGUGUAAUACCACCUUAGACAACUAAAAAUGGAGAUUCAAAUGGCUGUUCAAAAACAACGACGUACCUAAUUAAACAACCGACGUCUAUUUGAAACAAAUUUCCGCAGUGUAAAAUCAAAGCAAACAAAUAACGGCAGAAGUUAUGAAUAGACCGACGUAGAAAGUAAAGACGACGAUUUCAAUAAAAGCCGCCGUUUUUACUCAUAAAAUAACACGACGAGGUUUUCGUAUAAGACGCCGUAUAAUUACAAACAAAUCCACGGCUUUAAAAUACAAAAUAAUCUUAACAGAUGACACAGAUUUGCAAUCAGAGAGACAAUUUUUUGGAAGUUGAUCAACGUCGUUGCAAAUUUGCAAUCAGAGAGACAAUUUUCAACAACGGUUAUAUUAUACCUAACGACGUUUAAAAACAAAUCAACGUCGCUCAACAAAUAUAUUACGUCGUCUUAGUCUUACUUAAGACGACGAAAAACGACGACAGUAGUACAAAAACAGUCGUUGUUUUUAUAUUCUUAUUUUAUUUAAAUCUGUCGUGUUAGUUAAAAACGACGGCAUAACAAAAAACCGUCGUUUUGUUUCAAACUGAAUUAAUUUAAAAUUUCUUCAGGAAAGCAAAAUCUAUUUAUAAUUUCCUCGGGUUAGUAAUAUUGCGUCGUGUUAGUUUACAAAUUCUAGAACAUUAAUUUCCCUCAUUUUAAAUUUCCUCGGGAAAGAAAAAUCUAUUUAUCACGCUUUGUAAUUGAAAACUAAAACUGAAAGAAUUAUGGAAAAAAAACUCUAUUUAUAAUUUAAAAAUAAAAUCCACGUCGGUUGUAUUACACUUAACGACGUUUAACAAAAUAAUCUACGUCAGUAAUUAUAAAUCUACCGCCAUCUUACCUUAAUAUAGACGACGAGAAAAGCAUUGACAAUGUCUUCAUCAUAUCUCCCAGCAACUACUGAUUCGAUUGCUCAUGCUUUAGAGGCCAUCUGAAGCCAUUUCUAUUCUUUAUCGCAUUCUUGAAACCCAUCUUCUUCUUCUGAAGCUCUACGGAUAAAGGAAGAGGCUAUCACAAAUCUGACGGAUCUUCUUAGUCAAAAAAAUCAAGCAGAGGAUCAGGCACAUCUGAUCUUCAGAUUUCCCUGAGAAGCGAACUUUCCUUCGACAGCGAGUGGAGGCCAGGCUUGCAUCUCUUUUGAUGGAAAGCAAGGAGUAUUCAAAAGCACUAAGUGUCCUAUCAGGCUUGAUCAAGGAAGUGAGAAGGCUAGUUGACAAGCUUCUUCUUGUCAACUAGCCUAAAUGUAAGCUCAAUUUCUCUUUGAGAAAGACAUCCAAAUUAUUGUCUUUGAGAUGUGAGAGACAGUGUCUCUGAGAGAGGAAGAACUUGGAACCCUAAAUGUAAACCGCGAAAAUGAAUGAAAGCGACAAAUUUAUAGAAUAAAUUUUUAAAACCAACGGCGGUCCUUACCAAAAAACCGCCGUUUAAAUUGUAAAAUCAACGUCGGUAUUACCGACGUAUAUUACAGAACUCCACGUCGGUACAUUAAUAAUCCCGACGUCUUAAAUAAUCUACCAUGACGCGAGUUAUUACUUAUGUACUUUAAUUUUUGAGUUUACUACGACGGUACCUACAACACUACUGUCAUAUUAUUUUACCACGUCCGAAGUUAAAUUUACUGUCGUAUUUUGUACUUUAUACGUCGUAGUUAUAUGUAACCGCCGUAUUAUUUUUUUGAAAUGGUUUUAUAUGUAAGCAACUUUUCGUCUACUUGACUUACACAUUCGUUGUUUUUAUAUUCUUAUUUUAUUUAAAUCUGUCAUCCAAAAAAGAAACUUUACAUAUUCCAGAAUAUUAAUUUCCUUCGUUUUAAAUUUCCUCCGGAAAAAAAACUCUAUUUAUAACGCACUGUAAUUGAAAAAUAAACUGAAAGGUCACGGGAAAAAAAUUUCUAUUCAUAAUUUAAAAAUUAAAAUCCACGUCGGUUAUAUUAAACCUAACGACGUUAAAUGAAAUGAUUCCACGUCGAACGAAAAAUAUUGCGUCGUGUUAGUUAAAAACGACGUAGUUAAAUGUAACCGCCGUAUUAUUUUUUUGAAAUGGUUUUAUAUGUAAGCAACUUUUCGACUUACACAUGCACUGUUUCCAAACCCGAUUAAAAAUUUCAAUCUCCCAGAGAAACCUUUUCGUCUUUUUUCCUUGUCAAAGCAUUGUCAGAGUUUCUCAUCGUCUUCCUCUCGUCUUCUUCGUCGUCUCUGAAUUUAAACAUCGAUCAUCUUCCUCUUGCUUUCAUUGCACGCAAAAGGUAAGCUUUCAUUUUCACUAUUUUGGUUACUGUUUUGCAUGCUCAUACGUUUUUUGUUUGAAAAAUCUUUUUACCUUUUUUCUGGCCAAAAUCAUUUUACUUCUUUCCAAGUUUGAUAAAAUAUACAGACAAAGAGGGAAAGUUUCCAACUUUGAAGACAACUACCUCAACUAAAUAAGACGACGGUAGACCACGACGGUUCGUCAGUUGUUCUAGCGUCGUCUGAAAAUUGACAAAGUUGUUUUUAAAAUAAUAGUCUUUUUUUAUAUGCUUGUUUAAUUGCAGGUUUGAUUUCUCUGAACAAUGGUUUUUGUUUUUCCCUUAUUUGAUAAAAUAUAAAGAAAAAGAAACUAGGGUUGGUAUCUAAUAUAGACGAAAAAUAUCUUAUUGUUUUACGUCGUGUGAAUGUUAAUACCACGACGGUGUAUUACUAUUGACAUCGUAUGAACAUAAAUACCACGACGUUAUAUAAUUAAUAGUUUACCACGACGGUGUAUUACUAUUGACGUCGUGUGAACAUAUAUACCACGACGUUAUAUAAAUAAUGGUUUUAAACAUUUAUUACGUCUGAGAUUAUUUCAUUGCGUCGUCUAAAAUCAUAUCAUACGUCGUAUUUUUUUAAUACCGUCGUUUGUGUUCUUAAUGUUUUCCUGAAAUAUUUUCACUUGCAGUUUUGUCUGUUAAAAUGGUUUCUCAACAACAAACUAAGGAUUCUGGCUCCAAGAAGCUUGGAAUGGUAGCUCCUCAAGACAAGUCUUCGAAGGAGAUGAAGUCUUCGAAGAAGAUGAAGUUUGCUUCAUCAUCUGCUGAGACAGAACAAACCAGCCAGACAACAAUCUCUGAUGAUUCAAAGACUGGUUGAGGUAUGAGCACAAUGCCUCGUGUUGUGAAGAGAAAGCUUCAGAAACUGAGGCCAAUUGUUGAGUACAAUAAAAGGGGGAAAGGUGUUGGCCAAGCACAUAUUGAGAUGCAGUCGUAUAUUGGUGUCUUGGCACGCUCCAGGAUCCCACUUGUGGACAAGAAAUGGUCCCAAAUCCCCAAGGAUAUAAAGGAGCAGAUUUGGGAAGCAGUUGACAUGGCUUUUGUCGUAGGCCAAGGGGGCAAGACCUCUGUUUUAGCUUCUGCUUCCAAGAAAUGGAAGGAUUUCAAGUCUACACUAACGAGGCAUUAUAUCCUUCCAUACACCAAUGACAGGGAGAAAUUAAGCCAACCCCCUGAAACAUAUAAAUUCAUAGAGAAAGCACAAUGGGAUGCCUUUGUAGCUUCAAGGCUAUCCAAAGAUUUUGAGUCUGUGCAUUCUCAACAUGCACAGAUUAGGGAGAAACUCGAGUACAAUCAUCGAUUGUCUCGAAAAGGAUAUGCUGGAUUGGAGGAUCAAUUGGAGGAAACCAUGCCUGGGGUAGAAAUUGAUCGAUCUACCUUAUGGAAGAGAGCUAGACAGGACAAACAUGGUAACAUCCCUGAUCCAAAGGUGGCAGAGAAAACAAAAUUAAUUGUAAGCCUACUAUCACUCUGUUUUAAAUUUUUAUUAAACUGUGAAUUAUUCUUAUUACGUCGUAUGUUAUAUUUUUCGUCGUGUGAAUGAUAUUACCACGUCGACAAGUUUUUAAAAACGUCGUUAAAGGUCUAAAUAGGAAUCACUACUAUGUUUUUUGUAAUUAUAGCAUAAGACGUCGGUGGUUCAUUUUCGCGUCGUGUGAAUGAUAUUACCACGUCGAAACUUUUUUAAAAACGUCGUUAACGGUCUAAAUAGGAAUCACUACUCUGUUAUCUUUAAUUAUAGCAUAAGACGUCGGUUGUUUAUUCAUUUCGUCGUUUUAAAUAAAUAACCACGUCGGUAUAACUACCGUCGUGAUAAGUUAUAAUAACGUCGGUUUAUACGUUAUUGCGUCGUGUGAAAUUAUAUAAUACGUCGUUUGUACAUAAAUAACCGUCGUGUGUUUUUUUGUUUAUCUUUUUUUAGGAUGAAUUGCAGAAACAAGUCUCGGAAGGCAAAGUCAGAGUAGAUGGCAGCAAUGAUGUGCUGACCAUGGCUUUGGGCCCCGAGCAUCCAGGCAGAGUGAGGGGAGUUGGUGCUGGUGUUUCCCCAAGGCAAUAUUUCAAUUUGCCCAAACCACAGAGGGUGAGCUUUGACGACCGUUUGAAGGACAGUUUAAGAGUUCUCCUUCAAGAAGAGACUAAAAAGAUGGAGGCUAAGGCAAGGGAAGAGGCCUUAAGGAUGGAGGCUAGGACAAAACAAUUGGUAGAGGCUGAGAGGGAGCAUUUCCUGAGUCAGCUUUCCCAAUUAAUUCCCAAUUUUGAUCCAAGCAUGCUUAAACCAAGAAUUAGCCAAAGCCCCAAAAAUCCAAUGUCUGACAAAGCUAGCUGCUCUGGAGGUGAUGUGAGAUCCCUACAUUUGGAGGAUGAUACUGCCAAAAUGGGGAAACAUUAGCCAGAUGAAGAGAAGGAAGAAGAAAAAAGAGAUGAAUAGAAGGAAUAAGAAAAGGAGAAAGAAGAUGAAGAAAAGCAUGACGACAAGGUAUGUUCACAUAACUUUGCCUUUUUUAUUUGUUUUUCAAAAUUUCAGACGUCGAUAUUUUUAUUUAAUCCGUCGUUUGUUUACAACUUAGACGGCGGAAUUUUUUUAAGACGUAAUAAAAUAUUUAAACGACGGUUUUUUCACCGUCGUCUAAAUGGUUUCAGACGACGCUUUAUUCAUAAAACCGUCGUCUUUAUUGAAUUACCACGACAGUUUUUUCACCGUCGUUUAAAUACUUUUAAGACGACGUUUUAUUCCUUAAACCGUCGUCUUUAUUGAAUUACCACGUCAUUUUUUUUAUUUCUUUAAACAGGUUAUUGAAGUUGGUGAUUAUUCAAAUAUGGAGGCGCCAUCUUCUUUAAAAACCCUUUGUCGUUUUGUGGAAAUGACACUCCUGCCUGAGGAUAAGACACUCCAAUUUACAAUUGAUAUGGAGGUGUUUGGUGGUGAGCGCAAUACCUUCCUCCUGCCUGAAGAUAUUACACAAUUUGCAGGCAUGGAAGAAAUUGGAGCUACUGUAUUGGCUGUAUAUAUGAGGUUUGUACUUCUAAAAUAAUACCUCGUUGGUUUAUAUAUUGCGUCGUCUUAACUAACUAACCACGUCGUCUUAACUAACUACCGUCGUGAUAAAUAUAUUAUAACGUCCUCAUCUAUUUCAGUACGUCGUGUGAAAUAUUAUAAUACGUCGUUUUUUUUAUACAUAACCGUCGUGUUUUUUUGUGCUGACUUGUUUAUAUUAUUUUAUGUAUUUAGGUACUUACACGAUGUUUUGAAACAAGCCAAUAUGUGCAGCAUGGUUGGCUUUAUCGACCCUGCUUCAGUUAGUGCCAACUCUGGCACAAUAACUGAAAGAUCACGACUGGUAGCAGCUCGACUUCAGAAGACAGACGGUGAACAGAUUUUCAUGAAGCCUUACAAUCCAGGGUUAGUCUCCUUAGGAUUUUGUUUUUAUGAUUUUCAAUAAAUGACAGCUUAUAAACUAACCACGUCGGUGUUUUAUUUUAUUUAGUCGUUUGAAACUACUAACCACGUCGGUAUUUAUUUAUCGUCGUGAUAAAUAUAUAAUGUCGUCGUUAUCUACUUUAUUUCGUCGUGUGAAAUACUAUAAUACGUCGUUUUUGUAAAUAACCGUCGUUUUUAUAUUAAUUUUGUGCAGCCGUCAUUGGAUCUUGCUGAUUGUAAGUGCAAAGAAGGAGACCGUCUAUUUUCUGGAUCCUCUGCCAGGUCAUCGUGUGGUCGACGAAGAGGCGAAAAACAUCGUGAACAGUGCUUUAAAAAUAUAUAAUACCCACAUUGCCCGAGCAGGACGUAAAAAUGUAAUUUGGAAAACUCUCUCAGGCACACCAAAGCAACCCAGCAAUGUCGAAUGCGGGUAUUAUGUGAUGCGCUUCAUGAGGGACAUCAUCAUGGAUCCUUCCUUGGGGUUUGAGAAUAAGGUAAGAAGAAAUUACCUUCAUACAUUUCACGUCGUUUUUUGUAUUAUCAACGACGGUCAUGUAAAAUUAACGUCGUUGAAUGGAUAUACUACGUCGGUUAUGAAAAAUAUCGUCGUCUGUGAUUGAAUUUCUUUUUAUUUAUAAACCCUAAUAGUCAUUGUUUAUGCAGUAUGCCAAGGGAAACCAGGAAGCUUCAUACCCCCAAGAAGCCAUUGAUGAAGUCCGGAAUGAAUGGGCAGAGUUUGUUUUCCAAAUUAUUAAACAGGGCAAUUAUUGAACACUUGAUAUUUAUGUAGAAUGUACAAAUUUUCUCUAUAAUAUGUAAUGUAAAAAUUUGUUGAGGUUUUCUUAAAUUAAAAAAAAAACAAACAUACAAAUUGCUUAACCGACGUGUAAUACUUUUCCAACGACCUAAUAAAGUCAAAAACCGUCGUAUUUUGUUGUUUCGUGUUUUAAACAAAUACGACGUAAAAAUAUAGUUAGACGACGUUCUUUGAACAAUUGAGUCGUUUGUGGUUUACAACAUCUUCAAUUUCUUAAGGGUUCAGGGUAUCAUCGACGACGUUUAUGUAACGACAGCGGUUAAGUCGUGGAAUAUAUAUUUUACGUCGUAUAGUUAAAUAGCCGCCAUGGUUUCUCAUUUUAACGACGUCAUUUUAACGACUUAGUAGUCUAUUACAAUUUACAACGUCUACAAUUUAUUAACACCGACGUGGUUUGUUGUUGUGGUAAGAAUAUUUUAUUAUUUUUAUAUCAAAAUAUUCAAAAUAAAUAUAAAAUAAAUCAGAAAAUUGAAAAGUCAACUCCUAUGAAGUCAUUGAUAUAUUUUCUUCCACAUAAACCUUGAAAAAAUUCAUUUUGAAUAAUAAAAAUUUAAAAUGACCAUCCAAAACAAAAUUGUUUUGAUGAGUCAUAAAAUCACUUCUAGUUUUAUGGUUUAAGGUUUAGAGUCUAGGGUUUAGAGAUUAGGGUUGUUAUUUAUUGGGGUUUAUUUUUAAAGUAUAAUUUUUGGGUAGUCUAGGGUAUAUGUUAGGCUUUAAAACCAUAAAACCUUUUAUAAACUUAAUUUUUUAAAUUGUAUAAUUUAGUUUUAUGGGUUUAGGGUAUUAAUUUUUAACGACGGUGGUUGGGUCGUGGAAUACAUAUUUUACGUCGUACAGUAAAACAUACGACAUGGUUUACGCUUUAAACGACGUCAUUUUAAUAUGUAAGUCGGUUUAUAUAAUUUACAACGUCUUUAAUUUCUUAACACCGACGUGGUUUUUCAGUCGUCGUUAUAUAAAAAAUUCAAAAUAAAUUUAAAAUUAAUCCGAAAAAUGAACGGCCUUACGUUCUUAAUCCGAAAAAUGAAGUUUCCGUCGUGGAAUAUUAAAUUUACGUCGGUACUUGUAGAACUUUCGCCUUGGUUUUUCUUUCGACGUUUUAAAACGCGCGCGCUCUAAAAAUUUUCGCGCGACCUAAAUUUUUUUAGAUUUGGCUCUUAUUCUUAUACUUCGAUCCCUGAAACCUAAAAUUUCAGAUUUCGCGCGACAUAACAUUUCGCUCUCUCACUUCUGCUCUAAUUAAAAGUUGCACUCUCCAGGCUCCGUCGAAUCUGUGAGCUCGUCCAACCUGUAAGUACAAACCCUAUCUUCCCCUUGUAAAUUCAUUGAAUGAUAUUAGGUUGUUUUGUUAAAGGGUUUUAUGUGUAUGCUUUGCGAUCUGUUAAUAAUGUGCUUAUAGGUAUGGGUUCAUGGAUUUUCAGUUUAAUGGGUUCAUGGAUUACAUUAUCUGUUAUGUUGAAUUGGGAAUGGAUUUAAUUUUGUCGUAUCUUUUAAUCACCCUAUGUUAUGUUGAAUUGGGAAUGGAUUUAAUUUUGUCGUAUCUUUUAAUCACCCUAUGUUAUGUUGAAUUGGGAAUGGAUUUAUUGUUUUCAUGCUUGGUUUCAUGUAUAUGUUGGUUUCUUGCUUGGUUUCAUAUAUAUGUUGUGUUCUUAAUGGGUUUUGUGUUCUUGAAAAUAAACUGAGACACGACGAAUUUUAAGGCAUACGACGACGAUUACACGACGGUUUUUUUAAACUACCGUCGUUGUAUUACUUAUGCACGACGGUUUUUUCAUAAACCGUCGUUUGUAUUACUUAUAAUAGACGACGUCUGUUGAAAAUUCGUCGUCUAUAUAUGCCAAAUACGUCUGUUUUUGUUUAAAACCCGUCGUCUCUGUUGUGUAUUACUUGCGAUUAGAUCAUUGUAUAAUCUGCUAUAGUGAUGGUCAUUGCCUGUAUUUUCACUUUAUUAUAGAUAAUAGGUUAUAGUGUCGGAGAUGGAUAAGUCAUGGAUGCACUCGGAUAGAAGAUCGAAGGCAUAUGAAUUUGGGGUGGAAGCAUUUUUGAACUUUGCUGUAGAAAAUCUUCUAACUACAACACAUAUCCGUUGUCCAUGUGUUAAAUGUGUUAAUUUGAAGUUGUUUGGGGUUGGAAUUAUAAGGGAUCACUUAUACUUUAAUGGAAUUGACCAAAGCUAUAAGAAUUGGACAUUUCACGGAGAACCUUGGGAAGCAACUACUAAUGCUAGUAGAAAUGUUGAAGAAGAUGAUGGCCAUAGUAGGUACAGUUUUGUGUCUGAAGAAAUUGAUAUGGAUGAUAAUGAUUUUGGUGAUUUUGGUUCGGAUCCGUAUGAGUUUGCCAAUGUGAUUGGGGAUGGAGAUCAACCAGUGUACCCUGGUUGUAGAAAGUACACGAAGUUAUCGGCAUUAGUGAAGUUGUAUAAUUUGAAGGCAAAACAUGGGAUGAGUGAUGUCUGUUUUAUAGAAUUAUUGAUACUUCAAGGCGAUUUGCUUCCAGAAGGAAAUACAAUACCAACCUCCAUGUAUGAGGCUAAAAAGACUUUGUGUGCAUUGGGGCUGAGUUAUGAGAAAAUGCACGCAUGCCCCAAUGAUUGCAUCUUGUAUAGGAAGGAGUAUGAAGAUUCAACUAAUUGUCCUACUUGUGGUAUCUCAAGGUGGAAGGAAGGCAAAGAUGCAAUCUUGAAAGAGGGUGUGCCAGCGAAGGUGGUGUGGUAUUUUCCCCCAAUUCCAAGGUUUAAAAGGAUGUUUCAAUCACAUGAGACAGCUAAGAGUUUGACUUGGUGGCAUGCUGCUAGAAAAUCAAUUGACGGUCAGAUGUCUCAUCCGGCGGAUUCCCCGUCUUGGAAACUUCUUGAUGAUAAAUGGCCUGAGUUUGGUAAUGAGCCGAGAAACUUGAGAUUGGCUCUUUCAUCUGAUGGAUUCAAUCCCCACAGUUCUCUAAGUAGCAGAUAUAGUUGUUGGCCGGUUAUCUUAGUUACAUAUAAUCUCCCUCCAUGGCUGUGCAUGAAACGAAAGUUCAUGAUGUUAACCUUACUGAUUUCCGGUCCUAAACAACCCGGAAAUGAUAUAGACGUCUACUUGGAGCCUUUGAUUGAUGACUUAAAAUCCUUGUGGGUUGGGAUUAGAGGAGUGUAUGAUGCACAUAAUGGAGAAUACUUUACACUCAGAGCUGCAUUAAUGUGGACAAUUAAUGAUUUCCCCUCCUAUGGAAACUUAUCUGGUUGUGUUGUUAAAGGAUAUAAAGCUUGUCCAAUAUGCGGCGAUGAUACACCUAGUCACAGGUUGAAAAAUGGCCACAAAAUUUGUUACAUUGGGCAUAGAAAAUGGUUACCAAUCAAUCAUCCAUAUAGGAGGCAACGUGCAGCUUUUAAUGGGAAACCUGAAUAUGGCAUACCUCCAGAGCCAUUAACCGGAGAAGAAGUGCUGCAUAUGGUUGAAAAUGGUGACAGAGUUUGUUGGAAGAAGAAAUCAAUAUUCUUUGAUCUCGAGUAUUGGAAAUACCUUCCUGUGAGGCAUGCCCUAGAUGUUAUGCACAUUGAGAAGAAUGUUUGCGAUAGUAUCAUUGGUACAUUGCUGGAGAUCCCUGGAAAAAAUAAAGAUGGGAUUGCUGCUCGAUUAGAUUUAUUGAACAUGGGGGUCAAAACUGAUUUGCAACCCGAGUAUGGAGAAAGACGUACUCGUUUGCCUCCUGGGCCUUGGAAUUUGUCAAGAGCAGAGAAGAGAGAGGUUUGCAAUUCUUUCUAUGGUAUGAAGGUCCCUGAAGGUUAUUCUUCAAAUAUUAAAAAUCUUGUAUCUUUACAAGAUUCAAGACUUCUUGGCCUUAAAUCACAUGAUUGUCAUACCUUAAUGCAACAAUUGCUCCCUGUGGCAAUUCGUUCUGUUUUGGAGAAGCCUGCAAGGUAUGCAAUAACUCGUUUGUGCUUCUUCUUCAAUGCUAUAUGUGCAAAGACUGUUGAUGUUUCCAAGUUAGAUAAGUUGGAAGAAGAUGUAGUAGUUACUCUGUGUUUGCUUGAGAAGUACUUUCCCCCUUCAUUCUUUGAUAUCAUGGUUCAUCUAGUAGUACAUCUUGUCAGAGAAGUUCGUCUAUGUGGGCCAGUAUAUUUUAGGUGGAUGUAUCCGUUUGAAAGAUAUAUGAAAGUGCUGAAGGGGUAUGUUCAGAAUCGUACUCGUCCCGAAGGUUGCAUUGCUGAGCGGUAUAUAGCUGAAGAAGCGGUAGAGUUUUGUACUCAGCAUUUAUCUGAUGUUAGUACAGUUGGAGUGCCUUCAAGCCAAAAGAUGGGAGUUUCAAAGCCAUUAUCAGGUUGCACAGUGAGCGUAGUUGAUCAGGACCUGUUGAAUCAAGCACAUCUAUAUGUCUUGGAGAAUACGGAGGAAGUCCUACCUUAUAUCGAGUACGUAUGAGUUUUAUUCUUUAAGUUUCCAUUUAAAAUUAUUUCUUAUGUUUAUCUUAUAUAUUUGGGACCGUAAUGCUUGAAUUUUUCGUGUCAUGUAGGCAACAUAUGAUCCACAUCAAGACUGCUUAUCCAAAAUUUAGAAAGAGAACAAAGUGGCUGCAGGAUAAGCACAAUAGCACUUUCAUUCAAUGGCUACGCUUCAAGGUAUAUGUUGUUGAAUAACAUAUUUCUCUUUUAAUUUUCUUCUUAUUUAUAUGUUAGAUUGAAUUAAGAUAUGAUUAAUUUGCAGGUUCAAAGUGAACUUGAGGAAGACAAUCAUGGCGUAUCAGAAAAUUUAAGGUGGCUAGUAGCUGGUCCAAACAUGUCAGUGCCAUUAUAUAGGAGCUAUCUUAUUAAAGGUAUUAAAUUCAAUAUCAAGGCACAAGAUGAUGUGCGGACAACUCAAAAUAGUGGAGUUUAUUUACUUGCACAUACCAUGCAAGUUGCUAGUGCCAAGGAUAAAAACCCAAUUCUCUCAAAUAUGGGUUUCUAUGGUGUCAUUCAAGAAAUUUGGGACCUUGACUACCAAAAGUUUACAAUCCCAGUCUUUAGGUGUGAUUGGAUAGAUAGUUCUGGUCUUGUAGUCGACGAACUUGGAUUUACCCUUGUAGAUUUGAGUAAAAUUGGACAUAGGAAUGACCAAUUUGUUUUGGCUUCUCAAGUCAAACAAAUAUUUUUUGUUGACGACCCGAUGCAUCGUGGUUGGUCGGUAGUGUUAUCAAUGCCUAAUAGAGAAUAUAAUGAUGUUAUUGGUGAUGAAGUCUUAGGUGAUGUGAUAAUUGAGUGUGAGCCAUUUACUAGAGGGAUGCCAAAUGUUGACACAUUUGAUGAACUGGUAGGUGAGUUAGGCGGUCAAAAUAUUCGAGAUGGGUGUGAAGAUAUAUGGAUUUAAUGAUGCUUAUGUAAUUGGCAGUGUAUGACAUUAAUUUUGUAAUAUAUUGUAAUGUGAUUUCUUCACUUUCUACGUUCAAAUAAAACACGACGUUAUUGUGAAUCAGUUAUUCAGCAUAUUUACCGACGUCUUAAAGCAACGUAACAAUGAAGAACCACGACGCUAUUGUGAAGCAAUUAUUCAGGAUAUCACGUCGGUGAAGGAUUAAGAACUGCCAUGUAAUUCAAAAUAACACGACUCCAAUCCCAUAAUACCGACGUCUAAAAAACGAGAUAUAUAAUCUGAACGUUAAAAAAUACGACGUCAUCAUACAUUUUCCACGUCGCAAGUUCUUUUAUAAACGAAGAGGAACGAAAUGAAUUCCGACGGAAAUUCAUUAUAACCGCUGUCUAAUAACAAUUAAACGACGUUAUUUGUAAUACGGCUCCCAUCAUAAUCUACGCCGUCUAUAUGUUCUGUAAUACGGCUCUCAUUUAUUUGGAACCGACGUUGUUUAGAAGUUCAACGGCGUCUAUAUUAUUAAGUGCGUCGUGAGUAAUGAAUACAUAUAAAUACAACGUCGACUAUAUAAAUGUAUACGUCGUAAAUAAUGACACUGACAACUAUUUCCACGUCAUCUUUUGUAGAAAAAUCGAAGUGGAAAAUUUAUUUCACGACGGUUUUUUGUAAAUAAGAGACGUAGUAGAUUUCAAUAACGUCGUCUUCUCAUGUAUUUAAAGACGUCAUAUUUUUUCUUGUCGUGUAAAUUAUAUUUAACGGCGUAGUAUUUUAGUUGUCGUCGUUGUAUGUAUAUCUUGCGGCCUUGUUCUUUUAAUAUGUGUCAUAUUUUUCCUUUUUAACGACGGUGAUUUUUUUGAGUUGGUCGUCUAUUCUCAUCCUCGACUAUUUUCUAGAACUUUAGCAGACUAAACACGUCUGUUUUUAUUUUUUUCCGACGUUGUUUUAUUUAACAACGUCUAAUAUUUAUCGUCGUUGUUUGUUUCUGAAAAUAGGACGUAUAAAUUUUGUAAUACGACUCUCAUAUAUUUGUAACCGACGUUGUUUAGUUUUUCAACGUCUACUCUAUAAACACAUACGUCGUAAAUAAUGACACUGACAACUAUUUCCACGUCAUCUUUUAUCGAAAAAUCGAAGUGGAAAAUUAAUUUUACGACGGUUGUUUUUAUAUAUGCGACGUAGUAGGUAUCAAUAACGUCGUCUUCUAAUGUAUUUAAAGACGUCAUAUUUUUUAUUGUCGUGAAAAUUAUAUUUAACGUCGUCGUAUUUUUAUUUUCGUCGUUGUAUGUCUAUCUUGCGGCCUUGUUCUCUUAAUAUGUGUCAUAUUUUUCCUUUUUAACGACGGUUUUUUAAGAGAGUUGGUCGUCUAUUAUCAUCCUCGAUUGCUUUUUUUAGAUCUUUUUGCAGUACAAAGACGUCGUUUUGUAUUUGUUGAUGACGUUGUAUAGUUUAACAACGACGGUUAUUUAGCGUCGUGGUUUAUGAGGGAAAAGAUGACGGUGGAUUCCACGACCAUUGAAAAACCCAAUACACGACGGUGAUUUACCGUCGUCUUUGUGCUUUUUUGUAGUAGUGAGCUAAACCAAUAUUAUUUUGCACAUACGACCCCACAUCCCCAUGUGAGGCUACAGAAGUGUUUCCAAAACGAAACAUGAUAUUUCAAAACGAAGCUAUGUAUAGAAUAGAGUCAUUUGUAUUUGCUUUCACAAUAACAUUUGAUUUGUGAAAGCAUUUUAUAUUUAUACAUUCUGAUAUUCUAACAAAUAAAUUGACUAAACUUGGCCAACAGGAUUUAGCCGAAUGGAAAAGUUCUUAUUUAUAAACUAGUGGUUUCAUAUUUGAACUCGAUGACACUCUUGUAGAGUGUGAAACCCUUUUUACCCUUAAAAUUUAGACUAUCACAUGCUGGGUGCCGUUAUUAAGUUUUAUCCUUGUUUCUUGUUGAAAAAAAAUUGAUAAAAAAUAAUAAUUCCUAUAGCUAGCAACUUCUCCACCUUCCCUUCUUCGCAACUAGGGAUGCCAUUGCAAGGUCACCAUCUCAGAUUAAGUCCUCCUUUUAAAAUUGUGCUGUUAUUCAAAAUUGCAAUAUGCUGGUCAUUCUUGAUAUAAUCUGUUCCACAAAAAGAAAAAGAAAAAAGUUGAUAGCAUCUUUUACCACUUUGGCCACUUUUGAACAUGUUCACCGACAAUUUCUCAAAAGCUAUUAAGCUGUACGUCCACAAUAUUAUUGCAUCCAACUUUGCAUGUGAGGCUACAGAAAAGUUUUGAAAACGAAACUGGAUAUUUUAUCUCUAACAGCUUUCAUACUUCGUUCACCCUGUGUUUCCAAGUUGUGCUAGCUAUUUGCAAACCUUGGAAUAUUACUUCAUCCAAAUCCCUUGCAGAGAAGAGAAAGAUAUGGCUUUGAUCGGAGAGGCCCUCAUCUCUGCUACCAUCCAGACGUUGUGUGACAAAAUUGCUUCGCCUGAGUUCACCGACUUAUUUCGGCAGAAAAAGCUCGAUGAACAACUCCUCAACAAGCUGAAGACGACGCUGUUGACCUUGUCCGUAGUGCUUAAUGAUGCAGAGGAGAAGCAAAUUGAGGAACCUUUAGUGAGAGACUGGCUUGACAAUCUCAGACAUAAUGUCUUGGCUGCGGAGGACUUACUGGAUGAAAUCGACACUGAAGCUUUGCGAUGCAAACUGGAAGAAGGUGAAGGUCAAACCCACAAUUUAACCAAGAAGGUACGUGAUUUUUAUCAACGCAUGAAUGUUGAGAUGAAAGAUUUAUUAGAAAGAUUAGAACAAUUUGUACAAGAGAAAAGUGCUCUUGGUUUGAGAGAAGGUGCUGGGAGGAAGGUUUCACAAAGAACAACAACUUCCUUGGUUCAUGAACCUUGUGUCUAUGGUAGAGAUGAAGUCAAGGAAAAUCUGUUGCAAAUUUUGUUAUCUGAUGAUGCAAGCAAGGAUGAUGUGUCUGUCCUCACCAUUGUUGGAAUGGGCGGGGUAGGCAAGACAACCCUUGCCCGACUGCUUUACAAUGACGAUAAGGUGAAAGAACAUUUUCCACUUCAAGCUUGGGUUUGUGUUUCGGAAGACUAUGAUUCUAAUAGGAUAACUAAAACUCUUCUAGAGUCAGUCACUUCAAAGUCUUCUGAUAAGACAGAUCUAAAUUUGCUUCAAGUUGAAUUAAGAGAAAAACUCCAGGGAAAGAAAUUCUUAUUUGUGUUGGAUGACCUAUGGAAUGAGAAAUAUGGUGAUUGGAAACGCCUCCAAACUCCUUUUACUUCUGGGGCAAGGGGAAGUAAAGUCAUUGUAACAACACGGAGCCAACAUGUAGUAUCUGUCCUGCAAAGUGUUCAUGUUCAUCACUUGGAACCCUUGUCGCACGAAGAUUGCUGGUUCUUACUUGCAAAACAUGCAUUUGGAAAUGAAAAUUGCAGUGAUCCAAACUUGGAAGAAAUUGGCAAGAAAAUUGCACACAAGUUCAAUGGGUUGCCUUUAGCUGCAGAAACACUUGGGGGUUUGUUACGUUGCAAUAUAGAUUCAGAGGAAUGGAAUACAAUACUAAAUAGCAGUAUUUGGGAGCUACCCUAUGAUAAAUGUGACAUUCUUCCGGCUCUUGGGUUGAGUUACCAUUAUCUCUCCUCCCAGUUAAAACGAUGCUUUGUUUAUUGUUCAAUUUUUCCAAAGGAUUAUGAGUUUAAAAAGGAAGAUAUAGUUCAAUUUUGGAUCGCAGAAGGUUUAAUUCCAAAAGCUGAGAAUGGAAAGAGCAUAGAAGCGGUAGCUAGAAAAUACUUUGAUGAGCUGUUGGCACGAUCGCUAUUUCAAAAGUCAAGCAAAUCCGGUUUCACAAUGCAUGAUCUCAUUAAUGACUUGGCCAUGUUCAUGUGUAAGGCAUUUUGCCUUAGGCUAGAAGGGGGGGAAUCACAUGACGUAGAAAAAGUUCGGCAUUUUUCAUAUGCUAUAGAAAGAUUUGAUGCAGCUCCAAAAUUUAAGCCAUUACAUGGGGCUAAGUUUAUGCGGACCUUUCUACAAGAUUUGUUGCCAUCACUAAGAUGUUUACGGGUGUUAUCAUUGUCACGUUAUCAAAAUGUUACUGUGUUACCUGAUUCUAUUGCAAACCUCAUUCACUUGCGCUACUUGGAUCUUUCCCAUACCGCUAUUGUUUCUCUCUCCUUGAAUUGCCUACAGACAUUAGAAAAUUGAUUAAUUUACAGAAACUGACGUUGAGAGGUUGUACGUCUCUUAAUAAAUUGCCUGCAGGCAUGAAGGAGUUGACUAAUUUGCAUCAUCUUGAUGUCAGUGGAACUAAAAUUGAAGAGAUGCCGGUGCAAAUGGGUAGAUUGAAAAGUUUGAGAACAUUGACUGCAUUUGUUGUGGGCAAAUCUACUGGGUCAGGCAUAAGAGAACUGAGGGAGUUCCCGCAACUUCAAGGAAAACUAUCAAUUUUGAAGCUACAAAAUGUAGUUGAUGCGAGGGAUGCACUGCACGCCAAUAUGAAGCACAAGAAAGAUCUCAAGGAGUUAGAGUUUUCAUGGGGUACGGAGGAUGCUGAUGAUUCCCAAAAGGAGAAAGAUGUACUCGACAAGCUCCAGCCUUGCAUGAAUUUGGAGAAAUUAACCAUCGGAUUUUAUGGUGGAACCAAUUUUCCGAAUUGGUUAGGAGACUCGUCUUUUUCUAACAUACGAGUCAUGCAUCUCAGUGACUGUAGUUAUUGUUGGUUGCUCCCACCAGUUGGACGGCUACCGGCACUCAAAGAGCUCUGUAUAGAAAGAAUGAAGUCUUUGAGGACGAUUGGCGUUGAAUUCUAUGACAGAGAUGGAGCUUAUCUGACUCAGCCAUUUCGAUCUCUGGAGAAGCUAGAGUUUAGGGAGAUGCCGGAGUGGGAGGAAUGGGUACCAAGUGGAAGUGCAAGUGGAGGUGAAUAUGGUCCAGACUUUCCUCGUCUCCAGGAGCUGAUUCUAAACGAGUGUCCGAAGCUAAGAGGAAGUUUGCCUUGUGAGUUGCCUUGCUUGAAGAAGCUUACGGUGUAUGGGUGUGAGGUUUUACAUGAUGGAAGGGCGGCUACCGCAACUACCAAUAGUCUUAACUAUAAAUCUCUGGAAGAAUUGGAUAUACAUGGUGGAUGCCAAACUCUGUUAUCAUUAUUAGAGACAAAGCUCCUGUCCCGACUUGACAGACAGUGCUUGCCCAACUGCAAUCGUCUUCAAAGUUUGACUCUUUCGAAUUGUCCAACGCUGUCGUCGUUUCCUAAAGAUGGCCUACCCAGUACGUUGACAUCACUUGAUAUAAACAAUUGUAGGAAAUUAGAAUUCCUACCUCAUGAGAUGUUGGCCAAAUUAACAUCGCUUGACUAUUUGUGCGUACAAAAUAGCUGUGAUUCAAUGAGGUCCUUCCCGUUGGGCAUUUUUCCCAAAUUGACGACGCUUCAAAUUCGUGGUUGUGAGAAUCUGGAAUCUUUUUCCUUGAUUGAAGAAGAAGGAGCUGUUGAGAAUCUUAGCCAUCUCAAUGACUUGCAAGUCUCUAAAUGUCCAAAAAUGGUGUGUUUUCACGAGGGAGAAUUGCCCACUCCCAACCUGAGUCACUUUGUAGUCAGUGAUUGCGAGAAUUUGAAGUCAUUGCCCGAACGCCUUCACACCCUCACAGCCCUUCGAUAUUUGUCGAUAUGGAAUCUUCCGAAUCUGGAGUCAUUUGCAGAAGAUGGGGGUUUGCCUCCCAACCUCCGAUCUUUUAGCAUUUGGAAUUGUAAGAGACUGAGGGCUUCAUCAGUGGGAGAGUACUGGGGUUUGCAAGCACUUGACUCCCUUGAGAUCGAUGGAAGUGACCAUGUCUUGGAGACGUUGCUGUUCCCUGCCACUCUUCACACUCUCCGCAUCUCUGAUCUAUCAACUCUGAAAUCUUUGGACGGAAAGGGUCUUGGACACCUCACUUCUCUUCAAAAGCUAGAAAUUGACAGCUGUCCAAGUCUGGAAUUACUGCCAGGAGAGGAACUUCAACACCUCACUUCUCUUCAAACUCUAAUUAUUAGUUCGUGUGGCAGUCUCCAAUGCCUGCCAGAAGAGGAUUUGCCGUCAUCUCUUUCUCAUCUGAGUAUCUGGCGGUGUCCUCCCCUGGAGAAAAGGUAUAAGAAUAAGACGGGACAAGAUUGGGCAAAGAUAUCUCACAUUCCUUGCAUCAAGAUAGGAUACGAACUGAUCAUAUAAUAUGAGCUAUUCCAUAUUUCAUGCUCAACCCUCAACUCUCAAAUCAAAGUCAGGUGAGGUGUGUGCCUUCUCUUACUUUAAAAAACUGCUUCUCUUCUUCUAAUUGAAUACAAAAACCAAAACACAUAUUCUCUUUCUCUUCCAAAAACCCAAAUACAUGUUGGACAUUGCCCAAAUUUGAUCUCCAAAUUCCUAAUUAUUUCACGCUUUUUGUUAUUUUAUGGUUGCUGGUCACAAAUUAUAUCCUACUUGGAGUAUCAAAUGCUGAAUAAUUAGCAGUCUUUUUGCAGGACGACAUACCUUCUCUUGGCCCUUGGGGAGCUUUUCAAAAUUUGCAAGGUUUCUUUAUGUGGCAUUUCCAGAGGAGGGUCACAGGGCGGAGAAACAGAAAAGGUUUACCUGGAAUAUCUCAUACAUUCCUGCAUGUAGGCAUCAAAUGUACACCAUUUUUAGGUACUUUUAUAUGAAAAAAAUUGUAUUUGAGUCUCAUUUGCACUAGUUUAAAUCAAAUUUAAUGCCUAUGGAUAGUCUAUUAAUAGGUUCAUGCCAUGAAUUAAUCUUUGGACUUUCCCAGGUACUGCAGGUUUGUUAUUAAUGUUGUGGCUAGGUUGUCUUACGUUGAGGAGAGAGAUCGAUCAGCAAUUACAAAAUUGUUAGCGAAUUUAGUUUGUUUAUCAUCUCUCUCCUUUUGUUUGUUAAGUUUUGUUGUUCUAGGUUAAACCCUUGUCCCCGCAUUUCACAGCAACUCUGUGUUAUUCCACUCUGUUUAGAUUUCAUUUAUGUUGUGAUUCGACUGCUGCUGUAUUUUAGAUUUCGUUCAUGUAAUGUUAGGAUGUUUAAUCUCUGAUCUGUGGUGGUAGUUGAGUAGUUGAGUAGUCUAGUUAAUCCAGUAGAUAACUUGUCCCCUGUUUUGUAUUGUUUUUAUUUCUCUGGUAAUGAAAGCACGUUUCUUAUAAAUAAAUAAAAAAUAUUUCAUUGAUAUUCAUUGCUUAUUUUGAACUGCAGAAGCCUACUUUUGUCAGAGUCAGUAGAUGCCAGAAUGAAGUCAUUGCCUAAACACAUUGGCACCCUCACAGCCUUCGACAUUUUGGGAUAUAUGAUCUUCAAAAUCUUGUGUCAUUUGCCUCCCAACCUGCAAUAUUUUCAUAUUUUAAAUUGUGACAGACUGAGCCCUUUGGUGGGAGAUUACUGGGGUUUGCAAGGACUUGGUGGCAAUAUCUUGUAGACGUUUCUCAAGGAACAGCUGCUCAAUGCCACUCUUCGCACUCUAUAUAUUAUGGCCUGUCAGUCUAAAAUUCCUGCCAGGAGAGGAACUUGAACGCCUCUCUUCACUGCAAAGGCUACAUAUUUGUGGGUGUGACAAUACCCAAUUCCUGCCAGAAGAGCGUUUGCUGCCAUCUCUUUCUUAUCUGUGCAUCGACCAUUGUUUUGCCAUGUAGAAAAGGUAUCUCACAUUCCUUGCGUCAAGAUAGGUGAAGAAGUGAUCAUAAGGUAUGAGCUCUCUCUCCCUCUCGCUCACAUACAAAGUACUUAAACACUCAAUCUGAUUUCUAUUAUUAUUUUGCUCAGUAAAUUUUGUUUAAAUUUGCUUUAUUUCUCAUUGCGCUUGUUCUGCUUAUCACAACUUAUAUCCUAUUUAAAUCUCAAAUGCUGAAUAAUUAGCAGGCUUUUCGCAGGACAACAUAUCUUCUCUUGGAGAGAUAUUCAUUUGCAAGGUUUCUUUAUGUGUCAUUUCCAGAGGAGGGUUUACUAUUUAAUAGAAAGGUUCACCUGGAAUAUCUCAACUGACACAUUCCCAAAUACAAGCAUUGAAUGCACAACAUUUUGAGGUACUAUUUUUGUAAUAAAAAUGUACUUGAGUCUCAUUUGAGCUAGUUUAAAUUGUAUUCAAUGUCUAUGGAUAACCUGUGAGCUUAAGUAGUAAGAUAAAACUCACAGUAUAUUAUUAGGGUUUAGGGUUCAACAGGUGAGCUUUAGUUGUACUUUCCUAGGUACUGCAUGUAUAUUAUCUUCGUAUCAACAGGUGGUCUUAUGUGGACGAGCGAGAACAUUGAGGAAUUACAAAAUCUUCUUAGCUUGUUUCAGCUCUGUUUGUCAUCCCUCACAUUUUCUUUGUUAAGCCUUGAUUUUUUAUUAGACAUAAGAAAAAAUGCUUUUAUAAGACAGGAGAUGAAUGCUUUUAUAUGUUGAUGUCAUAGUCAGUCUUCAACCACACUCUGUUUUUAGAAUUCAUUUAUGUUACAAGUGGAGUGCUGCUGUAUUUUAUAUUUCGUUCCUGUAAUGUUUGGAUGUUUAGCUUGAGUAGUCUAGCUUAUCCAGUAGAUAACUUGUCCCCUGUUUUGUAAUGUUUUUGUUUCCUCUAAUGAAAGCAGGUUUUACUUAUCUUGAAUUGCAGAAGCCUACUUUUUGACAUAGGUGGCAUGGCACAAACUCGCAUCCGCAUUUCCUUCCCCAUUGGCAUGCUGUCUCAUCUUUUCUAUUCUGUUACCAGCUUGAAGCUUGUGUAGACAUGUUAUGCUCUUGUAAUUCUGAUCACAAACAUCACUUGACAAAUGGAAAGUCACAAUCAGAUCUUUCAGGUGAUCUGGAGGUUUACUUUCUAACAUUUGUUUUCGUGGGGGGGGGGGGGGAGGACAACAAUACAGAAUUUAAAAUUUCUGAUAAUCAAUAGUAGUUUGCAUAUAUCAGCUGGGACCUGUAUGACUGUAUUAUGUAAUUAAUUAUUCUCUUAUUGUUUUGGUACUGUUAAAAGGAGUUAGCCACACAAAAUAAAAAAGGAGGCCUCUUAUUUCAUACUAAUCGUCUGGUCCAUCUGCUGCUUCACUCCCUAGUAGCUUCAUCUCCUGUCCUUUGCUUUAUUUCUGUUAUUUAUUUUGAUUUCAUGUCCAUUGCUUCAUUUCUGUUUGGAUUCUUAAUUAAAUCUGUCCUGGACUUGAACAAGGGUUAGGUUAGCUGUAUAAUUUGCGGUUUUAUAUACACAACUGUCUACAUUGAUUAAAACCAGCAUUAUUCUAAGGUUCAUUUAGAAUGUAUUAUCACCAAAAUUAUAAAGUAUACUUCUAUUACAAUUAAUUUGUUGAUUCUAAUUUGGACUUGUAGGAACAGACCAAACAUGUUCAUAUGUGGCAUUGCUCAAGUCAUCAUCAUUCGGGACAGAGAAUAAGCCUUCAAAUGUCUGCUGAGUCAAUGAACCUUUCUAGAUAUCUCAAGUGUAAUGGAAAUUGAUGAGUUACAAAGGAUUUGUAAACAUUUUCUACUGGAGGCUAGAAAUGCUUCAAAUAAAUGACUGUGUUGCAAUUAUUUUGUAGGAUCAAAGACUCUGCAAAGAGGUAAGAAAGUCAUCAUCAAAUAACUUUGCUCUUCAAACUUUUUAUUUUUAUUUUUAAAUAUCAGUAAUAACUGGGAAAGCUUGCAUCUCCUUAAAUUGCUCAUUCUUACAUCUUUUAUAGUUUGUUGAUCUUGGGCAAGUGGAGAGAGAGGCGUCAAGUGAUACACAACAACCAUUUUCUGUGAGCUGAUUUGAUAAAGAGAAAUGGUAUGCUUUCUUGUCUUAAGCGGUGUGUUCUGCAAUUAUUUGAAACAAAGGAUGCCGCACUUCAAGUUCGAGAAAAUCAGGUAUUUUAGUAUUUUAUUCUUGAGAAAUUUGAUUUAUGUAGAAACUUGAACAUGUAAAUGAGAGAAAUAUAUAUAUAUAUAUAUUAUAUAUUGUAUAUGCUGUUAAUGAGUUAAUAUGGUGCUUGCUCCUAGUUGGAAAUUUAUGUAGUCAUCUACCUAUGAUCAAAUAAAGAUGAAAAAUAAAAUAAAAUUGAGAGCAUCUUCCUCUCCCCUGCUUUGCUCAUCCCUUGUUCUUCCACUUCAGCCCCACUAUUACACCAUUUUUUCAGCCACAAUUAUAAUAGCUCCAUGAGCAUAUUAACAUCAGUGGCCACAGUUCCAUGAUUUGAGUGCACAGAAAGGUUUCAAAAAUUGUCCCAAAAGUACAGUCGUUCAAAGUGAAAGAGAGUUUUCAAAGCUUAAUUACAAGUUCAUGUUAUUUACAAUAGCAAAAAGCUUUCAUUCUUGCUUACAAACUUGUAUUUCCAAGUUCUGUAAACCUUGGAAUUUCACUUCAUCCAAAUCCCCUUCCAAAGCAGGAAAAAAUGGCAGCAGCUUUGAUUGGAGAGGCUCUCAUCUCUGCUUCUAUCGAGGUGUUGUGUGACAGAGUUACUUCAGCCGAGUUCAUAGACUUAUUUCAGCAGAAGAACUUGAUGAAACACUCCUCAUGAACCUGAAGACAACACUGUUGAUUUUGUUUGCGGUGCUCAAUGAUGCAGAGGAGAAGCAAAUUGUGAACCCUGCUGUGAGAGAGUGGCUUAACAGCUCAAGCAUGCUGUCUUUGAUGCAGAGGACUUAUUUGAUGAGAUUGACACUGAAGCUUUGCGAUGCAAGCUGGAAGGUGAGGAUCAAACCCACAAUAGUUAACCAACAAGGAUCUUUUUGAUUGUUUGAAAGAAGAGUCUUUGAUGAUUUGAAAGGAGAGGGUUGCUUUAUUUCUGUUGGAUGCGUAAUUAAAUCUUAUUUGGAGUUGAACAAGGAUUAGAUUAGCUGUAUAAUUAGUGGUAAACGCCUUUUUCUAAGGGUCAUUUAGACUCCUAUUACGAUUAAUUUGUUGUUUCUAAUUUGGACUUAUAGGAACAGACCAAAUAUGUUCACACGUGGCAUCGCUCAAGUCAUCAUCAUUUCAGACUGAAAAUCAGCCUUCAAGUGUCUGUUGAGCCAAUAAACCUUUCUAGAUAUAUCAAGUGCAAUGGAAAUUCAUGAGUUACAUAGAGAUUUGUAAACAUUUUGAAGAUUGCAACACCUGCAAGUGAGAUAGGCGGUGACGAAAUCAGAGCUGAUUUUGAAGCCUCUGAUGCCCCUGUUGUUGCAAGUUGCACCUGAGAACAUGUUUUUUUUUUCUUUGGGGUAAAAAAACUGGCAACAUGUUCGGAGCUGACAAUUCAAUCCCUGAUGAACUAGAGAAGCGAAGCUCCGGUAAGGAAUUGGUCAAGGUUGUGACAGGGAUGAUUGAUGGUGAAAUGGAUGCUAUUUCUUAUUGCAGCCUGUUCUCAAAGUUCUUGUUGGCAAAUGCAAGAGAUGGAGUAUUUUGAUUGGGAGGAGAUAUAAUGACAUGGCUUGACAAUUCUAGAACAGCCCAUCAUUAAUCCCAGAAAAAAUCCAGUUUCUGCUAAACAAUCACUUAUGGCAAGGCCAACUCUGUAAAUGGAAUUUGUGAUCCCUUGAAAUUGUACACAUUUUUUCUUUUUGAGGAAUUUAAUCAAACAGUAUUCUAAUGUAUUAUGAUAGCACUACACGCUUUUGUUGUAACAAAUUACAAGGAGGAAUUUGGAUUGAGUUUCUUGUAUAAGCACACCUUACACAAAUUUGGUAUAUUUUCUUCCAGCAAGUCUGUUUAUUAACCCCCUUAUCUGAAAUUAAUUGUUAAAAGUUUUGAUUCAUCUUUAAUCAGUGUCUAACCCUUGUUGAAUAACACUCCUCUUUCUAAUUUAUAUUUGAAGUUUGAGGUUUCAAUUUCAAUUGUGGGCUUUGAUUUUACAGAUUUUGUUUGUCAAUUUCAGUUUGGACAAAGCAUAUGCAAACAAAAUAAGCAUUUUAUGUUAUACUUUUGAAAUAGGUGUUGAUUUGAUUUAAUCAUAAGUUUUGCUGGUGCAUUUACUAGGCUAUCAUUCAAUACUUUUGAUCAUAGAACUUCUUUGGUCGAUAUUAUCUUUGUUAAGUUUAACCAUAAAUUUAGAGAGGGGACUUCAACAGAUUUAUAAUCUCAUCAUUAUAGUAUUAAAAAUUAGAGAUUAAGGCAUUGUCUAUUAUCUGAAUUCUGCUUACUUUUAGUUCAUAUGUUUACAUCUUAGCAUAUUCAUGCGAUUAGUGCGGCUCAUACCACAAAGGCAACUUUAGGCUCAUCAAGUGCUAAGCAAUGUCAAGCUUCCAAGUGACAAGUUCUCUACAUAGUUUGAGACCUACACUUACUAGAUAUUAGAUCAUUUCGAUCAUUUCCAUAUGUUUAUAUGUAAUUGACAUGUUAUAACAAUUUUUGUAGCGUUAUAUAAUUAUUUAGCAAUUUAAUUAUUUCUUUGCAUCAAGAAAUAGUUCUUAAGUUAUUAAAAAAAAAAAAAAAGAUUUAAAAAAAAAGAUUUGUUGAUGCUUAAAAAGCAUCAAGAACAGGUAGUUUCUUGACGGUUUAGUGACGUUUCAUAACUGUAGGAGGCUUUUUCUUCCGACAGCUGUAAAUGGGCUGGGUUGCCGUAAAGGGCAGACUGAUGAAAUUGUCCCCUUUUGUCUGAGCUAGAAAAUUAAGCCCCAAAAUACUUCGAAAGGGCAGCAGAGCCUUAGGAAGUAUUUUGGUUACCCUCACCAACUAAAACAACAACAACUUACAGGUAAUUUCUUAAUGCUUACAGAUGAACUCUUGAGCUUGGCAUGAGAGACAUGUGGCAUGGAAGCAAAAUCAACAUGAGUUUAGCACUGAGGGGAAAUUUAGGCUCUCUUGGGGGAAAAAGGGAAGUGUUAAGGUGAGAGAGGAGAAGUUUGUAGGAGAUUUAGCUAAGAAAGGAGAAAUAUAGAACAAUGCUCUUCUGGCAGCUUGACAGAUGCUCUGUCUGCCAGAAAAGGAAGAUGGAGAAGAAAUGUGAAUAGUGCACGAGUUUGCUAGAUUUUUGCAGGUAAGAGAGGAAGCUUGCUCUCUGGGUCUGAGUUGAGUUUUGUUAGGUGGAAGAGACCUCAUUUUAUAGCUCCUGGAAACCAUCACUUCCCAAGAAACCCUAAUGGCUUCUACCCAUUUUGGCCAAGCUUUUCCAUUCCUUUCUCAUUUCCUUCCUUGACUUUACCCCUCUUGAUGAAAUCCUCUCUACCUAUUUGCACCAGAUCAGAGUUUUUUGAAGCUUAAGGCCCCCUUUUCCCGCAGUUGUCUCAAUGGGAGACUUUCAUUCCUAGUCAUUUCCUUUAUUGCUUUCCUUUCUUUUUUUCAUGGCCAAGUCUGGUGGGGAAAGGAGUUGGGAUAAAUAUGCUAGUUUGAAGGGUGCUUCUCUUCUUGGCAUCUUACACACUAAUACCCCUUGGUUCCUUGAAUGUUUUGGCUUUGAAACUUGCUCCCCUCCAUGUAUUGGAACCUCCCAGCAGCCCUGGUCAAUGAAUCUUCAGACCUUCUCUUCGUGGCUUUUAUUUUUUUAUCAACUGGCUAGGGCUUUUGUGGCUCAUUGGGGCAAUUGUAUGGGCUAAGGUGGUUCAUUAAGUAAGUGGGCUAUUUUUAUUAAACAUUGAGCUUUUUGGUUGAGUCACUAGGCUAUUUUGAUUGGGCUAUUGGGCUAUUGUUUCCUCUCUUGUGCUCACCCACAUGUUUGGACCAAAGAAAUGAGCUUGAGUCCUGAGGCUCCCAAGCGACCCGAGACUUUCCAUUUAUCGGUCCAUCAAUGGGCCUCAUGUUGAUUUAUUACCAUCCAUACCACACCCCACUCAAGCAAGCCCCGGGCAUUUGAGUGGCUUGGGCCCACUUAGGCUUGUAGUGUGGUUGGGUGCAAAAUAACGAUUUCGUGCUUGGCAUGUUUUAAUUUUAUCAUCCAUGGGAAAGGCUGCGAUGUUUGAUUUCGGCAUGGGCUUGUAGAGCUGGUAUGCUUUAUUUCAACUCCUAGCAUGACGAAUUAUUUAUUUAGCAUGGCACGUGAAUUACAACUCGCAUGUGGUGGGUUUUUGUGUACUACACCUUACGCCUCUUCUUAAUAGAACAUCGUUUCUGAUAAUUUAUUUGGGCCCAACCGUGAAUUUUUUGGAUCUCAAUAAUAACCAUCAUGAAACAUUACAUUUUGACUGACAUCAAGAAAUGGGGUAUCCCUUUCUUGAUAGUGGCAUCCAUGAUGCCUUCCAAGCCGUCAAUUAAGGGCUAUCGCGAUGCAUUUUAGUUGUCAGCAAAAGGUGUUUUUCUUGUACUAUAUUCACUCAAAAUCGUGUUUCAUUUAAGAUUAGUAGUAUGGUUGAAUACCAUUUGUUUUGUUAAAGAAUAUUAUACAUUAGGGAUUUUUGUAGAAAUGUCAUUUGAACUUAUACCUUAGUUUCAAUUUGUCACCUUGAAGAAAAAUUUAAGAGAAAUAUCACCUUAAUUUUUUAAAAUCCAUGAUUUGUCAUAUGACUUUAAGAUCAUCCAAUUUUCCAUCCAUUUUAAGGGUAUUUUAGACUUUUCAUUUUCAAGGAAAAAAAAGAGAUGAAAAAAGAGACCUCUCUCUUACUUUGUCCCCCAACCCAACCCCACCCGCCCCCAAAAACACAUCACAUAGGAUUGCCUCCCCCUUCCCCACUUUUCUUUUUUCUUUUUGUCAUACUUUUCCACUGUGUUUAUGUUGAAGGAUCUAAAGUUUGCUUGGUCACCAUCUUUUACGUAGGCUUCCUAAUUGUUGGUUUGGGUGGGUUGUGGGAAUUUGUGUGUGGAGGGCAAGGCUCUAUCUGACAGGACCCACCUCGAAUUCCUCGAAACCCGAGACGAAUCUUGUAGAAUUUCCGACAUCACACCGAUGCCGGGUCCACUUCUGAACUAAAUCCUCUUUUCCAAAAUUAAGGAAAAAUAGUACGAGGCUUUCUGCCAAAAUUUCGGCAGUCUUCCCUAUAAAUUUAACGUUUCAGCUUUGGAGGCCGUUCUUUCAUUUCUGCUUUGGUGGCCGGAUGAGAGAACGGCCGGCUAAAACGUGGCCAGCUGGCACUGCCGUCACGAGAGAGAGAGAGAGAGAGAGAGAGAGAGAGAGAGAGAGAGAGAGAGAGAGAGAGAGAGAGAGAGAGAGAGAGAUGUUUAUCAAACCAUUUUUGCCAAAAUUACGAUUAUGCAACUGAGGGUAUUUUGAUCGUAUCUUUUUCGUUAUAACUCCGAUUCAAGCCCACUACAUAUCUACGGACUCAUCUCGCCGUGCUCUAUGCAAUUGUAUAGUUGAAAUUCCCAAAUUCCAUCCCAGUCAAAAAGUCAACUUUAAACCUUAUAAAAUAUUCUAAGGGCAAAAUGGUCUUUUAUCUAAUUAAAUUAAUAAUUGAAAAUUUAUUUAGGACCGGGUCGUUACACUGUCGUUGAUGGACUGUGCGAUGGCACUCACACAAAGUCCUUAAGAAUAAAACACACACACACCAUGAAGAGAGUAAAACAAAUGCACAAAGAUUUAUAAAGGUUUGGCCUCCUGCCUACAUCCUCUUGGUGAUCCACCCGAGAAAUUCACUUGUACGUAAGAACAACUUUGGUUACAACUAAACCCCCUUAGCUUUCAUAAGAACCCUAGAUCUCUUUUCUCCCACCCUUGCUCCAACCCUUUGAUGCCCUUGUAAACACUCAAGAAUUCAUCCUUGAAUUCUAUCAUGUGUUACAUCUUCUCUUCUCCCCUUUGCCAACCUAACCCUACAAGUUAUAUUUAAAAUUCAUUGGACUUUAAGUACAAGUUAACUAGGAAUAGGAAACAUAAAAGACCCCAAAAAUUGGAGAAAAUAUGUCUAGAUCUCAUUAGGAAAUUGCACAACACGUGCGAUCCUCUCGAGCGCCUGCAAAAUCAUCCCUUUGCCGCUCGAGCUGCCGAUAGCUCAUGGGAUGGGGGAAUUAGAAAUUUUUUUUUUUCAAUUUUAAUUGUUUAAAAGAUAUACAAUUUAUUAAUAAUAAUUUUUCCAUUUUUAAAAUACCCUUGAAAAUAGAAAGAUUAAAAUGCCCUUAAAAAUGGAUGGAAAAUUGGAUGGUGUUAAGGUCAGAUGACAAAUCAUGGAUUUUGAAAAAUUAAGGUAACGUUUCUCUUAAAUUUUUCUUUACAGUGACAAAUUGAAAUUGAGGUAUAAGUUCAAGUUACAUUUCUGCAAAAAUUCUUAUACAUUAUGAUAUUCUAACAAUAAUUGGCUAAAAUUGAUAUGUUCCCUCUUUUAUUUUCUUUUUCUCUUUUCCUUUUCAUUUUAUGAUCCAAUCCUUUUCAUAUAUUUUUGUUCAAGACUUUGUUUUAUAAUGCUCUAUUACUAAUUUGGUACAGGUCCCUAAAAUCUCGGAGCCGCCUUAGUACAUUCAUAACGUACAUGUUCAGAGUUCAAGAAUAAUGUAUAGAAUGUGAAAUUGACGAUGCCGGCCUUUAUGAGGCAACAUCUUUAUUUCUUUGGUUAUUCCAGUUUAGAAUAUUUGCACAAAUGAGAUGACUCCAAGCAUAAAGUCACAUUCGACCAAAAAGCAUAAAGUCACACACAAAAAGAACACGGACAAUUGCUAAGUUUAUCCUUGUACCCUUAUUUUAUUGAUCCGACCCAAUUGAAAAAUAAAAAAAGAUGAUAAAAAAUAUUGUUCACUGCUUUAAAAUCUAUGAGUAGAGUCCUCCAUUUGAAAUUUGGUCAUUAUACAAAAUUGGAAUGAAAAAAGAAAAUCCUAAAGCUAUAUUUGAUAUAUUUCAUUUUCAUUUUUUGCUGGGUGUUAGGGCUCGUCAAUGGGCCGGGCCUGGCUAGCCCGGCCCGAAUUUAAUGGGCUUGGGCCAGGCCGGCCCAGGCUUUAAAGAGGAGAGAGAAAAUAUCAGGUCGAGUUUUUUAAGAAAAUUCAAAGCCCAAGCCUGACCCAUGAGCCGGGCUUGAGAAAGCCCAUCGGGCCGGGCCGGGCCUAAACGGGCCCUACUUCAUUCAAAAAAAAUCAUUAACUUAAUCAUAAGGUCAUUUUAGUCCAAAUUUGAGAUUAAACUCACUUAAUUCUAAUAUUUUUACUUCAAACCAAAUUCAUAAAACACCCAAUAAAGUCACACAACUUGUAAGAUUUUCCACAAAAAUAAUAAAACCAAGUAUUAUUUUUGAGGUUAUUACAUAAUUAGAUCGUAAUACGUUUUAAAAAAUAAUUUUUAAAAAUAAUAUUAAUAAGUAUCAAAAAAAUAUUUUUUUAAAGGAUGGUAUGAAUAAAUAUGCAAAUAUUUGGUGAUGUGUUCAAGAAAAGGAUGAUUAUAUUUGGUGGUACGAUUAUGUUUCGUGAUACGAUUAUAUUUAGUGAUGUGAUAUGUUGUUCAUCUUAUAUAUAUAUAUAUAUAUAAUUGUUGAACUAAUAAUUGACACAAAUUAAUGUGUUAAUCAUCCAAUUAUAAACUAGGAGUGAAUAAAGAAAAGUAAAUGAAAUGAAACAAAUUAUAUGUGUGAUUUAAGUGAUAUAAUCCUAAACCUAAACUCUUAUUUAUACAUAAUUAUAUAUGUAUGCGGGCCUAACGGGCCGGACUUUUGUGGGCGUGUCGGGCCGGGCUUUCUUGGGCUUAAUCAGGCUGGACCUAUGGGUCAGGCCGGGCUUCAAACACCCCAACACGAGCCUAGCCUAGCCCGCCUUGGGCCGGGCCAUCUCAAAGCCCAUAACGAGCCGGAUCGGGCUUUUUUCGAUUGGCCGGGCGGGCCCCCUCGACCCAUGAGCCCGCGGGCCAAAUGAUGAGGCCUACUGGGUGUUCAAUUUUUCUUGUUUCUUGUUGAAAAGAAAAAUGAUAAUUAAUAAAAUCUGAUUUGGUGGUUGUGCUCGUCACAAAUCAAUGAAAUGACAGCAGUGAUUUUGCAAGACAGCAUACCUUCUCUUGGGGUGCUUUUCAUUUUGCAACAUUUCUUUACGUGUAAUUUCCAGAGGAGGGUUUAUCAUUGUAUAUAGCUCUUCGGGUGGUUUUUUCUGCAAAACAAAUGUCACAAGGAAGGAGGAGAAACGGAAAAGAUUUACUUGGAAUGUCUCAAGUCUCCUUUGAGAUAAAGGCAUCGAAUGCACAACAUUGUUUUUGUGCUAUUUCAUAAUUAAAGUGUGCUUCCCAAGUCUCCUUUGCGUUUUGUAACUUGUAAUGUUUGUUUUUUUGUUUCCCCUGUUUUGUCUUUUAUAAAAGAAAGAGGAAUGCUAGCAACCUUCUCUCUAAUCUUCUCUUUUGGACCUUCUCCCUUUUCUUUUUGACAAGUGUCAUUUUCCAUACACUUAAAACAAUGACAUUAAUGCAUCACACAAUUUAGUUUUUGUUUUCCAAGUUUACCAUUUUAAAAUGUAUUGGCUUUUAUAUUUCCUUCAAUUAUUCACAUUUUGUUAUAACUUGUUUAGCACAUUAUUUUUUUUAAUUUAAAAAAAGUCAUAUUUUUUAAAAAUAAAAAUAAAGUUUGUUUCAUGACAUUGUUAUCAUUUUUAUUUUGUUUUUAACAAAACACGCAUUCUCUUUGGAAAAAUUAAAAAUUAAAAAACAAUUCAGUUUUUAUUUUCUUAUUUAAUUUUUAACAAGCUAGUAAGAAAGUUAUAAAAAAAAAUUAGCUUGUUAUUAAAAAAAAAUUAAUACAUUUAAUAAGGGUAAAUUUGGAAAACAAAAACUAGUUUGUGUGAUGCAUUAAUGACAUUGUUUUUAGUUUAAGGAAAGUGACACUUGUCAUGAGAAGAAGGGAGAAGGUCCAAAAGAGAAGGUUAGAGAGAAGGUUGUUAGCACUCCCCAUAAAAGAAAUACAGGUCUGAACCACACGGAUCUACUUGCAUAAUAAUGGACCAAAUUUAUGAUUUUUAGAAAGAACCUUCUACUGGUGGAAUCUUGGGCUACUGUUGUGGCUCUCCUCUGUGUGCCUCCUUUUUAGAAUGGUAAAAUAUUCAAAAUACCAGAAAAUGUUCAUGAUUAAUGCAAAUAUUAAGAAUUGAAAUUAUUAAUUAAAUGAAGAUAAUAUGGUAAAUUCACACUUUUUCAUAUUAAAAAAAUUAAAAUUAAAAGAAAUAUCAGAUAAUUACUCUUAUUUUUAUGGAACACAGCUACCCAUUAUCUUUUUUAAUUAUAAAAUAAAUUUAAAUUAUAAAAAAAAAAUCCUCUCACAUGCACGGAAGCGCGUGCUCAGAGGCUAGUUAAAAAUAAUGAACUUUGCUUCUGAUGUCUAUACCAGACCCACUCAACCUGCUUUAUGAUUAUACAAAGAACAAACUCGUCCUUAGACUCAUUUGGUUAAACUUAGAAAAUAAUGAAACAAAAAUAUACACACCCACAAGUAACACAGCCAGGAUUGAAAACAACUGGACAAAGAAAGGCAUGUUAAAACAGAAUUUUCAACAACUCAUCACCAUUAGACAAGAAAAAGAAAAAUCAAUACAGAAACAGAAAGAACAGAGAAUAAAUGUGGUGGAAGAAAAACGUUGAAGCCAUUUGUGAAUCCAACAACACUACCACUCUGUUUCUCUCCUUUUGUUCAGGCGGAUCUGCAUAUAUCCUAAGGCGUAUUACGGAAACAACUUCUUGCCGUUAUACUUGAAUGUUGUGGAUGCUUCAACGUUGCCAUCUGGGUGGAGUGGAUUUGUCCAAUUCACCUUCACUAUGGUUAAUCAACUAGACAGACAUAAGUCAGAAACAAUAGGUAUAUAGGUCCAAAUUGUUGUUAUUUGAAAGGCUUCUAAAUUUUAACAUUUUGAUUUCUAAAUUUUGUUUUAAUAUUUCGGCCCACUUAGUUCUUCUCAAAAUAUGUCAUCAAUAUCGUUGAAAGGUUGAACUUAGUGAAUUAUUAUAGUGCAGUACGGUAAAAUAGGCACAUGAUAUAAUUUGUCCACAUGUUCUAAUAUAAGUGAAUAUUUAUUGAUAUUAUUUUCAAAAAUAAAAAAUAUCAACCAUUACAUCCUCCCAUAUUAUAAUACAUAUACAAAUUAUACCACAUUAUCAUACUCUAAUACCAUUUUAUAAUUUCUCGUACUUAGGAGGUAUAGAGCGAGUCAAUGACAUUACAUAAUAUAUAAUUGUUCAUAUAAUGGGGCAACUAACGUGAUCAACAAGUUGUGGUGAUUAAUUUAACAUAAUAAAAAACAUACCAUUUACUAUGUAACAAUUUGUUCUUUUAAAUUGGAUUGUCAUCACUUUAAUAUGUUAUGUUUCUUAUUCUAGUCUCCCAUGUUAAGUGCUUCAGCAUUGUUUGUGGUGUGUACACAAAUUUUCUUAUAAAAUGUUUUAAUGCUUCUCACAUGUAUAUCAGAUAUAGACAGUUGAUGUGACUUAGAAAUCAAAUUGUCAAUAAAGAAAAAAAAUAUAAUUGGUGAUCGAGGUCCAAUUUAAUAGAAAAUAGUCUUAAUUUGUAUAUUAAAGGUUUCAGAUUCGAAUCCUCACUGCAUUAUUGUUGUAUGCGUACACGAGAAAUUCUAUUUCCCAAUAAUUUAGAUUAUCACUUAUACUAAAAAAAAUAUAUAUAAUAAGUUUUACGAAUGCAAACAUAAAAUUACACCAAACAAUAAUGGAAUAGAAAGAUGGAAGUUUUUUUUUUUUCCUACAUCUAAAGUAUACUUUAUAUAUAUAUUUAUUAUGGGAGUUAUAACCGUUUAAUUUUCAGUUUUUAUUUUCUAUUUAUUGUGUUAAUUUUUAUGGUUUAAUAUGUAUGGAGAUUACAAGUAUUGGAUGUCUAUAAAGGGCCACUCCUCCUUCACAUCUGAAACAAACCACCAUCUCAUUUCUGUAUUUUCAUACUUUCAUAUAUUUUCUACUUUCCAGAUUAUUAUUUUUGGGCAACGGUUUUGUGACUUGGAGAUUUCUAUCCGAUUGUUAACAUGCUCAUAACGGACCUUGAGCUUGCGUAUUGGGGAUCGUAUCUUGGAGCCUUGUAGACCUUUAUUACGUGCAUGUAGGGAGGCUACAAAUGCUUUAGGUCAGCGUCUUUGACGUACUUUUGCUUUCUUUUUUUACUUAUUUCUUCGUUUCUUUAUUUUUACUUUACUUUUAAAUCUUUAUUUUAUGUAUUAUUUAUAUUUAAAAGUUUUGAAUAAGAGUUUUACAGAAAAGGAAAAACACAAUUUCAAAUAACACAAAUUUCUCGUUUUUUGUUCUUAAAAAAGAAGAAGCAUUGAUUGGGGAGUUAUGGUAAACUCAGUUUCAAUGGUUGCGAUGAGAGGCGGUGGCGGCGAGGAGAGGACGAAGGCUUUGCUGCCGACGGGGUGGUGUGGCUGGCUGCUUGGUCCUGGGUUCUCCUUUAAUUCUCUGUUUUCUUUUUUCAUUUUCUUUUUCUCUUAGAGUUAUUGAUGUUAAGUGAAUGGACAGAUGCCAAAAUAGGGACAGAAGAUGUGAACCCAAUUAUAUACAGCUGCUGCUAUAGCUGAUUACAUAAAGUAACAAAUUAAUUAAUGCUUGAGUGGAGGACAGGCUUGAGUGGAAGAAUUGAUUAAGGCUUGAGUGGAAGACAAACUUCAGUGGAGGAAAGUAUAGAUAAGGAAAGCAUGCCUCGUUUAACGGCUUUAUCUAAUAAAGAUUACUUGUUGGCACUUGGAGUUUCUUAGGAAUGCUGGUUUUGUUUCCUUGGUGGACUUGAAAGGUGGUGCCUUGGCUCGGACAUCUCCCAAGACAUACAACUGCUCAUUAGCUGAAUAUCUCGCUCUCUUUAAAGAGAUCGAAGCAAACACAAUUUGCAAUUUGUGUGAUUCAAGCAUGAAUAUCUGAUAUAGUAACUAUACCAUUUGUUGGUUUGAUAAGAAAAGUUUGGUUAGCGAGGAUGAAACCAUAAAGUUCCCAAAACACACAAAGAACACGGACAAUUGCUAAGUUUAUUCUUGAGUUCACACAUAUUUGCACAAAUGAGAUUAUUCCAAGCAUGAUUAUACCAUUUGUUGGUUUGAUGUGAAAAGUAUGGGCAACGAGGGGUAAAACCAUACAAACACACACGAAGAACGUGGACAAUACUAAAUUUAUCUUUACGUUAUUGAUCCGACCUAACUGUAAAAUAAAAAAGAUGAAAAUAUAUAAUGUUCAGUACUUAGAUCUAUGAGCACUUGCACAAAACAUCACUUUUGGUCUUUGGUAAAUUUUUAAAAUAAAUGAAUUUUUUACUUAUUUGUGAACUGAAAUGCCUCUAAAAAAAUAAUGAUAGUUCGAAGAAUUUGAUAGAAAUUAAAAAAUAUCCUCAAAUUACUUGGAAUUGAAGACCACAUAGGCAAAAACACGAAAUUGAAACCUCACUUUAAUGAUAAAAAUGGUAAACUACAAAGACAAAAAUGACGUCUUGCCUUAUAAAUAAUUGGAAUUUGCUGGUGAUAAUAGUCGAUAUCAUCUUUUGUCGGUCCGACCUAAAAAGAAGAAAAAGUUAAAAGCAUCUUGUACCAAUUUUUGCCAAUGUGGGCCCAAACAAUUUGAAGAAGUCCACCGGCAAUUUCUCAAAAGCUAUUGUGUGAGUGUGAAGCUAAACCAAUAUUAUUUUGCAUAUCCGACCCCACAUCCCCAUGUGAUGUGAGGCUACAGAGGUGUUUCCAAAACGAAAUAUGAUAUUUCAAAACGUAGCUAUGUAUAGAGUCAUUUGUAUUUGCUUUCACAAUAACAUUUGAUUUUAUAUUUAUACAUUCUGAUAUUUUAACAAAUAAAUUGACUAAAUUUGGCCAACAGGAUUUAGCCGAAUAGAAAAGUUCUUAUUUAUGGACUAGUAAUUUUAAAUUUAAAAUUUAGACUAUCGCAUGUAUUUAAAAAAAACUAAACAAUUGGCUUAAUUUGAUAUAUUUCCUUUUUUUCCUUUUUGCAUUUUAUGCUGGUUGCCGUUAUUAAGUUUUAUCCUUAUUUUUUGUUGAAAAGAAAAUUGAAAAAAAUAAUAAUAAUUCCUACAGCUAGCAACUUCUCCACCUACAAAAAAUAAUAUUUUUUGUUUUAUCCUCAUGUGAGGCUACAGAAAAUUUUUGAAAACGAAACUGGAUAUUUUAUCUCUAACGACAGCUUUCAUACUUCGUUUACCCUGUGUUUCCAAGUUGUGCUAGCUAUUUGCAAACCUUGGAAUAUUACUUCAUCCAAAUCCCUUGCAGAGAAAAGAAAGAUAUGGCUUUGAUCGGAGAGGCCCUCAUCUCUGCUACCAUCCAGACGUUGUGUGACAAAAUUGCUUCGCCUGAGUUCACCGACUUAUUUCGGCAGAAAAAGCUCGAUGAACAACUCCUCAACAAGCUGAAGACGACGCUGUUGACCUUGUCCGUAGUGCUUAAUGAUGCAGAGGAGAAGCAAAUUGAGGAACCUUUAGUGAGAGACUGGCUUGACAAUCUCAGACAUAAUGUCUUGGCUGCGGAGGACUUACUGGAUGAAAUCGACACUGAAGCUUUGCGAUGCAAACUGGAAGAAGGUGAAGGUCAAACCCACAAUUUAACCAAGAAGGUACGUGAUUUUUAUCAACGCAUGAAUGUUGAGAUGAAAGAUUUAUUAGAAAGAUUAGAACAAUUUGUACAAGAGAAAAGUGCUCUUGGUUUGAGAGAAGGUGCUGGGAGGAAGGUUUCACGAAGAACAACAACUUCCUUGGUUCAUGAACCUUGUGUCUAUGGUAGAGAUGAAGUCAAAGAAAAUCUGUUGCCAAUUUUGUUAUCUGAUGAUGCAAGUAAGGAUGAUGUGUCUGUCCUCACCAUUGUUGGAAUGGGUGGGAUUGGCAAGACAACCCUUGCCCGACUGCUUUAUAAUGACGAUGAGGUGAAAGAACAUUUUCCACUUCACGCUUGGGUUUGUGUUACGGAAGACUAUGAUUCUAAUAGGAUAACUAAAACUCUUCUAGAGUCAGUCACCUCAAAGUCUUCUAAUAUGACAGAUCUAAAUUUACUUCAAGUUGAACUAAAAGAACAACUCAAGGGAAAGAAAUUCUUAUUUGUUUUGGAUGACCUAUGGAAUGAGAAAUAUGGUGAUUGGAAACGCCUCCAAACUCCUUUUACUUCUGGGGCAAGGGGAAGUAAAGUCAUUGUAACAACACGGAGCCAACAUGUAGUAUCUGUCCUGCAAAGUGUUCAUGUUCAUCACUUGGAACCCUUGUCGCACGAAGAUUGCUGGUUCUUACUUGCAAAACAUGCAUUUGGAAAUGAAAAUUGCAGUGAUCCAAACUUGGAAGAAAUUGGCAAGAAAAUUGCACACAAGUUCAAUGGGUUGCCUUUAGCUGCAGAAACACUUGGGGGUUUGUUACGUUGCAAUAUAGAUUCAGAGGAAUGGAAUACAAUACUAAAUAGCAGUAUUUGGGAGCUACCCUAUGAUAAAUGUGACAUUCUUCCGGCUCUUGGGUUGAGUUACCAUUAUCUCUCCUCCCAGUUAAAACGAUGCUUUGUUUAUUGUUCAAUUUUUCCAAAGGAUUAUGAGUUUAAAAAGGAAGAUAUAGUUCAAUUUUGGAUGGCAGAAGGUUUAAUUCCAAAAGCUGAGAAUGGAAAGAGCAUAGAAGCGGUAGCUAGAAAAUACUUUGAUGAGCUGUUGGCACGAUCGCUAUUUCAAAAGUCAAGCAAAUCCGGUUUCACAAUGCAUGAUCUCAUUAAUGACUUGGCCAUGUUCAUGUGUAAGGCAUUUUGCCUUAGGUUGGAAGGGGGGGAAUCACAUGUCGUAGAAAAAGUUCGGCAUUUUUCAUAUGCUAUGGAAAGAUUUGAUGCAGCUCCAAAAUUUGAGCCAUUACAUAGGGCUAAGUUUAUGCGGACCUUUCUACCCAUAUCAUUAAAUUUUGUUUCCACUUCUUAUGUAACUAAAAAGGUUCUACAAGAUUUGUUGCCGUCACUAAGAUGUUUACGGGUGUUAUCAUUGUCACAUUAUCAAAAUGUUACUGUGUUACCUGAUUCUAUUGCAAACCUCAUUCACUUGCGCUACUUGGAUCUUUCCGGUACCGCAAUUGAAAGGUUACCUGGGGUACUUUGCAAUCUCUACAACUUGCAGACAUUACUAUUGUCAAAAUGUUUCUCACUCCUUGAAUUGCCUGCAGACAUUAGAAAAUUGACUAAUUUACAGAAAUUGACAUUGCUCGGUUGUAGUUCUCUUAAUAAAUUGCCUGCAGGCAUGAAGGAGUUGACUAAUUUGCAUCAUCUUGAUGUCAGUGGAACUAAAAUUGAAGAGAUGCCGGUGCAAAUGGGUAGAUUGAAAAGUUUGAGAACAUUGACUGCAUUUGUUGUGGGCAAAUCUACUGGGUUAGGCAUAAGAGAACUGAGGCAGUUCCCGCAACUUCGAGGAAAACUAUCAAUUUUGAAGCUACAAAAUGUAGUUGAUGCGAGGGAUGCACUGCACGCCAAUAUGAAGCACAAGAAAGAUCUCAAGGAGUUAAAGUUUUCAUGGGGUGCGGAGGAUGCUGAUGAUUCCCAAAAGGAGAAAGAUGUACUCGACAAGCUCCAGCCUUGCGUGAAUUUGGAGAAAUUAUCCAUCAAAUUCUAUGGUGGAACCAAUUUUCCGAAUUGGUUAGGAGACUCGUCUUUUUCUAACAUACAAGUCAUGCAUCUCAGUGACUGUAGUUAUUGUUGGUUGCUCCCACCAGUUGGACGGCUACCGGCACUCAAAGAGCUCUGUAUAAAAAGAAUGAAGUCUUUGAGGACGAUUGGCGUUGAAUUCUAUGGCAGAAAUGGAGCUUAUCUGACUCAGCCAUUUCGAUCUCUGGAGAAGCUAGAGUUUAGGGGGAUGCCGGAGUGGGAGGAAUGGGUACCAAGUGGAAGUGCAAGUGGAGGUGAAUAUGGUCCAGACUUUCCUCGUCUCCAAAAGCUGAUUCUAAACGAGUGUCCGAAGCUAAGAGGAAGUUUGCCUUGUGAGUUGCCUUGCUUGAAGAAGCUUACGGUGUAUGGGUGUAAGGUUUUACAUGAUGGAAGGACCGCUACCGCAACUACCAAUAGUGUUAACUAUAAAUCUCUGGAAGAAUUGGAUAUAAGUGGUGGAUGCCAAACUCUGUUAUCAUUAUUAGAGACAAAGCUCCUGUCCCGACUUCGGAUUCGAAAUGUUGUUGACAUACAGUGCUUGCCCAACUGCAAUCGUCUUCAACGUUUGACUCUUUGCCUAACGCUGUCAUCGUUUCCCAAAGAUGGCCUACCCACUACAUUGACAUCACUUUAUAUAAACAAUUGUAGGAAAUUAGAAUUCCUACCUCAUGAGAUGUUGGCCAAAUUAACAUCGCUUGACUAUUUGUGCGUACAAAAUAGCUGUGAUUCAAUGAGGUCCUUCCCGUUGGGCAUUUUUCCCAAAUUGACGACGCUUCAAAUUCGUGGUUGUGAGAAUCUGGAAUCUUUUUCCUUGAUUGAAGAAGAAGGAGCUGUUGACAAUCUCAGCCAUCUCAAUUCCUUGCGUGUCUAUAACUGUCCAAAAAUGGUGUGUUUUCACGAGGGAGAAUUGCCCACUCCCAACCUGAGUCACUUUGUAGUCAUUGGUUGCGAGAAUUUGAAGUCAUUGCCCGAACGCCUUCACACCCUCACUGCCCUUCGAUCUUUGAAUAUAUGGAAUCUUCCGAAUCUGGAGUCAUUUGCAGAAGAUGGGGGUUUGCCUCCCAACCUCCGAUCUUUUAUCAUUAGGAAUUGUAAGAGACUGAGGGCACUUGACUCAGUGGGUUUGCAAGCACUUGUCUACCUUCAGAUCGAUGGAAGUGACCAUGUCUUGGAGACGUUGCUGCUCCCUACCACUCUUCACACUCUCUGCAUCUCUGAUCUAUCAACUCUGAAAUCUUUGGACGGAAAGGGUCUUGGACACCUCACUUCUCUUCAAACUCUAAAAAUUUACAGCUGUCCAAGUCUUCAAUGCCUGCCAGAAGAGGGUUUGCCGCCAUCUCUUUCUCAUCUGAGUAUCCGCUGUUGUCCUACCCUGGAGGAAAGGUAUAAGAAUAAAACGGGACAAGAUUGGGCAAAGAUAUCUCACAUUCCUUGCAUCGAGAUAGGGGAAGAAGUGAUCAUAUAAUAUGAGCUAUUCCAUAUUUCACGCUCAACCCUCAACUCUCAAAUCAAAGUCAGGUGAGGUAUGUGCCUUCUCUUACUUUAAAAAACUGCUUCUCUUCUUCUAAUUGAAUACAAAAACCAAAACACAUAUUCUCUUUCUCUUCCAAAAACCCAAAUACAUGUUGGACAUUGCCCAAAUUUGUCUCCAAAUUCCUAGUUUAAAUCAAAUUUAAUGCCUAUGGAUAGUUUGUUAAUAGGUUCAUGCCAUGAAUUAAUCUUUGGACUUUCCCAGGUACUGCAGGUUUGUUAUUAAUGUUGUGGCCUGAUAUUCGUCGUAUCAAUACGUUGAGGAGAGAGAUCGAUCAGCAAUUACAAAAUUGUUAGUGAAUUUAGCUUGUUUAUCAUCUCUCUCCUUUUGUUUGUUAAGUUUUGUUGUUCUAGGUUAAACCCUUGUCCCCGCAUUUCACAGCAACUCUGUGUUUUUCCACUCUGUUUAGAUUUCACUAGCAGGAGAGCCCGCGCGAUGCUGCGGGUUUUGAAAUUGUGUAGACAAAAUUAGAUUGUUUAUAUAUACAAUGAGAUUUAAUUUAUAACAUUAUGUUUAACUACAGGAGUGUAAGUUGCAAAAAAGUAUAUAAUAACAUAUUUUACAGGCUACUUGUUAUGGUAAAAUACUAUACUUGUUUGUAUAUACAUUGAGAUGUUUAUAGUAGGAAGUAGGCAUCAAAAUAGCAAAAGUUGGAUAGUUUUGUACAGAAUGUUAUUUAAUUGGGCAAGCUUUGUUUUGCACUUGCUUCAUGAUUUUUCUUCUCUUUCAUGGAAGUCUUGAUCCUGUUAUAAAAAAAAGUGAGAAAAUAGUAAAUGUUAAUAUUGAUGAAUGGGGGAAAUUGAGUUAGGACAAUAAUCAUAAACAUUUAAUUAUGUAUAAACAGGAAUAAUAUAAUUUAUUGAUUUAAUAAGAAAGUUAUAAAUAGUUUUUCAAUCUAGGAAAUACAAAGUUACAAAAUUAAGAGAACUAAUGAGCAAGUUGUAGAUGGUUUUCUAAUUGAAGUAAUACAAAGUAAACAUAUUUUAAAUUUUGUGUUUGUCUAAAAGAAAAGUUGAAGAGAGGCAAAAUAAUUAUGGUUGAAUAUAUGGAGAAAAGGAUGUCAAUAUAAUGUUUAGGUUUUUAUGUAUUAGGAAUAUAUGACUUUUUUGCUGUUAUUUAGAGCAAAAAUUAUUUAAGGGCUUGACAUUUCUGUUAAAAAACGGGUAGAAUCUACCCUGAAAAAUGGACAUUUUGCCAAAAAAUUCACCUGUAAACUAAUUAGUACUGAAUACCGAUUGGCGAAGGCAAGACAAUCAUAGUUGUGGAGUACAUAGUUAGAAAGAUGAAUGUGCAAACGUACAUCUAACCCCAUGAUAUACAUCUAACCCCAUGUGAACAUGAUUUAUUCUACAACAAUGAUUAUCAAUUUUCUAAUUGCUCAUUUUCCUAACCCUAAUCAUCACAAACCCAAAAUUAACUCUAAAAAUUUCAAAUAAGCAUGGUUCUAAACCAAUUUCUAACUUACUUAGCGAAGUCUUUUCUAUAAAUGAUAGUUGUUGAAGAAAAAGGGAAACGAAAAUAAGCUUUUAGUGUAUAAGUACAUUGAAGCAAAACAUGAAGAGAAUCCAAUAUAUAACUUCAAUAUAUAACUUUAAUUUUCUAUAAGUGUUGAUCUAAAUUUACAUCCCUUACCACUCUUCAAUUUAAAAAUAGUUUUAGCUACAACAAACAACUUCAGAGAGAAGAUUUGGCCCUGUUUUAUAAGGCAAAACCUCUCUAACCACAUGACAUACAUCUAACUCCAUGUGAACGUGAUUUAUUCUACAACAAUGAUUAUCAAUUUCCUAAUUGCUCAUUUCCCUAACCCUAAUCAUCACAAACCCAAAAUUAAUUCUAAAAAUUUCAAAUAAGCAUGGUACUAAACCAAUUUCCAACUUACUUAGUGAAGUCUUUUAUAUAAAUGAUAGUUGUUAAGGAAAAACGGAAACAAAAAUAAGCUUUUAGUGUAUAUGCACAGCACAGAAAUUGCAUGUAGCUUUCCGAUUUUUAUCCCAACUUCGUUUCUGUGGAAUCACAAAACUACAUACGCACAGCACAGGGAAGGGAAAAAAAAAAAAAGGCACAUUUAAGAGACACCUAUCUUCUCAUUCUACAUCACAUCCUCUUUUCCUAGCUUUCCAACCUUGCAACCAAAGCAAACAUCUUUCCUGAUAAAGGGUAGGAAAGAAAGUGGUUGUGUGAAUUGGGAUGAGAGAGACAGAGACAGAGACAGAGACAGAGAGACAAAGAGAGAGAGAGAAAAGAGAAAUCAAAGUAUAUAUAUAAAUAGUAAGUAUAGUUUAUAUCAUGCAAAGUUUUGAUGGUUUCGUUCAAAAAAAAAACAGGGAAAAAGUUUUGAUGGGUAAUUCUAGUAAUAAUGUUCUUAUAAUUCUAUAUAUAUAUAGAUAUCAAACUGUACUACCAUAUUCUUCCUAUAUAUACACUUGGUCGUCAACUACCUCUCUCUCUCUCUCUCUCUCUCUCUCUCUCUCUCUCUCUCUCUCUCUCUCUCUGUGACCUGCAUUUAUACAGAACCAAUUAUUCCAUCUUCACUAUACAUUUUCCUCAUCUUCCCAUUCAUAUUUUAUGGCUCUCUUGUUCUUCCUCCUAAUUCUUUUGGUCCCUGCAAGCAAUACUAAUUGGCCACCAUCACCUGGCUACUGGCCAAGUUCUAAAUUCAGGUCUAUGAGCUUUUAUAAAGGAUUUAAAACUCUCUGGGGUCCUCAGCAUCAAAGCUUAGACCAACAUGCAUUAACAAUCUGGGUUUAAUGAGGCCAGAAAAUUUUAAGAACUUAUCUACCAAGCAUACCAAACUGACAAAGCAAACCAUAUCUGUAUUUUAUCAUCAAUUUCAUCAAUUUUAUCACCAACAACAGAUAAAAAAAGGGAAUUUUUUCAAAAAAAAAAAAAAGGAAAAAACAUAAAUAAAAAAAGGGGCACAUUUAAGAGAGACCUAUCUUCUCAUUCUACAUCACAUCCUCUUUUCAUUUUGAAGCGGUCAUGUGUUGUGAGUUUCUUGUUUUAUAAAUUUUCAAAACUGUUGUUUAGAACUGCAAAAUUCUUCAUCAUAUAUCUUGCCUUCUAAUAUACAUUCUGUAUCAGGAAACUGGAAUGAGGCUUGCUCUUUGAGGAAGAGAAAUAAAAGAAAAAGUUGUGGCAAAGGUUCACGGAUGUAGUUGGAUUGUAGUGGGACAGAGAACAAAUUUAUUUGUUGCAGGGGAAAAGUCUCAUCCAAAUGCUAUGAAAUCAUGGCAACUUUAAAGUAUUGGACAGCAAUAAUGAAAGAAGAGGGCUAUGUUGGUGACACAGAUUCUUGCUUGCAUGAAUAAGAGGGAGAAAAGCCCCUAUGGUAUUGACUGUUGCCGCCAAGUGCAUAUUGUUAUUACUAUGCGUACUACAUCCCAAGGCCUCUCUCAGCAGGAUUACAAAGUAAACCAGAAUUACUAUCCCAGCAGUAUUCUGCAACUUUGCUCUGCACUUCCUUAUGUAAUCUCUCUCUCUCUCUCUCUCUCUCUCUCUCUCUAUAAAUAUAUAUAUACACACACACACACACACACACAUAUAUCUAGGCAUGCAUAUUUAUGAGUUCCCCAUUGAGGAGGGAUUCCCUUUUGAGGAUUUUAUAAUUAGAAUUAGACUGCCUUCUUAACCAAUAGUUGGGUUUGUGUGGUAAGGUAUGCUGGGUUUGUUGAUGUGGAUAUUUAUGCCUGGAGGUGCUUUGUUUUACUACUUCGUUGAAGUAGAAACAGACACUGACAAAGAAGCCCUUCAUUCUUUGUCUCAAUAGUGAUUGGUUUCUUUGAUCCUAUUCAUCAUAUCUGGUGGUGAGGUUGCCUAAUCAGCCAAAUGUUGGGUUCAACUACCUCUCUCUCUCUCUCUCUCUCUCUCUCUCUCUCUGUCUCUCUCUCUCUUUCUCUCUCUCUCUGUGACCUGCAUUUAUACAGAGCCAAUUAUUCCAUCUUCACUUUACAUUUUCCUCAUCUUCCCAUUCAUAUUUUAUGGCUUUCUUGCUCUUCCUCCUAAUUCUUUUGGUCCCUGCAAGCAAUACUAAUUGGCCACCAUCACCUGGCUACUGGCCAAGUUCUAAAUUGGCCAGAAAAUUUUAAGAACUUAUCUACCAAGCAUACCAAACUGACAAAGCAAACCAUAUCUGUAUUUUAUCAUCAAUUUUAUCGCCAACAACAGAUAAAAAAAGGGAAUUUUUUCAAAAAAAAAAAAAAAAAAGGAAAAAACAUGUUUAGUCUUUGCUUUCCAAUGUUUUAUCCAAAAACCUGAAAAUCAAAGUAACUAAAUAAAUGAACCCAAUCAUUCCUAAUUUCUAUUUUGUCAAAACCUAAUUAAGCUUCACUUCUUUUUUGCUUGUAUUUUAUCAUCAAUUUCAUCUAUUUUAUCACCAAUAGCAGAUAAAAAAAGGAAAUUUUUUCAAUUAAAAAAAAAAAAAACAUACUCAGUCUUUGCUUUCCAAUGUUUUAUCUAAAAACCUAAAAUCAAAGGAAUCAAAUAAAUAGGGUUUAGGGCUCAAGAACCUGAAAUCAAAAGAACCAAAAAAAUGAACACAACUCUACAUAGCACGAAAAAUCUCCCAGCCAACAAUCAAAUUCAUGAAAUAAAUACCAAAAGAUCUGUUAAAAAAUUGAUGAGAUGCAUACCUGAAAACAAAGGAUGCAACAAAGAUGGAAGCCUGAGUCGAAGCAAGAACGAUGGAAGCCUGAGUCGAAGCAAGAAAGAUGGAAGCCUGAGUCGAAGGUUGUAGAAAAGACGAAAUCUCCCGAUCCCAAAUCUGUGACACGAAGACUGAAAGCACGGCUGGAUUUGCAGCUCACCUCCCAAACAAAAAUCGACGGCCUUCAACGCAUCUCCAGCAACGAACACAACUCUUCCAUGGCUGCCCCCCAACCAGCUGGUUGGAAACGAACGGGAGAAAAUGGUUUCUCUCAGCGGACGAAACCAUCUCAACGAAGGGGGAGGGGCAAAAACGGGAACAAAAGAAACUGUUUAGUCAAGGGCAGUUUCGUCAUUUAACUGUGCUGCAGGAAAAAAAACGAAAACAGCAGAAAAAUGAGGGGCAUUUCCGUCAUUACACUGUGCUUAGCUACAGUGUUUAGUUGCAUUGGGUUUUAGUAUAUAUAUAAUUUAUGUUGUGAUUCGACUGCUGCUGUAUUUUAGAUUUAUAGGAACAGACCAAACAUGUUGAUUCUAUCACCAAAAUUAUAAAGUAUACUUCCAUUACAAUUAAUUUGUUGAUUCUAAUUUGGACUUGUAGGAACAGACCAAACAUGUUCAUACGUGGCAUUGCUCAAGUCAUCAUCAUUCGGGACAGAGAAUAAGCCUUCAAAUGUCUGCUGAGUCAAUGAACCUUUCUAGAUAUCUCAAGUGUAAUGGAAAUUGAUGAGUUACAAAGGAUUUGUAAACAUUUUCUACUGGAGGCUAGAAAUGCUUCAAAUAAAUGACUCUGUUGCAAUUAUUUUGUAGGAUCAAAGACUCUGCAAAGAGGUAAGAAAGUCAUCAUCAAGUAACUUCGCUCUUCAUACUUUUUAUUAGGGGUGGGCAUUGGAACCGCAAAACCGCAAAACCGAACCAACCCAAUCCGAAAAAAACCGAAAAAAACCGUGUUGACCGAAAAAGUCAAAAACCGAGACAAAUCCAAACCGAACCGGUUCAGACCGGUUCCGGUUCCGAUUUUCCACCUUAAGGAACCGGUCCAAUCCGAACCGGUCCAAUAUAAUUAAUUUUUAUAUUAUAUUUAUAUUUAUAUUUAAAAUAUCAAAUUUUGUAGGCCCAAACCCAACUAUUUCAUUAUACCAACAAAAAGCCCAAAUCUCCCAAGUCCAUUGCCCAAGUCCAACAAGCCAUAUUUUAAUAUCCUAAUCACAUCAAAUCUCACUUCACUCUCUCUCUCUGACGCACUCUCUCUUUUCCUCUCAGAUUUUUUUUACUCUCUUUUUCUUUCUUUCUUCUCUCUUCCGCCUCUUUUCCUCUAGGUUCUUUAACUUCUUUUUACUUCUUUCUUUCUUCACUCUUCUGCCUCUUUUCCUCAGUUUUUUCUUCUUCUUUCUCUCUUAUUCUUUCUCCUCUCAAUUCGUCUCCAUUUUUUUUCCCUCUCUUUCUCUGAUUUUCUGUUACUCUGAUUUUUUUCUUCUUGGUUUUAUGUUUCUCUCUCUCCCUCUAUAUCUCUUUCUUUGCAACUCUGUUUUUCAAUUUCUCCUUUUUUUUCUCUCUUCAUUUUUUGUUUCUCUGUACAUAUAUGUGUUCAUCUUGUAGAUCUGGGUGAAAUUCUUGUAGAUCUAGGUGAAGUUCUUGGAGAUCUGCGUUAAGUUCUUGUAGAUCUAGGUAAAGAGCCAAUUCAAAGCAGGUCAGCGUCUCUUAUCUCCCCAAUCCCUUGUGAAGAUAUGUAUUUUUUUUGUUGUCAACAAUCCAUUUUGGUGUUUUUAUAUGGUAUUGAUAUUUUCUAUGAUUUUGGGCUGAUUUGAGGUCUGAUUCUUUUUUUUUCUUUCAAUUUUUUCCUGUUGUGUUUUGAUAGACAUGUUCUCUAUUCCUGAUAUCAUUCCUCAGUGGCAAAAUCUUUGAGCGUUGUUGUAAAUUUUAGACGGGAAAGAAGCUCAUUCAUAAUUCAAAAAAAGAAAAUAAAGUUACAACAACUGACAAUUUGUUGCUCUUUGAAAUAGGUACUGAAGUAGCAUGGAUAAAAAGAAAGACUGAAGAUGUUGCAGAAGAUUGAAUAUGUUCUAUUUCUGUAAUUUGUUUGUAAUUAAAUUUGUUUAUUUUGUUUUGUUUUUAGGUUGUAAGUUUUAUUUUAAUGUUUGAUAUUUGUUGUUUUGUCAAAAAAUUGUAUUAAUGCUUGAUGGAUUCAUUCAAUUUGCAGUGCGUGGAUGUGAAUUGGGCCAAUCGGUAAUAAUUAGGCCCAAAAGGUUUUAAAUAUCAAUUGGGCUGAAACUUACAAAAAAAUUUAAGAACAAAAAAAAAAUCAAUUAAGCUGUGUGUCGGCCCAAACCGUAAAAACCGGAACCGAACCGGAUUCAAAUGGGUUCGGGUUGGUCCGGUUUUCUCAAGCAUUUUAGUAAAAAUCCGAACCGGACCGGACCGGUGAACAGUACCGGUUCCGGUUUUAAAUUGAUGCAAAAACCGGUCCAAACCGGACCGUGCCCACCCCUAUUUUUUAUUUUUAUUUUUAAAUAUCAGUAAUAACUGGGAAAGCUUGCAUCUCCUUAAAUUGCUCAUUCUUACAUCUUUUAUAGUUUGUUGAUCUUGGGCAAGUGGAGAGAGAGGCGUCAAGUGAUACGCAACAACCAUUUUCUGUGAGCUGAUUUGAUAAAGAGAAAUGGUAUGCUUUCUUGUCUUAAGCGGUGUGUUCUGCAAUUAUUUGAAACAAAGGAUGCCGCACUUCAAGUUCGAGAAAAUCAGGUAUUUUAGUAUUUUAUUCUUGAGAAAUUUGAUUUAUGUAGAAACUUGAACAUGUAAAUGAGAGAAAAAAAAAUAAAUAUAUAUAUAUAUUAUAUAUUGUAUAUGCUGUUAAUGAGUUAAUAUGGUGCUUGCUCCUAGUUGGAAAUUUAUGUAGUCAUCUACCUAUGAUCAAAUAAAGAUGAAAAAUAAAAUAAAAUUGAGAGCAUCUUCCUCUCCCCUGCUUUGCUCAUCCCUUGUUCUUCCACUUCAGCCCCACUAUUACACCAUUUUUUUCAGCCACAAUUAUAAUAGCUCCAUGAGCAUUAAGUCCCUUUCAAAUUCUGCUGACAUUCAAAAUUGGAAUCUGCUGGUGAUAUAUGAUAGCGUUAACAUAUUGUACCAUUUUGGCCAGUGUACGCAAUAUUAUUGCAUCCAACUUUGCAUAUUAACAUCAGUGGCCACAGUUACACGAUUUGAGUGCACAGAAAGGUUUCAAAAGUUGUCCCACAGAGAACAGUCGUUCAAAGUGAGAGAGUUUUGAAAGCUUAAUUACAAGUUCAUGUUGUUUACAACCUCAAAAAGCUUUCAUACUUGCUUACAAACCUGUAUUUCCAAGUUCUGCAAACCUUGGAAUAUCACUUCAUCCAAAUCCCCUUCCAAAGCAGGAAAAAAUGGCAGCAGCUUUGAUUGGAGAGGCUCUCAUCUCUGCUUCUAUCGAGGUGUUGUGUGACAGAGUUACUUCAGCCGAGUUCAUAGACUUAUUUCAGCAGAAGAAACUUGAUGAAACACUCCUCAUGAACCUGAAGACGACACUGUUGAUUUUGUUUGCGGCGCUCAAUGAUGCAGAGGAGAAGCAAAUUGUGAACCCUGCUGUGAUAGAGUGGCUUAACAGCUCAAGCAUGCUGUCUUUGAUGCAGAGGACUUACUUGAUGAGAUUGACACUGAAGCUUUGCGAUGCAAGCUGGAAGGUGAGGAUCAAACCCACAAUAAUUAACCAACAAGGAUCUUUUUGAUUGUUUGAAAGGAGGGUCUUUGAUGAUUUGAAAGGAGAGGGUUGCUUCAUUUCUGUUGGAUGCUUAAUUAAAUCUUAUCUGGACUUGAACAAGGAUUAGGUUAGCUGUAUAAUUCGUGGUAAACACCUUUUUCUAAGGUUCAUUUAGACUCCUAUUACGAUUAAUUUGUUGUUUCUAAUUUGGACUUGUAGGAACAGACCAAAUAUGUUCACACGUGGCAUCGUUCAAGUCAUCAUCAUUUCAGACAAAAUCAGCCUUCAAGUGUCUGCUGACUCAAUGAACCUUUCUAGAUAUAUCAAGUGCAAUGGAAAUUCAAGAGUUACAUAGAGAUUUGUAAACAUUUUGAAGAUUGCAACACCUGCAAGUGAGAUAGGUGGUGACGAAAUCAGAGCUGAUCUUGAAGCCUCUGAUGCCCCUGUCGUUGCAAGUUGCACCUGAGAACAUGGUUUUUUUUUGGGUAAAAAACCAGCAACAUGUUCGGGGCUGGCAAUUCAAUCCCUGAUGAACUUGAGAAGCAAAGCUCCAGUAAGGAAAUUGGUCGAGGUCACGACAGGGAUAAUUGAUGGUGAAAUGGAUGCUAUUUCUUAUUGCAGCCUGUUCUCAAAGUUCUUGUUGGCAAAAGCAAGAGAUGGAGUAUUUUGAUUGGGAGGAGAGAUAAUGACAUGUGUUGACAAUUCUAGAACAGCCCAUCUGAGUUCUUUUGUCAGGCUGCAUCAUUUAAUCCCAGCAAAAAUCCAGUUUUUGCUAAACAAUCAAAUUGUACACAUUUUUUCUUUUCGAGGAAUUUAACAUUACACAUUUUUUCAUUUUUUCAUCAAACAGUUUUCUAAUGCAUUUGUUGUCCCAAGUUACAAUGAGGAAUUUGGAUUGAGUUUCUUGUGUUAAUAACAUUAUACUUUCAUGGAAUGGUUUAUCUUCUUUUUCUGGACAAAAAUAUUUAGAUUAAUUUCUUGGAAUAAUUUUUUAAUAAUUUUUUAAUUGCAGUAGCGAAAAAAGGAAAAUUGUAUUUUUCAAAACCAAUCUUAAGUCCAGUUUCCUCUUCUUGGUCGUCACACUUGGAAAUUGCUAACCAUAUAUAACUUGGGGUAACAAUCUUAGUCCGAAUGUGUACGAUCUUAGUCCGAUCAAUGGCUACGCGUAUUGGCUCGGCCUUGGGGUCUACCAUUCCAGUGUACAAGCUUCCUGGGUCUUGGGGCAAUUCCUUCAAAUUGUACACAUGUUUUCUUUGAGAAGCAAGGCUCUAGUAAGGAAAUUGGUUAUGUAACAAAUUUUGGUCCCUUUGGAUGGAAUGAUUUACAAUGAGGAAUUUUAUUAUUAUUAUUUUGUUUUUGUUGUUAGUGUAAUGAAAAUGAUCUAGGUUCAUACACUGGGUAUAGCUCUAAUUUGGCCAAUUUCAUUAUUUUAGUUUCUUCAUAUUUUCAAUUAUUAUAAUUUGGUGCGUUGUUUUUUAAAAACAUUCAUGAGAAUCUCCAUUUUUUAGGUGUUUAAGUUAUUCAUCCACAACGGUUUUAUAAUACCGUCAUCUUUUCAAACACAACGAUGAUUUUUUAAUCUAUCGUCGUUGUUUUCUGAUCGUCUUUUUCACUUUUUGUAGUAGUGUCAAUAAGUAAGAUGAAAUAAUACAUUCACAAUCUGUUUAAAUUUUAAAUUAAAAAAAACACAAGAAAAUUUUAAAUAAGUAAGUAAUUUUAAAUAUAUAUUUCCAUUGUUUUGGUUUUCUUUUCAUAUUAGUUUUCUACUAGCUGCUAAUUUCAUUUAAAUUGUUUUUCUUACUUCAUUUAACUUUUAAGCAUGCAGAUGCAAUCAUGACUUCUUCUUUUUUUCAAUAGACUGAUUCUCUUCCCACAUAUAUAAUGCUCUCUAAGUAUUCGUAAUAUGAGUAGGAAUUUAUUUUCAUUUCACAAGAAUUGUCCAUCAAAUUCUGAUAGGUUUGUCGAUAGCACAAGCAUGCACAUAUAGACACUACAAGAACUUUGUUUCUUCAUUUUGUUUCCUAAAGAUUUGUUGGCUUCGUGCAGAUGAAUAACAAGUCUCUCUGUCCUCUAUUUCUUCUUUUUCUUUUUUAACAAUUCAUAUUCUACUUUCUGUUUUCACCCAGUAAAAAUUGAUUUUAGACAUGGGCUUCUAAAUUAUGUGCGGAUAAUGGUUGCAUUUAUAGAAUAUCCAUGGGCUUCUAGUCACCGUGGUUGUUGAUUCAGCAUGUCAUAUUACUCUUGGACUAGCUGUUGACACUACUACAUUUUACACUUUGCGCGACGAAGAACAAAACGUCGCGCAAAGUCGCAUUUAGUCGCCCCAAUUUCAGCGCGACAAAAACGUCGUCGCGCAUAUUCCGUCGCGCGAAGAUCGUGAAGAAAGCCUUUGCACGACGAGGUACAACCCUUCGUCGCGCAAAAGUGUGCGACGGGUAAACCAUCGUUGCACCAACGGUGUGGAGACGAAACAACCCUUCGUCGCAAAAAUAUUUGCGCGACGAUAAAUUAUGCGGCGCACGUAUAUUUGCGAGACGACGGGAAUUGCGCGACAAAACAUUAUUCGUCGCGCAAAAUAUGUAUGGGAGACGUAUAUGUUCGUCGCAGAACAAUUCGCGCGAUGAGAAAGUUUUCGUCGCACAUAUAAUUGCGCGACGAAAAAUUAUGUCGUCGGCCAAAUAUUUUGCGCGACGAAACAUUUCGUCGCGCAAAACGUGUUAUGUGUUCGUCGCGCAUGAAUUAAAAGUGAUAAAAAAAUAUUUGAUUUUUUUUUGUUACAUGUUGGUUUGCGCGACGAAAGAUUUUCCGUCGCGCAAAAAUAAUAUUACAAUUUUUUUUUUAUUUAUAUUUUUUAUUUGAUAUAAAAUUGGUUUCUUUUUAUUGAUUAAACAAUGAAAUUGCAAUAAAAAUAAAUUAGAAUAAAAUUUUGUUAUAAAAUAAAAUAAAAUAAAUGUAUUACAAAUAAAAUAAAUACACUAAUCAAAUAAUGAAUCAAAAUCAACCGAGUCGUCGCCAGUAUGCGGCUCGGAGGGCGGGGCGUUCACCGGGGCAGUGGUCUGGUGGGGAUGCCCGGGAUGGACGGGCUCAGAGGUCGGCGCAUCAAAAUGCGGGACUGGAAUGCCGGACUGUGCGAGGGACUGCAGAAUGACCGACAUCUGGCUCUGAAGAGUGGCCACCUGUGCUGUCAAAGCAGUGACCUGACUGUUUGACUGCGCCGAUGAACGAGGUCGAGGUUCCCUCCGCCGGGCAUUCCCCAUCCCUCGACAAUAUGUCCCCGGCCUCCUCCCGAGAGUCUGAUCCAACGUCUCCGUCAAUAUCUGAAAUCCAGCAUCCUGUGGAGGAGCCACAGACUCGAUCGGAGUCUCGGGAGGAAGCUGGGAGGCGGACUCCUGAAGAACAAGCUGGCUCCUCUCCACCAUCGUCGUCUGUUGAACAUAACAUAAAAUAUAAAUUAAAACAUGCAUAUAAAUUGAAUGCGUAACAUAAGAAUUAAAAUUAAAUAAUACUUACAUGAAGGGACUCGGCCAACUCAUUCCCGGGUCGAACAUAAACGUCACCAAAGACGUCGAUCUCUGGGAACUUGGACCCCUCCUAAAUUGAACAAGAGAAGAAAAAUAUUAGUAUGAAAAAAAUAAAUUAAUAAAAAUGACAUUAAAAAUGAAAUAAAAAUUUUGUGAUUAUUACCCGACGCCGUGCAUCCAUCCUAUAAGAAAAGGGUCUGGAGCCGGAAUGGUGGAGAAGGGUCUUCUUCUUCCUAUUACCCUUAUUCACUUGGGCUUUAUUCUGUUAUACAAAAAAUGAAACGUAUUAGUUAAAAUAUAAAAAAUUAAAUAAUAAUGAAAUAAAAAAAUAAAAUAAACAUUAAUAAGUAAUAAGUAAUAAUUAAACAAAUAUAAUUAAAAAAAUACCGCAAAUUCGGGCGCUUGAAAAUGAGCGCAGAGCCACUCCCAACUAUCCUCCCGCCCCUCAAGCUCCUUCGGGCAACCCUCCUGAAGAGCGACUUGCGGAUCAUCAUAGGCCUGAAAAUGGUGGUGCAAGUCGCUCUUCCACUGCUUGUACCUCUCAGCGAAGAGUCGGUUGACGUACGUCAACGACUCUUCGUCGAGAUCCUCCAAGUUAUAGUUCGUCUGCAAUCAAUUAAUUAGAUACGUUAAGUAAUAGAAAUAUACACAAUUUUAAAGAAAAAUAAUGAAAAUGUAAGGUACAUACCGACAACUGGCCGUGAAUCUCCGCCUGGAUCUCGUCAGGCAUGACCCUCCAAGACUUCCAUUGCAUCGGGCAAUGGGUCCGCACGACGUGGCCAAUGUCGUGGGCCAAGGAGCUAUGCAACUUCGCCGUCGGUGCAGCACGAUGGCGCUCGUCGUAUCCGAUGCUGAUACGACUGUUGGUCACCCGGGUGACCUUCGCCGUCUUCAGCUGACGACACGGUCCUCGGGUGUUCCUCUUCGCUGCAAAGAAAUAAGGUAUUAAUGUUAAAUAAAAAAACAUUGUCAAAUUUCAAUAUAAAAUUAACAAUACAAAAGUGUAGUUAUACCUGGCUGUGAUCCCGAGGCACCAGUACCGUCGGUCGAUGUCGUGUCGAUGGUGUCGGUGGGCCGGUGCCGCCGCCUAGCACUAGCUGGUUGCGCCACGGAUGACGCAGAUGACACAGGCGCCUGGGGCGCCCCGGGACCAACCACCACGUGGUCCAACAAAGCAGGAGCAGUGGCAGCAGAUGCCGACUGAGCCAGGGGAUCCGAACUCGGUGCAGUCGUCAUCGACCUACCACGUCUAAUCAAGUCUGACAUCUGCACAUAUAAUUUCAUUCAGAAUGUAAACUAAUUAAUUAAAAGCAUAGCCUGACCUAGGGUUUGGAAUUUCGGAGUAUCCGGGACUCCGAUCAACGAUCGGUCGAAUCCUAAACGAUCCUAGAAACACAAAGGUACAACUACGCGAGUUUCAGUUCGAUCCAACGGUCCGAACAUAUCAAACCUGGAAAUCGCACAAUAGGCGAAAUUCGAUCAAGACUCAAACGGUAACCAAAUUCAAAUCCGAGCAAACCUACGCGCUCGUGACAAACAGGGGAUCGCUCUGGGACACAAUGCCCCACUGCCACAGCAUCCCACGCGCCGGCAGCGCGUGGGUGUCCAAAGCGAUAACAUUCGCCGGAAAAUUCUAAAAACUAACGGCCAAGGUUCCUACCCUAGGUUGAAAACAAUAUUUGGCGCCACUUUUGUUCUCGGACCUACCCCGAAAAAUGGCCGGAAGUGGCCGGAUUUGAAAUUGCCAAACCGGCCAAAACCUAGGGUUUUAAUUCCUAUUUCCUAUACCCAUCAGCUAGAGCACAAAAAAUAGUCGAGAAAUCAUACCUCAGGCGUCGGAAAUGGUGGCCGGAGGAGAGAGAAAACGGCCGGCGAGGAAUCGGUGAAAAACCGACGAUGUGCGACGGCAGGCUCGACGGCGAAGGCAGGGGAGGCUAUGGCAGGAGCGGCGGUGGCUGAGGUGACGGCGGAGAGAGAGGGCUGAGGUGACGGCGGAGAGAGAGGCAAACGGAGGAAAAAACCAGAAAUGGGGAAGAAGGAGGCAUCGCGACGUUUCUGCAAAUUUUUACGACUUUGCGCGACGAAUCACAUCAUUCGUCGCGCAAAAUGCUAUUAAUGAAUCUUGCGCGACGCUAUAUCCGUCGCGCAAGAUCUGUCAGAACGCCAAAUUCUGAAAGUGGAUUAGGGUCUGUAAGUUUUGCGCGACGAAAUAGACAUACUUCGUCGCGCAAAAGGCUGUCUUUCCGCCAAAAUUUUGGGAUUUAGGGUUUAGCGGGAGGCUGAAACUGAAGGGUUUGCGCUUUUGCGCGACGAAGACGGUAAACGUCGCGCAAUGGUAACCUUGCGCGACGGAACGUAUUAUAUUCGUCGCGCAAAAGGCUAUCUUUCCGCCCAAAUUUUGGGAUUCAGGGUUUAGCGGGAGGCUGAAGGGUUUGCGCUUUUGCGCGACGAAGACACUAAACGUCGCACAAAAGGCUGUCUGCUGAAAUGAAUGGUUUCUGCUUUUGCGCGACGAAGACAAUAAACGUCGCGCAAAACGUUGUCGUUCCGCCAACAAUUUGGGGUUUAGGGUUUAGUGUGAAAACUGGCGCCCAGAUUGCGCGACGAAGAGUACAUAUUUCCUUCGCGCAAUCUAUUUCACUUUCACUUUGCGCGACGGAUAUGUUGGUUCGUCGCGCAAUCUUCAAGAUUUUCAUUGAAAUUUUCACUAAGUGUUCAAAGGGGAUGGAGGUGUGAAAACUGGCGCCCAGAUUGCGCGACGAAGAGUACAUAUUUCCGUCGCACAAUCUAAUUCACUUUCACUUUGCGCGACGGUUAAAUUGUUCGUCGCGCAAAAUGUAGACCCUAAACCCCCUUGUAAACCCUAAACCCUGAACCCUAAGCCAUAAACCCUAAACCCUAAAAUAGUUUCAAUGAUCCAACCGGCAAACUUAUUGUUUGAAACUUGGAGAUCAUAUACGCCAAAAAUCAAGAAGACCAAACAUUCAGAUAUCAGGGAACGGGACUAAAUAUUUCGACGGUUAUAAAUGAAAAGUCAUGAUUUAACGGUUAUUGUAACUCCGAUUUUGAUCAAUUUUGACAGCAGCAUUUGUUGACCCUAUAUGAAUACAAUGACUGAAUUUGAUCUUCAAUUUCAGAUUUUUACACUAGGGGAUACCACAUAAACGUGAAGUUACAUUUGCACAAAUGUAUAAACAAAUUUUAGGGUUUUUGGUGAAUAUAUGAUUUUGAUAGCACAUGCAGUCUACGAAACAAGUUUCAGUCAUCCAGCCGUCAAACUUGUUUUUUUAGACUUCGAGAUCAUAGACAGCAAAAAUCGGACAAAAAAAACAUUCAGAGAUUAAGCAACGGGGUAAAACUUUUCGACGGUUCUAAAUAAAAAGUGAUGAUUGAACGGUUAAUUUAACUCCGAUGUUGAUGAUUUUUUGCAGCUACAGUCCUACACUCCAUAUGAAUACAAUGAACUACUUCGAUCGCCAAUUUUAAAUAUAUAUGUGUGUAUAUAUUAUACUAUAACGUUACCUAAUAUAUAUUUGCGCGACGAAAGUUUGCUUAUCGUCGCGCAAAAAUGCCAUACGCGACGCAUGUAUAUAUGCGUCGCGGAAACUAUGCGCGACCAGUUGUAUUCGUUGCGCAAACAUUACGCGACGCUUAUGUAUGCGUCGCGUAUGGUAUGUUUGCGCGACGAUAUGGAGCCCUUCGUCGCGCAUGGAUUUGGCGCCAUAAAUCCUCAUUGAUUUCAAAUUGUGUAUGCUUUGUAUUUUUUAGAAAGGUUUUGUAUUCAUCAUUUUUUAUGCUUUGUAUUUUGUGGAAAGGCUUUGAAAUAUUCAUUUCUUUUGUUAUUUUUAUUGAAGCUUUAACUUGUUCUGUUCCGCAGAAAAUUCCAAUGAAGUUUGUGAUGAAAUAUGGAGAAUGAAUACACAACUACAUAUGGACAACUACACAUAUUCAAAGAUUUGUAUUACACAAAAUUAAUACACUAACAUAAUAAAUUUACAAAUAAAUUCAUUAUUCAUCAUCUGAACUAUAAUAACUUUCGUUAUCGUCGCUAGCUUUAACUUGUUCUGUUCCGCAGAAAAUUCCAAUGAAGUUUGUGAUGAAAUCUGGAGAAUGAAUACACAACUACAUAUAGACAACUACACAUAUUCAAAGAUUUGUAUUACACAAAAUUAAUACACUACAUAAUAAAUUACAAAUAAAUUCAUUAUUCAUCAUCUGAACUAUAAUAACUUUCGUAUCGUCGCUAUCAUCACUCUCGGUCUCCCAAUCUUCUUCCUCCUCCUCCUCUAUAACUGCAUCAUCGGCGUUGCUAGGGCCCACUGCAACAUCGUAUCGGGGAAGAUCACCGAGGUCAAUUGUAAUUGACUGAAUCGGUAUUUCGACUGAAGACACUCCUUCUAUUUGAAACGGUUCUUGUAUAACAUUUGUAUCUCGAAGUGUUUCCGCAUCAUUUUCCAUUGAAGAUUCUAAACGAUGGUCAGCCACAUUGUCGACGUCGUUGUCACUUGGGUCUAGUUCUGGUAUAUUAUACACGUUCCUAUGAUCCAUCUUCUGCACAACUUUCCACCCGUUCCCGGCUUUAGGGUCAUCUAGAUACACAAUUUGGGACGCCAUGUUUGCCAAAAUGUACGGGUCGUCAUCAUACCAAGUUCUGUUAAUAUUCACAGACAGUACUCCAUGGUCGAUUUUAACACUUCCCGCCCUAUUUGGGUUGGUAUCGAACCAUCGACACUUAAACAUGAUGACUUGGUAUCGAUCUUUGUAAAGCAAUUGCACGACAGUUGUCAGUUUGCCAUAGAAAUCAAUGUCUGUACUUUCGCCUCCACCUGGGACAUGAACACCGCUAUUUUGCGUACACAACUUGUCAUCUCGUGCGGCCCCUAAAAAUUUGACGCCGUUAACAUUACAACCCGAGAACAAUUCAGCGCGAAUUGGGCCGAACGCCAAGUUAUAUAACUCAUCACUGUAAGUGGGGGAAUUCGAUGAUUUCAAUUUAUUCACCUAAUAGUAUACAAAACCAUUUACAUGUUAGUCUGACAAAAUUAAAUACUAAAAUUUAUAUUUGUCAAUUACAAAACACUUAUAACUUACAGAAUCCAAAAACCAUUGUGGAAAUAAUUCACGGUGUUUCCGGGCAACCAAAUGUGAUGGAUGUUCUCGCUUCAUCAUCUGUUCAUGCUCAUCUAAGUAGGCCAUUAUCUCAUCACAAUUGUUCAGUACGAACCAAUGCGCUACCUCCAUGUCAUUUCUAGAAAACGACUCUCCUCGUCCAGGAUCUCCAAAUGGUCGUGCGCUUUGGGCAAAAACAGAAAGUUUUUCAUUUCUCAUACCUCCGUCAUUAUUGCGGUGAGGACGAUUGAAAACCGUCUCCACAUCUUUUAAAUACAUUCCACAGAAAGUAAGCGACUCAUAUUGAACCCAAGCCUCUAUAAUUGAUCCUUCGGGCUUUGCCCUGUUGCGUACACUUUUUUUCAGCUCUCCGAGAAGCCUGCCAAAAUAAAACGAUAUGAUACAAAUUAGCAAAGUGUCGAUAAUGAUGCAUACACAAAUGAUAAAGAUUAUAUACCUUUCUAUUGGAUACAUCCAGCGAUAGUUGACAGGACCAGCAAGCAAUGCCUCUUCUGGCAAGUGAACCAUCACGUGCAUCAUACUUAUAAAGAAAGCUGGAGGAAAUAUCAUCUCAAACUUGCAUAGGACUUGGACAAUGUCAUGGCGCAACUGAAACAUGUCUGUCCUUCGCAAUGUUUUUGCCGUCAGUUGGGAAAAAAAUCUGGAUAACAACAUGAUUGGCUUCACCACAUCUUCCGGCAGUAAGUGUCGAAUACCCACAGGAAGUAGGCGUUGCAUGAACACAUGGCAGUCAUGGCUCUUAAGUCCAGUAAAUUUACCCCCAUCGACAUUCACGCAACGUGCGAUAUUAGAAGCAUACCCAUCGGGAAAUUUGACAGACGAUACAAACUUUAGAAACUCCUUUUUGUCAUUCGGUUUCAUAGAAAAGAAUGCAAGAUCCCUUCUAGCUUUAUCACUGUCCCUAUUCAUCCAUAAACCCCUUCGUAUGCCCAUUCUUUCCAAAUCAAGACGAGCUUUGAUCGUGUCCUUCGUCUUCCCCUCGAUAUCUAGAAUCGUGCCCACCAAUGUGUCGAAAACAUUUUUCUCAACAUGCAUCACAUCUAGAUUGUGCCUCAAUUUCAGUUUCGACCAAUAUGGGCGCUCAAAAAACAUAGACUUGUGCGUCCAGUUCAAAUGUGUAGAAGGUCGGGUCCGACUAACUGUUUUCCCGAACGGAGCAAAAUCCAAACGGUUCAGCUGUUCCAAGAUCUCAUCACCGGACCAUUCUCUAGGUCUGAGGCGACGCUCUGUGUUCCCGUCGAACUCUUUAUCUUUUUCUCGCCACUCGUGGUCCCAUGGCAACCAUCUCCGAUGACCAAGGUAACAAACUUUUCCCGCGUGCCAACCAGAAGUUACAUCUUCCUUGCAUACAGGACAUGCCAUAUAACCCUUUGUGCUCCACCCAGAAACCAUUGCAUAUGCUGGAAAAUCAUUCACAGUCCACAUAACUGCUGCUCGCAAAGUGAACAUCCUCCCAGUUGAUUUAUCGUACGUGCGAACACCGUUUGUCCAUAAAUCCUUCAGCUCAUCAACCAGAGGCCUUAAGUACACAUCAAUUGACCUGCCAGGAUCCUCAGUUAUCAAAACAGUCAUCAUCAUGUAUUCUUUUUUCAUGCAUUUCCAAGGCGGCAAAUUAUAUGGGAAUGCGAAAAUCGGCCAAGUGCUGUGGUGUUGGUUUAGAACCCCAUACGGAUUGAAUCCGUCAGUGGCAAGUCCCAAUCUAACAUUUCGGGGAUCAGCAGCAAAUUCGGGGAACGUUCGAUCGAACUCUUUCCAUGCCUCCCCAUCUGCAGGAUGCCGCAUCACAUCAUCGUCUACCCGUUUUUCCUUAUGCCAUCUCAUGUCUGUGGCAGUAUGCGUUGACAUAUACAAUCGCUGCAACCUAGGUUUAAGGGGCAGAUAACGCAUGACUUUUUGUGGUAUCUUAGUCGUUCUAUUCUGGGAUGUCAGUUUGAACCUCGACUCAUUGCAUAUAGGGCAUGUAUCCAACGUUUCAUGCUCUUUGUAGAAUAACAUGCAAUUGUUUUUGCAAGCGUGGAUUUUUUCAUAACCCAAUCCAAGACCGUGCAACACCUUCUGUGCAUGUUUAUGGUCUUUCGGCAAACAAUUGUCCGUCGGAAGCAUUCUCUUGAAAACCCCCAAAAAGUAAUCAAAACACAAGUUCGACAUACGAUACUUUAUUUUUCCGUGCAUUAGCUCCACAAUGGCAGUGAGAACGGAAAACCUCUCGCACCCCGGGUAUAACUCUUGGUUGGCAUUUUUUAACAGUUUUUCAUACUGUUCAAACUCCGCACUGUCUAUUGGUGUAGGCACGUCAUCUUCCCCUUCCUGAUUGAUGUUGGUCGAUGCGAAUGGAAAAGCAUCCUGUAUAAUACCCAUGACUUGAUCAUUAGGAUCCACAAUAGGUUCAACAUUGUCCACUCUCGGGGCAUUUGAAGACGAAGCAUGGUCUACUUGUUCGCCGUGAAGGUUCCAAAUGCUAUAUGUUUCAAUCAUUCCAUUCCUUACUAAAUGAAAUCCAACAUUUUCAAUUGUCUCCCACAACGUGUUGUUACACCUCCUACAAGGACAACGGAUUCUAGUUGCACCCGGGUUGUGUCUACGUGCAAACUCAAUAAAAUCCUCGAUUCCAUCCAAGUAUUCGUCUGCGCAUCUAUUCGGGUUCUGUAUCCACCUUCUGCUCAUAAUUCCUGAAACCACAAUCACGACACAACAAUCACAACAACUUCAUACGAAGUUAUAAUGUCACCUUAUGCCUCCGGUAAGGGCCCUAUCCCAUUCGGGAAUGCAUAGUCCUGUCACGUAACCUACGGCUACAUGAGAUUAGAUUUCGACGUGGAUUAAUUUCAGCAGCAUCUCGACACAGUUCUUGAAGUGGGCAUAGGUAUAAAUACCUACGUACCACCCGAAGAACGUACCGAGAUGACACCGAAAUCUCCACAAUCGAAACCUAAUCCUGUAGCCGAAGAUUAUGUGACAACACUAUGCAUUACCAAACUGUCCAAAUAAUGGGACAAUUCAAGAAUUAAUUGGACCGCAGUCAUGCAUUACGCAUCCAUGCACGAAAUUCAACUAAUCUCGAACGGGAAACUACGUGUUACUAAACAUAAAAAUAAAAGUACGAAGUUAAUUUCAAUUAACUUCGUACAUCACAACACAUUGUGCUAUGUCACGCACAAUUUCACAACAUUAUACACAUAUAACUUCACAAAAAAAUUACAAACAUAACAAACAAACUUUUACAAUAACAUACCUUCUCAAUCGUUCUCCACCAAUCACAAAUAUCCCUAACGAUAACAAAAUUAAUAGCGUUACUACGAAUUUACAUUAAUACAUUUAAACUAACGACAAAAAAUACAUACCCAAUGAACGUACUGAAUUCACAGUAGAGCAACGGCAGAGAGAGUGAGAGAGAGGUAGAAUGCAGUGGGAGAGUGAGAGAGAGGCAGAAUGCAGAAACUGCAUUCUGCCUCUGCAAUGGAACUGGCUAAAAUGAAGAAGAAGGACUUUGCGCGACUAACAAUCCAAUCCGUCGCGCAAAAUGCCGUCGCGAAAACCCACUUUUCCGUCGCACAAAAAAACAUUUCCGUCGCGCAAUUACCUGCCGACAUCAGGUUUUUUGCGCGACGAAUACAAUUAUCCGUCGCACAAACAUCCGUCGCGCAAAUAACAUUAUUCGUCGCGCAAGGUUUAUAUUACGUCGCGCAAAUAACACUUAUUUCGUCGCGCAAGAAAUUACACUUUACGCGACGAAGGUAAUUCCGUCGCGCAAAAAAGUUUUUUCCACCCUGCAUUUUGCCGCCAAAAUUAAGUAACCCUCGUUUUCUUACGCGACGGUACAUAUUUCCGUCGCGCUAAGGCGUCUUUUGCGACGAAAAUGUUCGUCGCGCAAGAUUCUGGCGCCAAAAACAUAAACUGGGGAUUUUUCCCCGACCUUUGCUCGACGAAAUUAGUUUUGGUCGCGCAUAGAUUGUUUGCGCAACGAAGAUUGUUCGUCGCGCUAGUGUUCUGCUGUUUGCGCUACGGUAUUUUUUUUUCGUCGCAAUAGUGAUUUUUGCGCGACGAAAAUAUAUUCGUCGCGCAAACGUCCGUCGCGCAAAUAGUAAAUCGUAGUAGUGUGAUUUGGUUUAGACUUGGUUUAAUUAUCAUUGUUGUGGUUGGUUCACCAAAAAGAUUUGGCUUAGAAUUACCAGUUUUGUUGUUGGUUUAGUUAUGCUUGGCAUUUGAGGAUCCUAUGCUUACUUGUAUGGGUAAUACAUUUUAUUGAUCGUUUCAUAUACUAAUUAUGAACUUUUAGUUCCAUUGUGCAUUUAAGAGUACACAUAUUUCAUAUGUAAUUCGAAAGUUUGUCGCUGAAAUUUCUGAGAAUUUGAAACUAGAUAAGCACACCUUGCACAAAGUUCAUAUAUUUUCUUCCAGCAAGUCUGUCUAUUAACCCCCCUUAUCUGAAAUUAAUUGUUAAAAGUUCUGAUUCAUCUUUAAUCAUUGUCUUACCCUUGUUGAAUAACACUCCUCAUUCUAAUUUAUAUUCGAAGUUUGAGGUUUCAAUUUCAAUUGUGGGCUUUGAUUUUACAGAUUUUGUUUGUCAAUUUCAAUUUGGACAAAGCAUAUGCAAACAAAGUAAGGCAUUAUCUAUUAUUUGGAUCAUUUCCAUAUGUUUAUAUGUUUUUAAUAUCAUUUGCCUAUGUAGUUGACAUGUUAUAACAUUUUCGUAGUGUUGAAUAUAUAUAUAUAAUAAUUUUAUUUUAGUGGAUGUGAGAUCUCAGUUUGUUGCUUUAUAUAAUUAUUUCUUUGCAAUUUAAUUUUUUUUAUCAGUCAUACUAUUGUUGACGGCUAAAAACCAUCAAGAAACAACUCUUAAGUUUUUUAAAAAAUAAAUAAAUAAAUAAAGAUUUGUUGAUGCUUAAAAAGCAUCAAGAAAAGAUAGUUUCUUGACGGUUUUGUGACGUUUCAUAACCGUCAUGAAACAUUACAUUUUGACGAACGUCUUUCUGAUAGUGGCAUCCGUGACGCUUUCCGAGCCAUCAAUUAAGGGCUAUCGUGAUGCUUUUUAGUUGUCAGCAAAAGGUGUUUUUCUUGUACUGUAUUCACUCAAAAUCGUUUUUCAUUUAGGGUUGCUAGUGUGGUUGAAUGCCAUUUGUUUUGUUAAUGAAUAUUAUACAUUAUGGAUUUUUGUAGAAAUGUCGCUUGAAAUUAUACCUCAGUUUCAAUUUGUCACCUUAAAGAAAAAUUUAAGAGAAAUGUCACCUUAAUUUUUCAAAAUCCACGAUUUGUCAUCUCACUUUAACAUCAUCCAAUUUUCCAUCUAUUUUAAGGGUAUUUUAGUCUUUUCAUUUUCAAGGGAAAAAAAGAGAGGAAGAAAAAGACCUCUCUCUUACUUUCUCCCCCAACCCAACCCCACCCGCCCCCCAAAACACAUCGCAUAGGACCGCCUCCCCCUUCCCCACAUUUCUUUUUUCUUUUUGGCCUACUUUUCCACUAUGUUUAUGUUGAAGGAUCUAAAGUUUUCUUGGUCACCAUCUAUUACGUAGGCUACCGACUUGUUGGUUUGGGUGGGUUGAGGGAAUUUGUGUGUGGAGGGCAGGUGUUCAUGUUGUGUGCACCAAGACCUUAUCGUUGAUGAACUAUGUGACGGCACACACACAAACUCGUUGAGAAUAAAACAAACAUACCACCAAGAGAGUAAAACAAACACACAAGGACACAAAGAUUUAUAGAGGUUCGGCCUCCUGCCUACGUCUUUUUGGUGAUUCACUCGAGAAAUUCACUAGUAUGUAAAAAUAACUUUGGUUACAACUGAACCCCCUUAGCCCUCACAAGAACCUUAGAUCUCUUUUCUCUCACCCUUGCUCAAACCCUUUGAUGCCCUUGUAGACACUCAAGAAUUCACCCUUGAAUUCUAUCUUGUGUUACAUCUUCUCUUCUCCCUUUUGUUAACCUAACCCUAAAAGUCCUAUUUAUAAUGCAUAGGACUUAAGUUACAAGUUAACUUGGAAUAGGAAACAUAAAAUACCCCAAAAAUUGGAGAAAAUCUGUCCAAAUCUAGCCUGCAAAAUCAUCCUUCUGCCGCUCGAGCUGCCGGUGGCGCUCAUGGGAUGGGGGAAUUGGAGAUUUUCUUUUCAAUUUUAAUUGUUUAAAAGAUAUACAAUUUUUUAUUAUAAUAAUUUUUCCAUUUUUAAAAUACACUUGAAAAUAGAAAGCUUAAAAUGCCCUUAAAAAUAGAUGGAAAAUUGGAUGGUGUUAAAGUCAGAUGACAAAUCAUGGAUUUUGAAAAAUUAAGGUGACAUUUCUCUGAAAUUUUUCUUUUAAAAGUGACAAAUUGAAACUGAGGUAUAAGUUCAGGCGACAUUUCUACAAAAAUCCCUAUACAUUACAAUAUUAUAACAAUAAAAUUGGCUAAAAUUGAUAUGUUCCCUCUUUUCUUUUCUUUUUCUCUUUUCCUUUUCAUUUUAUGCUUUGUUGCUAUUGCUAUGUUUAUCCUACAAAUAUAGCAACUUCUCCACCAUUCAUUUGUUAGUGACUACGAUGCUUAGUAACUUCUUCAGCUCCCCUUAUUUCCAUGUACUAACCAGGGACACCAGGUCAGCAUCUUCGGUAAGAAUCCUAACUCAAUCAAACAAUGACAUCUGUAAAUAUUCAAAAUUGGAAUUUGCAUUGUGAUAGUUGAAAGCAUCCUUGUCCCAAAAAAAGCCAAAAAAUAAAAUAAAAUUGAGAGCAUUAAGUCCUUUUCAAAUUAUGCUAAUAUGCAAAAUUGGAAUUUUGAUGGAGUUGCUUCCUUGACUUUUCCACCUUUGUAUCCAGUCCACUUUGCACAAGGAGCCAAGUUUGAGAGAUAGUUUUCUGUAUUUACACCAUCCAGGAGAAAAUUAAAAAACUAUUUCAUGCCAAACUAACUACGGAUUCUUGCAAAGGACCCAUUAGUGUAGUGGUUUGGAGUAUUUACUCCCUCAGGCAAGGUCUUGGGUUCGAGUCCUAGCAUUCAUGUUGUGUGUGUGAGUUUAAUAUGCUAUCACCCCUUCCAAUAGGAAAGGACCUCAAAAAAAAAAAAAAAACUACAGAUUCUUUAAUUGAAAGAAACCCCAUAUUAAUCAUCCUUUGGCACAUAAAUGUUUGGUAAUUGGCAUUAAAGUAUCUAAAGGUUACGAAAUUAAAGAUUUUAAUGCAAACCUAAAAUUGGAAAAGAGGGCACCAAUUCAUGUAAAAUAUGGUGUACUUAGUAGAUCCAACAUAUUUUUUUAGCAACCAAGGACAAUCAUCAUUUUUUUUUUUAAGAACCAAGGAUAGCUUACAUUCUAGUUUGUCCAUCAUGUCAACACAUUUAUAAUUAAAACUUCUUUUUUGGUGAGGUUUCAAUUUUUGUCACUGUAACAAGACCACAAUUGCCAUUCAGUAUGCUAACAUUGUCACUAUGUUUGCCAAUUGCAUAUUAUCUAGAACAUAAAGGCUUUGGUGUUUUGUAUAUCCUCGGGGUGCCAAACCUGUCUUUAUAAAAAUGGUCCUUAUGAUACUACUUUAACAACAAAAAAAUAUAAUAAACUAGGCCUUUGUAGUCACUGAACGAAUGUUUUCUCAUAGAUAUGACUAUUUAAAUGUAAUUACGGGAUUAAAACAUUAUAAUAAAUUGGAGUGAACCAUAACAUUAUAUAUGAUCCAAUCCUUUUCAUAUAUUUUUGUUCAAGACUUUGUUUUAGAAUGCUCUUUUACUAAUUUGGUACAGGUCCCUAAAAUCUACGCCUUUAUGAGGCAACGUCUUUAUUUCUUUGGUUAUUCCAGUUUAGAAUAUAUUUGUACAAAUGAGAUGACUCCCAACAUAAAGUCACAUUCAACCAAAAAGCAUGAAGUCACACACAAAAAGAACACGGACAAUUGCUAAGUUUAUCUUGUAUCCUUAUUUUAUUGAUCCAACCCAAUUGAAAAAUAAAAAAGAUGAUAUAAUAUAUUGUUCACUGCUUACAUCCAUGAGUAAAGUCCUCCAUUUGAAAUUGCGUGAUUAUACAAAAUUGGAAUGAAAAAAGAAAAUCCUACAACUAAAUUUGAUAUAUUCCUUUUCAUUUUAUGUUGGAUGUUAAGUUUUCUUGUUUCUUGUUGAAAAGAAAAAUGAAAAGAAAUAAAUAAAUUACACAGCUAGCAACUUCUCCACCUUCCCUUCUUCCCAUGUACUGACAACAAGGGAGGCCUUCAAUCCAAAAUAAAGACAAGGGAUGCCAGGUCAGCAUCUCAGAUAAGUAUCCCAACCAAAACCAAUCAAAUAAUGACAUAUGUAUCUCUUUUUGUGUUUUGUUCUAUUUCUCUUUGAAUUAACUGCGAAGUUUCAUAAGCGUGUCCUCCUUUUGAAAUUGUGUAUUAUUCAAAAUUGGAAUUUGCUGGUCAUACUUGAUAUAAGCUAAAACAGUUUCCAACAUCUUGUACCAUUUUUUUCCAGUGUGGGUCAUAACUUGAAGAAGCCCACCGACAAUUUCUCAAAAGCUAUUACCAUCCAACUUUGAAAAAUAAAAGUUUCAAAAGUUACCCCAAACAACAGCCCUUGAAAGAGAGUUUUCCAAGGCUAAAGAUUACAAGGAUGUUAUUGGCACAUGCAUUAACGUGUGACAAGAAGUUAGUUAUAUUUAUAAAGUAAAAGAACGAAGUACAUAACAUGUAAGUUGAUGCCAAAUAUUUGAUCAACAGAGCUAAACAUAAAACCACGACAAUAUAACGUUGUUCACCAAAAAUUGUGUUUCGUUGAGGGUCAGUAGUGUAGGUUUCAAGAUACGAUUUAUUUUGUUAAAGAAUAUUCUGAUAUUCUAACAAUAAAAUUGGCUCAAUUUGAUAUGUUUCUUUUUUUUUUUGUUUUUGUUUUCCCUUUCAUUUUAUGCUUUGUUGUGCUAUUGCUAAGUUUAUCCUAGAGACCAGGGAUGCUUAGCAAGUUUCUUCACCUGCCCUUCUUCCCAUGUACUAACUAGGGAUACCAUGUCAGAAUCUUAGAUAAGAAUCCCAACCCAAUCAAACUAUGACAUCUGUAAGUAUUCAAAAUUGGAAUUUGCAUUGUGAUAGUUGAGUGGAAGAAUCGAUUAAGGCUUGAGUGGAAGACAAACUUCAGUGGAGGAAAGUAAUUAAUCUCACAAGACAUAGCCCAUCAGUUGGCUCAUUUUUCUUGAGUGUGUAGUCCUGGCCUUGAGGCGAGGCCACAUUGCUUUGGAGAUUUCUUUCUACUUGGUGAAAUUAUAAUUUAGAAGAAGCAAACUGCGUUUUGCAAUUUGUGCGAUUCAAGCAUAUCUGACACUAGUAAUUAGACCAUAAUCUUUGUCCGACCAGAAAAUAAGAAAAGUUGUCUUGUACCAUUUCUGCCAGUGUGGGUCCCACCCACCCCAUACGAGUAAUUUGAAGAAGUCCACCGACAAUUUCCCAAAAGCUUUGGCGUCCAACUUUGCCGACCCCAUCCCCAUGUGAGGCCAUAGAAAAGUUUUCAGCCACAAUCAAAGAAGGGAACAGUCCUUGAAAAGAGAGGGUUUUCCAAGGCCAAGAUUACAAGUUCAUGUUAUUUACAGUCUCAAAAAGCUUCCAUACUUGUUUACAAACCUGUAUUUUCAAGUUGUGCUAGCCUAGCUAUUUGCAAAUCUUGGAAUAUUUUACUUCAUCCAAAUCCCUUGCAGUCUGCAGAGAAGAUAAAAGACAUGGCUUUGAUUGGAGAGGCUCUUAUCUCUGCUUCCGUCCAGGUGUUGUGCGACAGAAUUACUUCACCCGAGUUCGUUGACUUAUUUUGGCACAAGAAACUCGAUGAGCCACUCCUCAGGAAGCUGAGGACGACACUGUUGGCCUUGAACUUGGUGCUCAAUGAUGCAGAGGGGAAGCAACUUGUGAACCGAGAUGUGAAAAAGUGGCUUGACGAGCUCAGACAUGCUGUCUUUGAUGCGGAGGACUUACUGGAUGAGAUUGACACUGAAGCUUUGCGAUGCAAGCUGGAAGAAGGUGAAGAUCAAACUCACAAAUUUACCAAUAAGGUGCGGAACUUGCUCUUUUCUCCUCGUAGUCAUUUUUAUCAGAGCAUGAAUGAUAAGAUAAAAGAGUUACUAGCAAGGUUAGAAAACUUUGUACAACUGAAAAGUGCUCUUGGUCUGGGAGAAGUUGCUGGGAGGAAGGUUUCGCAAAGAACUCAAACAACCUCCUUGGUUCUUGAACCUUAUGUAUAUGGUAGAGAUGAAGUCAAAGAAAAGUUAUCAAAAGUGUUGCUAUCUGAUGAAGCAGGCAAGGAUCCUGUGUCUUUCCUCACCAUUGUUGGAAUGGGUGGGGUUGGCAAGACAACCCUUGCUCGAAUGCUUUACAAUGACGAUAAGGUGAAAGGGCAUUUUAAACUUAAAGCUUGGGCUUGUGUUUCAGACUACGAUGAUUAUAUUAAAAUUACUAAAACUCUCCUUGAGGCAGUCACUUCAAAGCCUUGUAACACGGCAAAUCUGAAUUUGCUUCAAAAAGAUCUAAGAGAGCAAUUGAGGGGAAGGAAAUUUUUAUUUGUGUUGACCUAUGGAAUGAGAAUAAUGAGGAUUUGAACUACCUUAGAGCUCUUUUUAUUACUUUAGGAACAAUGGGAAGUAAAGUCAUUGUAACAACACGGAACAAAAAUGCAGCAUCUGUCAUGCAAAAUGUUCAUAUUCAAUACUUAGAACCAUUGUCGUAGGAGGACUGCUGGUUAUUACUUGCAAAACAUGCAUUUGGAAAUGAAAAGUGUAGUGCACAUUCAAACUUGGAAGACAUUGGAAAGCAAAUUGCACUCAAGUGCAAAGGGUUGCCUUUAGCUGCACAAACACUUGGGAGUUUGUUACGUUGCAAUAUGGAUUUCGAGUACUGGAAUAGAAUACUAAAUGAUAGUUUUUGGGACCAACCCUAUGAUAAAACUAACAUUCUUCCGGCUCUAGGGUUGAGUUACCAUUAUCUUCCUACUCAGUUGAAACGAUGCUUUGCUUAUUGUUCAAUUUUUCCAAAGGAUUAUGAGUUUGAAAAGGAAGAUAUAGUUCAAUUAUGGAUUGCAGAAGGUAUAAUUCCACAAGCUGAGAAUGGAAAAAGGAUGGAAGCAUUGGCUAGAAUAUACUUUGAUGAGCUGUUAUCACGAUCGUUGUUUCAAAAGUCAAGUAAAUUCAGCUUCAUUAUGCAUGAUCUCAUUAAUGACUUGGCUAUGUUCAUGUCUCAGGGGUUUUGCCUUAGGCUCGAAGAUGGGGUAUCCCGUGAAGUUAAAAGAGCUCGUCAUUUGUCAUAUGCUAGGGGAGAAUUUGAUGCUGCUCCAAGAUUUGAACCAUUAUAUGAGGCUAAAUGUUUGCGGACCUUCCUACCUACCAUUUGUUGUGGGCAAAUCUACUGGAUCAGGCAUAAGAGAACUGAGGCAGUUCCCGCAACUUCGAGGAAAACUAUCAAUUUUGAAGCUACAAAAUGUAGUUGAUGCGAGGGAUGCACUGCACGCCAAUAUGAAGCACAAGAAAGAUCUCAAGGAGUUAGAGCUUUCAUGGGGUGCGGAGGAUGCUGAUGAUUCCCAAAAGGAGAAAGAUGUACUCGACAAGCUCCAGCCUUGCGUGAAUUUGGAGAAAUUAACCAUCAAAUUCUAUGGUGGAACUAAUUUUCCGAAUUGGUUAGGAGACUCGUCUUUUUCUAACAUACAAGUCAUGCAUCUCAGUGACUGUAGUUAUUGUUGGUCGCUCCCACCAGUUGGACCGCUACCGGCACUCAAACAGCUCUGUAUAAGAAGAAUGAAGUUUGUGAAGACGAUUGGCGUUGAAUUCUAUGGCAGAAAUGGAGCUUAUCUGACUCAGCCAUUUCGAUCUCUGGAGAAGCUAGAGUUUAGGGAGAUGCCAGAGUGGGAGGAAUGGGUACCAAGUGGAAGUGCAAGUGGAGGUGAAUAUGGUCCAGACUUUCCUCGUCUCCAGGAGCUGAUUCUAUACGAGUGUCCGAAGCUAAGAGGAAGUUUGCCUUGUGAGUUGCCUUGCUUGAAGAAGCUUACGGUGUAUGGGUGUAAGGUUUUACAUGAUGGAAGGGCCAUUACCGCAACUACCAAUAGUCUUAACUAUAAAUCUCUGGAAGAAUUGAAUAUAAGUGGUGGAUGCCAAACUCUGUUAUCAUUAUUAGAGACAAAGCUCCUGUCCGGACUUGAGAUUCGAAAUGUUGUUGACAUACAGUGCUUGCCCAACUGCAGUCGUCUUCAACAUUUGACUCUUUCGAAUUGUCCAACGCUGUCAUCAUUUCCCAAAGAUGGCCUACCCACUACAUUGACAUCACUUUAUAUAAACAAUUGUAGGAAAUUAGAAUUCCUACCUCAUGAGAUGUUGGCCAAAUUAACAUCGCUUGACUAUUUGUGCAUACAAAAUAGCUGUGAUUCAAUGAGGUCCUUCCCGUUGGGCAUUUUUCCCAAAUUGACGAGGCUUGAAAUUCGUGGUUGUGAGAAUCUGGAAUCCCUUUCCUUGAUUGAAGAAGAAGGAGCUGUUGAGAAUCUCAGCCAUCUCAAUUACUUGCAAGUCUAUAACUGUCCAAAAAUGGUGUGUUUUCACGAGGGAGAAUUGCCCACUCCCAACCUGAGUCACUUUGUAGUCGGUGGUUGCGAGAAUUUGAAGUCAUUGCCCAAAAGCCUUCACACCCUCACUGCCCUUCGAUCUUUGUCGAUAUGUAAUCUUCCGAAUCUGGAGUCAUUUGCAGAAGAUGGGGGUUUGCCUCCCAACCUCCGACAAGUAAGUAUUAGGAAUUGUGAGAGACUGAGGGCUUCAUCAGUGGGUUUGCAAGCACUUGACUCCCUUGAGAUCAGUGGAAGUGACCAUGUAUUCUCUAUCACACUCUUCACAUCUAUUCUCUAUCAACUCUGAAAUCUUUGGACGGAAAGGGUCUUGGACACCUCACUUCUCUUCAAGAGCUAGAUAUUAACAGGUGUCCAAGUCUGGAAUUCCUGCCAGGAGAGGAACUUCAACACCUCACUUCUCUUCAAAAUCUAUACAUUUGGAACUGUCCCAGUCUUCAAUGCUUGCCAGAAGAGGGUUUUCCAUCAUCUCUUUCUCAUCUGAGUAUCCGCCGGUGUCCUACCCUGGAGGAAAGGUAUAAGAAUAAAACGGGACGAGAUUGGGCCAAGAUAUCUCACAUUCCUUGCAUCGAGAUAGGCAACGAAGUGAUCAUAUAAUAUGAGCUAUUCCAUAUUUCACGCUCAACCCUCAACUCUCAAAUCAAAGUCAGGUGAGGUAUGUGCCUUCUCUUACUUUAAAAAACUGCUGCUCAAUAACACUCUUCGCACUCUAUAUAUUAUGGCCUGUCAGUCUAAAAUUCCUGCCAGGAGAGGAACUUGAACGCCUCUCUUCACUGCAAAGGCUACAUAUUUGUGGGUGUGACAAUAUCCAAUUCCUGCCAGAAGAGCGUUUGCUGCAAUCUCUUUCUUAUCUGUGCAUCGACCAUUGUUUUGCCAUGUAGAAAAGGUAUCUCACAUUCCUUGCGUCAAGAUAGGUGAAGAAGUGAUCAUAAGAUAUGAGCUCUCUCUCCCUCUCGCUCACAUACAAAGUACUUAAAACACUCAAUCUGAUUUCUAUUAUUAUUUUGCUCAGUAAAUUUUGUUUAAAUUUGCUUUGUUUCUCAUUGCGCUUGUUCUGCUUAUCACAACUUAUAUCCUAUUUAAAUCUCAAAUGCUGAAUAGUUAGCAGUCUUUUCGCAGGACAGCAUAUCUUCUCUUGGAGAGCUAUUCAUUUGCAAGGUUUCUUUAUGUGUCAUUUCCAGAGGAGGGUUUACUAUUUAAUAGAAAGGUUCACCUGGAAUAUCUCAAAUGACACAUUCCCAAAUACAGGCAUUGAAUGCACAACAUUUUGAGGUACUAUUUUUGUAAUAAAAAUGUACUUGAGUCUCAUUUGAGCUAGUUUAAAUUGUAUUCAAUGUCUAUGGAUAACCUGUGAGCUUAAGUUGUAAGAUAAAACUCACAGUAUAUUAUUAGGGUUUAGGGUUCAACAGGUGAGCUUAAGUUGUACUUUCCUAGGUACUGCAUGUAUAUUAUCUUAGUAUCAACACUUGGUCUUAUGUGGACGAGAGAGAACAUUUGAGGAAUUACAAAAUCUUCUUAGUGAAUUAAGCUUGUUUCAGCUCUGUUUGUCAUCCCUCACAUUUUCUUUGUUAAGCCUUGAUUUUUUAUUAGACAUACGAAAAAAUGCUUUUAUAAGACAGGAGAUGAAUGCUUUUAUAUGUUGAUGUCGUAGUCAGUCUUCAACCACACUCUGUUUUUAGAAUUCAUUUAUGUUACUAGUUGAGAGCUGCUGUAUUUUAUAUUUCGUUCCUGUAAUGUUUGGAUGUUUAGCUUGAGCAGUCUAGCUUAUCCAGUAGAUAACUUGUCCCCUGUUUUGUAAUGUUUUUGUUUCCUCUAAUGAAAGCAGGUUUUACUUAUCUUGAACUGCAGAAGCCUACUUUUUGACAUAGGUGGCAUGGCACAAACUCGCAUCCGCAUUUCCAUCCCCAUUGGCAUGCUGUCUCAUCUUUUCUAUUCUGUUACCAGCUUGAAGCUUGUGUGGACAUGUUAUGCUCUUGUAAUUCUGAUCACAAACAUCACUUGACAAAUGGAAAGUCACAAUCAGAUCUUUCAGGUGAUCUGGAGGUUUACUUUCUAACAUUUGUUUUCGUGGGGGGGAGACAACAAUACAGAAUUUAAAAUUUCUGAUAAUCAAUAGUAGUUUGCAUAUAUCAGCUGGGACCUGUAUGACUGUAUUAUGUAAUUAAUUAUUUCUCUUAUUGUUUGGGUACUGUUAAAAGGAGUUAGCCACACAACAUAAAAAAGGAGGUCUCUUAUUUCAUACAAUUUUUCAAAUGUGAUCAUUAAUCCGUUUCUUUUUCAACAAUAGAGGAAUGUAUACUAAUCGUCUGGUCCAUCUGCUGCUUCACUCCCUAGUAGCUUCAUCUCCUGUCCUUUGCUUUAUUUCUGUUGAUGAAUGUUUUGUCUGGGUUAUUUAUUUUCAUUUCAUGUCCAUUGCUUUAUUUCUGUUUGGAUUCUUAAUUAAAUCUGUCCUGGACUUGAACAAGGGUUAGGUUAGCUGUAUAAUUUGCGGUUUUAUAUACACAACUGUCUACAUUGAUUAAAACCAGCAUUAUUCUAAGGUUCAUUUAGAAUGUAUUAUCACCAAAAUUAUAAAGAAUACUUCUAUUACAAUUAAUUUGUUGAUUCUAAUUUGGACUUGUAGGAACAGACCAAACAUGUUCAUGCGUGGCAUUGCUCAAGUCAUCAUCAUUCGAGACAGAGAAUAAGCCUUCAAGUGUCUGCUGAGUCAAUGAACCUUUCUAGAUAUCUCAAGUGUAAUGGAAAUUGAUGAGUUACAAAGGAUUUGUAAACAUUUUCUACUGGAGGCUAGAAAUGCUUCAAAUAAAUGACCGUGUUGCAAUUAUUUUGUAGGAUCAAAGACUCUGCAAAGAGGUAAGAAAGUCAUCAUCAAGUAACUUUGCUCUUCAAACUUUUUAUUUUUAUUUUUAAAUAUCAGUAAUAACUGGGAAAGCUUGCAUCUCCUUAAAUUGCUCAUUCUUACAUCUUUUAUAGUUUGUUGAUCUUGGGCAAGUGGAGAGAGAGGCGUCAAGUGAUACGCAACAACCAUUUUCUGUGAGCUGAUUUGAUAAAGAGAAAUGGUAUGCUUUCUUGUCUUAAGCGGUGUGUUCUGCAAUUAUUUGAAACAAAGGAUGCCGCACUUCAAGUUCGAGAAAAUCAGGUAUUUUAGUAUUUUAUUCUUGAGAAAUUUGAUUUAUGUAGAAACUUGAACAUGUAAAUAAAAUAAAUAAAAUAUAUUAUAUGCUGUUAAUGAGUUAAUAUGGUGCUUGCUUCUAGUUGGAAAUUUAUGUAGUCAUCUACCUAUGAUCAAAUAAAGAUGAAGAAUAAAAUAUAAUUGAGAGCAUCUUCCUCUCCCCUGCUUUGCUCAUCCCUUGUUCUUCCACUUCAGCCCCACUAUUACACCAUUUUUUCAGCCACAAUUAUAAUAGCUCCAUGAGCAUUAAGUCCUUUUCAAAUUCUGCUGACAUUCAAAAUUGGAAUUUGCUGGUGAUAUAUGAUAGCAUCUUUGUCCGACCAAAAAGAGAAAAAAAAAAAGUUGAUAGCAUAUUGUACCAUUUUGGCCAGUGUACGCAAUAUUAUUGCAUCCAACUUUGCAUAUUAACAUCAGUGGCCACAGUUCCAUGAUUUGAGUGCACAGAAAAGUUUCAAAAGUUGUCCCACAAAGAACAGUCGUUCAAAGUGAAAGAGAGAUUUCAAAGCUUAAUUACAAGUUCAUGUUAUUUACAAUAUCAAAAAGCUUUCAUACUUGCUUACAAACCUGUAUUUCCAAGUUCUGCAAACCUUGGAAUAUCACUUCAUCCAAAUCCCCUUCCAAAGCAGGAAAAAAUGGCAGCAGCUUUGAUUGGAGAGGCUCUCAUCUCUGCUUCUAUCGUGGUGUUGUGUGACAGAGUUACUUCAGCCGAGUUCAUAGACUUAUUUCAGCAGAAGAAACUUGAUGAAACACUCCUCAUGAACCUGAAGACGACACUGUUGAUUUUGUUUGCGGUGCUCAAUGAUUCAGAGGAGAAGCAAAUUGUGAACCCUGAAGCUUUGCGAUGCAAGCUGGAAGGUGAGGAUCAAACCCACAAUAAUUAACCAAAAAGGAUCUUUUUGAUUGUUUGAAAGGAGGGUCUUGAUGAUUUGAAAGGAGAGGGUUGCUUUAUUUCUGUUGGAUGCUUAAUUAAAUCUUAUUUGGAGUUGAACAAGGAUUAGGUUAGCUGUAUAAUUAGUGGUAAACGCCUUUUUCUAAGGGUCAUUUAGACUCCUAUUACGAUUAAUUUGUUGUUUCUAAUUUGGACUUGUAGGAACAGACCAAAUAUGUUCACACGUGGCAUCGCUCAAGUCAUCAUCAUUUCAGACUGAAAAUCAGCCUUCGAGUGUCUGUUGAGUCAAUAAACCUUUCUAGAUAUAUCAAGUGCAAUGGAAAUUCAUGAGUUACAUAGAGAUUUUUAAACAUUUUGAAGAUUGCAACACCUGCAAGUGAGAUAGGCGGUGACGAAAUCAGAGCUGAUUUUGAAGCCUCUGAUGCCCCUGUUGUUGCAAGUUGCACCUGAGAACAAGUUUUUUUUUUCUUUGGGGUAAAAAACUGGCAACAUGUUCGGAGCUGACAAUUCAAUCCCUGAUGAACUAGAGAAGCAAAGCUCCGGUAAGGAAAUUGGUCAAGGUUGUGACAGGGAUGAUUGAUGGUGAAAUGGAUGCUAUUUCUUAUUGCAGCCUGUUCUCAAAGUUCUUGUUGGCAAAUGCAAUUGAUGGAGUAUUUUGAUUGGGAGGAGAGAUAAUGACAUGGCUUGACAAUUCUAGAACAGCCCAUCAUUAAUCCCAGAAAAAAUCCCGUUUCUGCUAAACAAUCACUUAUGGCAAGGCCAACUCUGUAAAUGGAAUUUGUGAUCCCUUCAAAUUGUACACAUUUUUUCUUUUUGAGGAAUUUAAUCAAACAGUAUUCUAAUGCAUUAUGAUAGCACUACACGCUUUUGUUGUAACAAAUUACAAGGAGGAAUUUGGAUUGAGUUUCUUGUAUAAGCACACCUUACACAAAUUUCGUAUAUUUUCUUCCAGCAAGUCUGUUUAUUAACCCCCUUAUCUGAAAUUAAUUGUUAAAAGUUUUGAUUCAUCUUUAAUCAGUGUCUUACCCUUGUUGAAUAACACUCCUCUUUCUAAUUUAUAUUUGAAGUUUGAGCUUUCAAUUUCAAUUGUGGGCUUUGAUUUUUCAGAUUUUGUUUGUCAAUUUCAGUUUGGACAAAGCAUAUAUGCAAACAAAGUAAGCAUUUUAUGUUAUACUUUUGAACUAGGUGUUGAUUUGAUUUAAUCAUAAGUUUUGCUGGUGCAUUUACUAGGCUAAUCAUUCAAUACUUUUGAUCAUAGAACUUCUUUGGUUGAUAUUAUCUUUGUUAAGUUUAACCAUAACUUUAGAGAGGGGACUUCAACAGAUUUAUAAUCUCAUCAUUAUAGUAUUAAAAAUUAGAGAUUAUUUAAGGCAUUGUCUAUUAUCUGAAUUCUGCUUACUUUUAGUUCAUAUGUUUACAUCUUAGCAUAUUCAUGUGAUUAGUGCGGCUCAUACCACAAAGGCAAUUUUAGGCUCAUCAAGUGCUAAGCAAUGUCAAGCUUCCAAAUGACAAGUUCUCUACAUAGUUUGAGACCUACACUUACUAGAUAUUAGAUCAUUUCGAUCAUUUCCAUAUGUUUAUAUGUAAUUGACAUGUUAUAACAUUUUUGUAGCGUUAUAUAAUUAUUUAGCAAUUUAAUUAUUUCUUUGCAACUUAAUUUUUUUUGUCAAUCAUACUAUUGUUGACUGCUAAAAACCAUCAAGAAAUAGUUCUCAAGUUAUAAAAAAAAAAAAAUUUUAAAAAAGAUUUGUUGAUGCUUAAAAAGCAUCAAGAACAGAUAGUUUCUUGACGGUUUUGUGACAUUUCAUAACUGUAGGGGGCUUUUUCUUCCGACAGCUGUAAAUGGGCUGGGCUGCCGUAAAGGGCAGACUGAUGAAAUUGUCCCCUUUUGUAUGAGCUCAAAAAUUAAGCCCCAAAAUACUUUGAAAGGGCAGCAGAGCCUUAGGAAGUAUUUUGGUUACCCUCACCAACUAAAACAACAACAACUUACAGGUAAUUACUUAAUGCUUAUGGAUGAACUCUUGAGCUUGGCAUGAGAGACAUAUGGCAUGGAAGCAAAAUCAACAUGAGUUUAGCACUGAGGGGAAAUUUAGGCUCUCUUGGGGGAAAAAGGGAAGUGUUAAGGUGAGAGAGGAGAAGUUUGUAGGAGAUUUAGCUAAGAAAGGAGAAAUAUAGAACAAUGCUCUUUUGGCAGCUUGACAGAUGCUCUGUUUGCCAGAAAAGGAAGAUGGAGAAGAAAUGUGAAUAGUGCAAGAGUUUGCUAGAUUUUUGCAGGUAAGAGAGGAAGCUUGCUCUCUGGGUCUGAGUUGAGUUUUUUUGUGUGGAAGAGACCUCAUUUUAUAGCCCUUGGAAACCAUCACUUCCCAAGAAACCCUAAUGGCUUCUACCCAUUUUGGCCAAGCUUUUCCCUUCCUUUCUCAUUUCCUUCCUUGACUUUACCCCUCUUGAUGAAAUCCCCUCUGCCUAUUUGCACCAUAUCAGAGUUUUUUGAAGCUCAAGGCCCCUUUUUCCCGCAGUUGUCUCAAUGGGAGACUUCCAUUCCCAGUCAUCUCCUUUAUUGCUUUCCUUUCUUUUUUUCAUGGCCAAGUUUGGUGGGGAAAGGAGUUGGGAUAUAUAUGCUGGUUUGAAGGGUGCUUCUCUUCCUGGCAUCUUACACACUAAUACCCCUUGGUUCCUUGAAUGUUUUGGCUUUGAAACUUGCUCUCCCCCCCCCCCCCCCCCCCCCCAUGUACUGGAACCUACCAGCAGCUCUAUUCAAUGAAUCUUCAGACCUUCUCUUCGUGGCUUUUAUUUUUUAUCAACGGGCUGGGGCUUUUGUGGCUCAUUGUGGCAAUUGUAUGGGCUAAGGUGGUUCAUUAAGUAAGUGGGCUAUUUUUAUUAAACAUUAGGCUUUUUGGUUGAGUCACUAGGCUAUUUUGAUUGGGCUAUUGGGCUAUUUUUUUCCUCUCUUGUGCUCACCCACAUGUUUGGACCAAAGAAAUGAGCUUGAGUCCUGAGGCUCCCAAGCGACCCGAGACUUUCCAUUUCUGGCCCAUCAAUGGGCCUCAUGUUGAUUUAUUACCAUCCAUACCACAACCCACUCAAGCAGGCUCCGGGCAUUUGAAUGACUUGGGCGCACUUAGGCUUGUAGUGUGGUUGGGUGCGAAAUAACGAUUUCGUGCUUGGCAUGUUUUAAUUUUAUCAUCCUUGGGAAAGGCUGCGAUGUUUGAUUUCGGCAUGGGCUUGUAGAGCUGGUAUGCUUUAUUUCAACUCCUAGCAUGACGAAUUAUUUAUUUAGCAUGGCACGUGAAUUACAACUCGCAUGUGGUGGGUUUUUGUGUACUACACCUUACGCCUCUUCUUAAUAGAACAUCGUUUUGGGCUGAUAAUUUAUUCGGGCCAAACCGUGAAUUUUUUGGGUCUCAAUAAUAACCAUCAUGAAACAUUACAUUUUGACUGACGUCAAGAAAUGGGGUAUCCCUUUCCUGAUAGUGGCAUCCAUGAUGCCUUCCAAGCAGUCAAUUAAGGGCUAUCGUGAUGCAUUUUAGUUGUCAGCAAAAGGUGUUUUUCUUGUACUGUAUUCACUCAAAGUCGUGUUUCAUUUAAGAUUAGUAGUAUGGUUGAAUACCAUUUGUUUUGUUAAAGAAUAUUAUACAUUAGGGAUUUUUGUAGAAAUGUCAUUUGAACUUAUACCUUAGUUUCAAUUUGUCACCUUGAAGAAAAAUUUAAGAGAAAUGUCACCUUAAUUUUUAAAAAUCCAUGAUUUGUCAUAUGACUUUAAAAUCAUCCAAUUUUCCAUCCAUUUUAAGGGUAUUUUAGUCUUUUCAUUUUGAAGGAAAAAAAAGAGAUGAAAAAAGAGACCUCUCUCUUACUUUGUCCCUCAACCCAACCCCACCCGCCCCCCAAAACACAUCACAUAGGAUUGCCUCCCCCUUCCCCACUUUUCUUUUUUCUUUUUGUCCUACUUUUCCACUAUGUUUAUGUUGAAGGAUCUAAAGUUUGCUUGGUCACCAUCUGUUACGUAGGCUUCCCAAUUGUUAGUUUGGGUGGGUUGUGGGAAUUUGUGUGCUCGAAACCCGAGACGAAUCUUGUGGAAUUCCCGACAUCACACCGAUGCCGGGCCCACUUCUGAACUAAAUUCUCUUUUCCAAAAUUAAGGAAAAAGAGUACGAGGCUUUCUGCCGAAAUUUCGACAGAGUAUUCCCUAUAAAUUUAACAUUUCAGCUUUGGUGGCCGUUCUCUCAUUUCAGCUUUGGUGGCCGGAUGAGAGAACGGUCGGCUAAAACGUGGCCAGCUGGCACUGCCGUCGCGAGAGAGAGAGAGAGAGAGAGAGAGAGAGAUUUUUAUCAAAUCAUUUUUGCCAAAAUUACGAUUAUGCAACUGAGGGUAUUUUGAUCGUAUCUUUUUCAUUAUAACUCUGAUUCAAGCCCACUACGUGUUUACGGACUCAUCUCGCCGUGCUCUAUGCAAUUGUAUAGUUGAAAUUCCCAAAUUCCACCCCAGUCAAAAAUUCAACUUUAAACCCUACAAAAUAUUAUAGGGGCAAAAUGGUCUUUUAUCUAAUUAAAUUAAUAAUUGAAAAUUUAUUUAGGACCGGGUUGUUACACUGUCGUUGAUGGACUGUGCGAUGACACUCACACAAAGUCCUUGAGAAUAAAACACACACACACCAUGAAGAGAGUAAAACAAAUACACAAGUACACAAAGAUUUAUAAAGGUUUGGCCUUCUGCCUACGUCCUCUUGGUGAUCCACCCGAGAAAUUCACUAGUACGUAAGAACAACUUUGGUUACAACUAAACCCCCUUAGCUUUCAUAAGAACCCUAGAUCUCUUUUCUCCCACCCUUGCUCCAACCCUUUGAUGCCCUUGUAAACACUCAAGAAUUCACCCUUGAAUUCUGUCAUGUGUUACAUCUUCUCUUCUCCCCUUUGUUAACCUAACCCUAAAAGUUAUAUUUAUAAUUCAUAGGACUUUAAGUACAAGUUAACUAGGAAUAGGAAACAUAAUAGACCUCAAAAAUUGGAGAAAAUAUGUUUAGAUCUCGUUAGGAAAUUGCACAACACGUGCGAUCCGCUCGAGCGCCUGCAAAAUGAUCCCUUUGUCGCUCAAGCUGCCGAUAGCUCAUGGGAUGGGGGAAUUAGAGAUUUUUUUUUUUUUCAAUUUUAAUUGUUUAAAAGAUAUACAAUUUUUUAAUAAUAAUUUUUCCAUUUUUAAAAUACCCUUGAAAAUAGAAAGAUUAAAAUGCCCUUAAAAAUGGAUGGAAAAUUGGAUUGCGUUAAGGUCAGUUGACAAAUCAUGGAUUUUGAAAAAUUAAGGUAACAUUUCUCUUAAAUUUUUCUUUAAAGUGACAAAUUAAAAUUGAGGUAUAAGUUCAAGUUACAUUUAUGCAAAAAUCCUUAUACAUUAUGAUAUUCUAACAAUAAAAUUGGCUAAAAUUGAUAUGUUCCCUCUUUAUUUUCUUUUUCUCUUUUCCUUUUCAUUUUAUGAUCCAAUCCUUUUCAUAUAUUUUUGUUCAAGACUUUGUUUUAGAAUGCUCUAUUACUAAUUUGGUACAGGUCCCUAAAAUCUCGGAGCCGCCUUAGUACAUUCAUAAUGUACAUGUUCAGAGUUCAAGAAUAAUGUAUAGAAUGUGAAAUUGACGAUGCCGGCCUUUAUGAGGCAACGUCUUUAUUUCUUUGGUUAUUACAGUUUAGAAUAUUUGCACAAAUGAGAUGAUUCCAAGCAUAAAGUCACAUUCGACCAAAAAGCAUGAAGUCACACACAAAAAGAACACGGACAAUUGCUAAGUUUAUCCUUGUACCCUUAUUUUAUUGAUCCGACCCAAUUGAAAAUUAAAAAAAGAUGAUAAAAAAUAUUGUUCACUACUUUAAAAUCUAUGAGUAGAGUCCUCCAUUUGAAAUUUCGUCAUUAUACAAAAUUGGAAUGAAAAAAGAAAAUCCUACAGCUAAAUUUGAUAUAUUUCCUUUUCAUUUUAUGCUGGGUGUUAGGGCUUGUCAAUGGGCCGGGCUAGGCUAGCCCGGCUCAAAUUUAAUGGGCUUGGGCUAGGCCGGGCCAAGCUUUAAAGAGGAGAGAGAAAAUAUCCGGCCGAGUUUUUUAAGAAAAUUCAAAGCCCAAGCCCGAAUCACUGCUGUCUAGCCCGGCCCAAAUUUAAUGAGCUUGGGCCAGGCCGAGCCAAGCUUUAAAGAGGAGAGAGAAAAUAUCCGGCCGAGUUUUUUAAGAAAAUUCAAAGCCCAAGCCCGAAUCACUGCUGUCAUUUCAUUGAUUUGUGACGAGCACAACCACCAAAUCAGAAUUUACUCACGAAAAUAUCAAGUAUGUCUAGCAAAUUUCAAUUUUGAAUAAUACACAAUUUCAAAAGGAGGACAUGUUGCAAGACAGCAUACCUUCUCUUGGGGUGCUUUUCAUUUUGCAACAUUUCUUUACGUGUAAUUUCCAGAGGAGGGUUUAUCAUUGUAUAUAGCUUUUCGGGUGGUUUGUCUACAAAACAAAUGUCACAAAGAAGGAGGAGAAACGGAAAAGAUUUACUUGGAAUGUCUCAAGUCUCCUUUGAGAUAAAGGCAUCGAAUGCACAACAUUGCUUUUGUGCUAUUUCAUAAUUAAAGUGUGCUUCCCAAGUCUCCUUUGUGUUUUGUAACUUGUAAUGUUUGUUUUUUUGUUUCCCCUGUUUUCCCUCUUAUAAAAGAAAUACAGGUCCAAACCACACGGAUCUACUUGCAUAAUAAUGGACCAAAUUUAUGAUUUUUAGAAAGAACCUUCUGCCGGUGGAAUCUUGGGCUACUGUUGUGGCUCUCCUCUGUGUGCCUCCUUUUUAGAACGGUAAAAUAUUCAAAAUACUAGAAAAUGUUCGUGAUUAAUAUAAAUAUUAAGAAUUGAAAUUAUUAAUUAAAUGAGGAUAAUAUGGUAAAUUCACACUUUUUUAUAUUAAAAAAAUUAAAAUUAAAAGAAAAAUCAGAUAAUUGAUAUUAUUUUUAUGGAACACAGCUACUCAUUAUCUUUUUUAAUUCUAAAAUAAAUUUAAAUUAAAGAAAAAAACCCCUCUCACAGGCACGGAAGCGCGUGCUCAGAGGCUAGUUAAAAAUAAUGAACUUUGCUUCUGAAGACGUCUAUACCAGACCCACUCAACCUGCUUUAUGAUUAUACAAAGAACAAACUCGUCCUUAGACUCAUUUGGUUAAACUUAGAAAAUAAUGAAACAAAAAUAUGCACUCCCACAAGUAACACAGCCAGGAUUGAAAACAACUGGACAAAGAAAGGCAUGUUAAAACAGAAUUUUCAACAACUCAUCACCAUUAGACAAGAAAAAGAAAAAUCAAUACAAAAACAGAAAGAACAGAGAAUAAAUGUGGUGGAAGAAAAACGUUGAAGCCAUUUGUGAAUCCAACAACACUACCACUCUGUUUCUCUCCUUUUGUUCAGGCGGAUCUGCAUAUAUCCUAAGGCGUAUUACGGAAACAACUUCUUGCCGUUAUACUUGAAUGUUGUGGAUGCUUCAACGUUGCCAUCUGGGUGGAGUGGAUUUGUCCAAUUCACCUUCACUAUGGUAUAUACGUCCAAAUUGUUGUUAUUUGAAAGGCUUCUAAAUUUUAACAUUUUGAUUUUUAAAUUUUGUUUAAAUAUUUCGGCCCACUUAGUUCUUCUCAAAAUAUGUCAUCAAUAUCGUUGAAAGGUUGAACUUAGUGAAUUAUUAUAGUGCAGUACUGUAGAAUAGACACAUGAUAUAAUUUGUCCACAUGUUAUAAUAUAAGUAAAUAUUUAUUGAUAUUAUUUCUAAAAAUAAGAAAUAUCAACCAUUAUAUCCUCCCAUAUUAUAAUACAUAUACAAAUUAUACCACAUUAUCAUACUCUAAUACCAUUUUAUAAUUUCUCGUACUUAGAGCGAGUCAAUGACAUUACAUAAUAUAUAAUUGUUCAUAUAAUGGGGCAACUAACGUGAUCAACAAGUUGUGGUGAUUAAUUUAACAUAAUAAAAAAUAUACCAUUUACUUGAGUGAUGUAACAAUUUGUUCUUUUAAAUUGGAUUGCCAUCACUUUAAUAUGAUAUGUUUCUUAUUAUAGUGUCCCAUGUUAAGUGCUUCAGCAUUGUUUGUGGUGUGUACACAAAUUUUCUUAUAAAAUGUUUUAAUGCUUCUCACAUGUAUAUCAGAUAUAGACAGUUGAUGUGACUUAGAAAUCAAAUUGUCAAUAAAGCAAAAAAAUAUAAUUGGUGAUUGAGGUCCAAUUUAAUAGAAAAUAGUCUUAACUUGUAUAUUAGAGGUUUCAGAUUCGAAUCCUCACUGCAUUAUUGUUGUAUACGUACACGAGAAAUCCUCUUCUCCAAUAAUUUAGACUAUCACUUAUACUAAAAAAAUAUAUAUAUAUAAUGACUUUUACGGAUGCAAACAUAAAAUUACACCAAACAAUAAUGGAAUAGAAAGAUGCAAGUUAUUUUUUUUUUUUUUACAUCUAAAGUAUACUUUAUAUAUAUAUUUAUUAUGGGUGUUAUAACCGUUUAAUUUUCAGUUUUUAUUUUCUAUUUAUUGUUUUAAUUUUUAUGGUUUAAUGUGUAUGAAGAUUACAAGUAUUGGAUGUCUACCACUCCUCCUUCACAUCUGAAACAAACCACCAUCUCAUUUCUGUAUUUUCAUACUUUCAUAUAUUUUCUACUUUCCAGAUUAUUAUUUUUGGGCAACGGUUCUGUGACUUGCAGAUUUCUAUCCGAUUGUUAACAUGCUCAUAGCGGACCUUGAGCUUGCGUAUUGGGGAUCGUAUCUUGGAGCCUUAUAGACCUUUAUUACCUGCAUGUAGGGAGGUUAUAAAUGCUUUAGGUCAGCAUCUUUGACGUGCUUUUGCUUUCUUUUUUUUUUUACUUAUUUCUUCGUUUCUUUAUUUUUACUUUACUUUUAAAUUUUUAUUUUAUGUAUUAUUUAUAUUUAAAAGUUUUGAAUAAGAGUUUUACAGAAAAGGAAAAACACAAUUUCAAAUAACACAAAUUUCUCGUUUUUGGUUCUUAAAAUAAAUGAAUUUUUUACUUAUUUGUGAACUGAAAUGCCUCUAAAAAAAUAAUGAUAGUUUGAAGAAUUUGAUAGAAAUUAAAAAAUAUCCUCAAAUUACUUGGAAUUGAAGACCACAUAGGCAAAAACACCAUUUUGGACAAAGGCUGGUGAUAAUAGUCGAUAUCAUCUUUAAGUACUUUAAUAUGAUAUGUUUCUUAUUAUAGUGUCCCAUGUUAAGUGUUUCAGCAUUGUUUGUGGUGUGUACACAAAUUUUCUUAUAAAAUGUUUUAAUGCUUCUCACAUGUAUAUCAGAUAUAGACAGUUGAUGUGACUUAGAAAUCAAAUUGUCAAUAAAGCAAAAAAAUAUAAUUGGUGAUCGAGGUCCAAUUUAAUAGAAAAUAGUCUUAACUUGUAUAUUAGAGGUCUCAUAUUCGAAUCCUCACUGCAUUAUUAUUGUAUGCGUACAUGAGAAAUCCUCUUUCCUAAUAAUUUAGACUAUCACUUAUACUAAAAUAUAUAUAUAAUGACUUUUACGAAUGCAAACAUAAAAUUACACCAAACAAUAAUGGAAUAGAAAGAUGGAAGUUUUUUUUUUUUUUCCUACGUCUAAAGUAUACUUUAUACAGUCCCGAUCUCUUGGACCACAGGAGUCCAAGAGAUUGUGGUCACCCACCGUUGGAUAUUAAUCCAAUGGUUCAAAAUGAUAUAUAUAAAUGCAAUAUGACAUAAAUGAUUAUUACCCGAUCCAAGUCAACCGUUGAAUUUACAUUCAACGGUGGGUGACCAUAAAUCUCUUGGACUACAGGGGUCCAAGAGAUCAGGACUGAUACUUUAUAUAUAUAUAUAUAUAUAUUUAUUUAUUAUGGGAGUUAUAACUGUUUAGUUUUCAGUUUUUAUUUUCUAUUUAUUGUUUUAAUUUUUAUGGUUUAAUGUGUAUGGAGAUUACAAAUAUUGGAUGUCUAUAAAGGGCCACUCCUCCUUCACAUCUGAAACAAACUACCAUCUCAUUUCUGUAUUUUCAUACUUUCAUAUAUUUUCUACUGUCCAGAUUAUUAUUUUUGGGCAACGGUUCUGUGACUUGGAGAUUUCUAUCCGAUUGUUAACAUGCUCAUAGCGGACCUUGAGCUUGCGUAUUAGGGAUCGUAUCUUGGAGCCUUGUAGACCUUUAUUACCUGCAUGUAGGGAGGGUACAAAUGCUUUAGGUCAGCGUCUUCGACGUACUUUUGCUUUCUUAUUUCUUCGUUUCUUUAUUUUUGCUUUACUUUUAAAUCUUUAUUUUAUGUAUUAUUUAUAUUUAAAAGUUUGAAUAAGAGUUUUACAGAAAAGGAAAAAUACAAUUUCAAAUAACACAAAUUUCUCGUUUUUUGUUCUUAAAAAAGAAGAAGCAUUGAUUGGGGAGUUAUGGUAAACUCAAUUUCAAUGGUUGCGAUGAGAGGCGGUGGCGGCGAGGAGAGGACGAAGGCUUUGCUGCCGACGGGGUGGUGUGGGUGGGUGGAGACCUCGGCUGGCUGCUUGGUCCUGGGUUCUCCUUUAAUUCUCUGUUUUCUUUUUUCUUUUUCUUUUUCUCUUAGAGUUAUUGAUGUUAAGUGAAUGGACAGAUGCCAAAAUAGGGACAGAAGUAGGGGUGGGCAUCAAUCCGGCCGAUCCGGUCAAUCCGGCCGAACCGAUUAUAUUGGAUUGGUUUGGUUUGGUUUUGACCAAAGAAAAAGUCAACAUUUUGAAAAACCGAACCGAACCGGUUUGGUUUGGUUCAGCUGUGGUUUGAGAGUUUUAAAAACUGUCCUAAACCGAACCGGACCGAUUAUAAAUCAAUUUAUUAUUUAUUUAAUUUAGUUUACAUGUGGCAAGGUUUGUGUGCGUUUUGUGAGUCCGCGUAUCUGAAUGUUGGUGCACGUUUUGAUCUUCUAAUUUGCAUAUCCCAGUUAUUUGUGUGUGCUUGUAUUUCCCUCUCUUUCUAUCUCUACUAUGUGUGUUUGCUCUUUGUGUUGUGUGGCUCUUCUUACUCUAUCUAUCUUAAUUAAUGGGUCCAUUUCAUAAUUUCAUACGCAUUCAAACUCCACCUCUGUGAUAAAAACAUUUACCUCUUUGUGAUAAAAGCUUUUCAUUUGUUUGUAUUUCUCUUUGGCUUUUUGACUCACUCACUGUCUUUCUUUCUUUUAAUGCUACUUGUGAUGAAUGCAAUGAGUAAAUUUAAUGCUACUUGGUUAAUGCAAAUUUUGUAUAUGUUUGUUUUGAUGGAAAUUGUGAACUUAGAUGCAUGCUAGACAUUGGACAACCUUUGAAUAAAUGGAAUGAUGUUGUAUUAGCCUUUGAUGGAAUGAAAUGAAAUGAUAUAAUGGCAAAAUGUUAGCAUUAUAAUGUAAGAGCAGGUUGAAAAAUGCAUGGUUUUGUGUUAGGCACAAACCGGCCGAACCAAUCCGAACCAAACCGAUUACAAGUGGUUUGGAUUGGUUCGGUUUCCAUUAUGAUUUUAGGCUAAUCCGAACCAAACCGGACCGUUAUUUUCUUAUUGGUUCAGCUGUGGUUUGAGAGUAAAACCGAACCAAUCCGGACCGUGCCCACCCCUAGACAGAAGAUGUGAACCCAAUUAUAUACAGCUGAUUACAUAAAGUAACAAAUUAAUUAAUACUUGAGUGGAGGACAGGCUUGAGUGGAAGAAUUGAUUAAGGCUUGAGUGGAAGACCAACUUCAGUGGAGGAAAGUAUAGAUAAGGAAAGCAUGCCUCGUUUAACGGCUUUAUCUAAUAAAGAUUAGUUGUUGGCACUUGGAGUUUCUUAGGAAUGCUGGUUUUGUUUCCUUGGUGGACUUGAAAGGUGGUGCGUUGGCUCGGACAUCUCCCUAGUAAUUAAUCGAAGGUGGAAUCUUACAAGACAUACAGCUGCUCAUUAGCUGAAUAUCUCGCUCUCUUUAAAGAGAUCGAAGCAAACUGCAAUUUGCAAUUUGUGUGAUUCAAGCAUGAAUAUCUGAUAUAGUAACUAUACCAUUUGUUGGUUUGAUAAGAAAAGUUUGGUUAGCGAGGAUGAAACCAUAAAGUUCUCCAAAACACACAAAAAACACGAACAAUUGCUAAGUUUAUUCUUGAGUUCACACAUAUUUGUACAAAUGAGAUUACUCCAAGCAUGACUAUACCAUUUGUUGGUUUGAUAUGAAAAGUACGGGCAACGAGGAUAAAACCAUACAAACACACACAAAGAACGUGGACAAUAUACUAAGUUUAUCUUUGCGUUAUUGAUCCGACCUAACUGUAAAAUAAAAAAGAUAAAAAUAUAUAAUGUUCACUACUUAGAUCUAUGAGCACUAAAGUCCUCCUUUUGAAAUUGCACAAAACAUCACUUUUGGUCUUUGGUAAAUUUUUAAAAUAAAUGAAUUUUUUACUUAUUUGUGAACUGAAAUGCCUCUAAAAAAAUAAUGAUAGUUUGAAGAAUUUGAUAGAAAUAAAAAAAUAUCCUCAAAUUACUUGGAAUUGAAGACCACAUAGGCAAAAACACCAAAUUGCAACCUCACUUUAAUGAUAAAAAUGGUAAACUACAAAGACAAAAAUGACGUUUUGCCUUAUACAUAAUUGGAAUUUGCUGGUGAUAAUAGUCUACCAUCUUUUGUCGAUUUGCUGGUGAUAAUAGUCUAUCAUCUUUUGUCGGUCCGACCUAAAAAGAAGAAAAAGUUGAUGGCAUCUUGUACCAUUUUUGCCAAUGUGGGCCCAAACAAUUUGAAGAAGUCCACCGGCAAUUUCUCAAAAGCUAUUGUGUGAGUGUGAAGCUAAACCAAUAUUAUUUUGCAUAUACGACUCCACAUCCCCAUGUGAUGUGAGGCUACAAAAGUGUUUCCAAAACGAAAUAUGAUAUUUCAAAACGAAGCUAUGUAUAGAGUCAUUUGUAUUUGCUUUCACAAUAACAUUUGAUUUGUGAAAGCAUUUUAUAUUUAUACAUUCUGAUAUUCUAACAAAUAAAUUGACUAAAUUUGGCCAACAGGAUUUAGCCGAAUAGAAAAGUCCUUAUUUAUAGACUAGUGGUUUCAAAUUUAAAGUUUAGACUAUCGCAUGUAUUUAAAAAAAAAAAAACAAUUGGCUUAAUUUGAUAUAUUUCCUUUUUUUCCUUUUUCAUUUUAUACUGGGUGCCGUUAUUAAGUUUUAUCCUUAUUUUUUGUUGAAAAGAAAAUUGAAAAAAAAUAAUAAUUCCUACAGCUAGCAACUUCUCCACCUUCCCUUCUUCGCAACUAGGGAUGCCAUUGCAAGGUCACCAUCUCAGAUUAAGUCCUCCUUUUAAAAUUGUGUCGUUAUUCAGAAUUGGAAUAUAAUCCUGUACCACUUUGGCCACUUUUGAAGAUGUUCACCGACAAUUUCUCAAAAGCUAUUAAGCUGUACAUCCACAAUAUUAUUGCAUCCAUCCCCAUGUGAGGCUACAGAAAAAUUUUGAAAACGAAACUGGAUAUUUUAUCUCUAACAACAGCUUUCAUACUUCGUUUACCCUGUGUUUCCAAGUUGUGCUAGCUAUUUGCAAACCUUGGAAUAUUACUUCAUCCAAAUCCCUUGCAGAGAAGAGCAAGAUAUGGCUUUGAUCGGAGAAGCCCUCAUCUCCGCUACCAUCCAGACGUUUUGUGACAAAAUUGCUUCGCCUGAGUUCACCGACUUAUUUCGGCAGAAAAAGCUCGAUGAACAACUCCUCAACAAGCUGAAGACGACGCUGUUGACCUUGUCCGUAGUGCUUAAUGAUGCAGAGGAGAAGCAAAUUAAGGAACCUUUAGUGAGAGACUGGCUUGACAAUCUCAGACAUAAUGUCUUGGCUGCGGAGGACUUACUGGAUGAGAUCGACACUGAAGCUUUGCGAUGCAAGCUGGAAGAAGGUGAAGGUCAAACCCACAAUUUAACCAAGAAGGUACGUGAUUUUUAUCAACGCAUGAAUGUUGAGAUGAAAGAUUUAUUAGAAAGAUUAGAACAAUUUGUACAAGAGAAAAGUGCUCUUGGUUUGAGAGAAGGUGCUGGGAGGAAGGUUUCACAAAGAAGAACAACUUCCUUGGUUCAUGAACCUUGUGUCUAUGGUAGAGAUGAAGUCAAAGAAAAUCUGUUACAAAGAAGAGGAUUUGCCGUCAUCUCUUUCUCAUCUGAGUAUCUCGCGGUGUCCUGCCCUGGAGAAAAGGUAUAAGAAUAAGACGGGACAAGAUUGGGCAAAGAUAUCUCACAUUCCUUGCAUCAAGAUAGGAUACGAACUGAUCAUAUAAUAUGAGCUAUUCCAUAUUUCACUCUCAACCCUCAACUCUCAAAUCAAAGUCAGGUGAGGUAUGUGCCUUCUCUUACUUUAAAAAACUGCUUCUCUUCUUCUAAUUGAAUACAAAAACCAAAACACAUAUUCUCUUUCUCUUCCAAAAACCCAAAUACAUGUUGAACAUUGCCAAAUUUGAUCUCCAAAUUCCUAAUUAUUUCACGCUUUUUGUUAUUUUGUUGCUUAGUAAAUUAUGGUUGCUGGUCACAAAUUAUAGUCUGUUAAUAGGUUCAUGCCAUGAAUUAAUCUUUGGACUUUCCCAGGUACUGCAGGUUUGUUAUUAAUGUUGUGGCCUGAUAUUCGUCGUAUCAAUAGGUUGUCUUACGUUGAGGAGAGAGAUCGAUCAGCAAUUACAAAAUUGUUAGUGAAUUUAGCUUGUUUAUCAUCUCUCUCCUUUUGUUUGUUAAGUUUGGUUGUUCUAGGUUAAACCCUUGUCCCCGCAUUUCACAGCAACUCUAUGUUAUUCCACUCUGUUUAGUUUCAUUUAUGUUGUGAUUCGACUGCUGCUGUAUUUUAGAUUUCGUUCAUGUAAUGCUAGGAUGUUUAAUCUCUUAUCUGUGGUGGUAGUUGAGUAGUCUAGCUAAUCCAAUGAUAACUUGUCCCCUGUUUUGUAUUGUUUUUAUUUCUCUGGUAAUGAAAGCACGUUUCUUAUAAAUAAAUAAAAAAUAUUUCAUUGAUAUUCAUUGCUUAUUUUGAACUGCAGAAGCCUACUUUUGUCAGAGUCAGUAGAUGCCAGAAUGAAGUCAUUGCCUAAACACAUUGGCACCCUCACAGCCUUCGACAUUUUGGGAUAUAUGAUCUUCAAAAUCUUGUGUCAUUUGCCUCCCAACCUGCAAUAUUUUCAUAUUUUAAAUUGUGACAGACUGAGCCCUUUGGUGGGAGAUUACUGGGGUUUGCAAGGACUUGGUGGCAAUAUCUUGUAGACGUUUCUCAAGGAACAGCUGCUCAAUACCACUCUUCACACUCUAUAUAUUAUGGCCUGUCAGUCUAUAAUUCCUGCCAGGAGAGGAACUUGAACGCCUCUCUUCGCUGCAAAGGCUACAUAUUUGUGGGUGUGACAAUAUCCAAUUCCUGCCAGAAGAGUGUUUGCUGCCAUCUCUUUCUUAUCUGUGCAUCAACCAUUGUUUUGCCAUGUAGAAAAGGUAUCUCACAUUCCUUGCGUCAAGAUAGGCGAAGAAGUGAUCAUAAGAUAUGAGCUCUCUCUCCCUCUCGCUCACAUACAAUGUACUUAACACAAACACUCAAUCUGAUUUCUAUUAUUAUUUUGCUCAGUAAAUUUUGUUUAAAUUUGCUUUAUUUCUCAUUGCACUUGUUCUGCUGAUCACAACUUAUAUCCUAUUUAAAUCUCAAAUGCUGAAUAAUGAGCAGUCUUUUCGCAGGACAACAUAUCUUCUCUUGGAGAGCUAUUCAUUUGCAAGGUUUCUUUAUGGGUCAUUUCCAGAGGAGGGUUUACUAUUUAAUAGAAAGGUUCACCUGGAAUAUCUCAACUGACACAUUCCCAAAUACAGGCAUUGAAUGCACAACAUUUUGAGGUACUAUUUUUGUAAUAAAAAUGUACUUGAGUCUCAUUUGAGCUAGUUUAAAUUGUAUUCAAUGUCUAUGGAUAACCUGUGAGCUUAAGUUGUAAGAUAAAACUCACAGUAUAUUAUUAGGGUUUAGGGUUCAACUGUUCAACAGGUGAGCUUAAGUUGUACUUUCCUAGGUACUGCAUGUAUAUAAUCUUAGUAUCAACACUUGGUCUUAUGUGGACAAGAGAGAACAUUUGAGGAAUUACAAAAUCUUCUUAGUGAAUUAAUGUUGUUUCAGCUCUGUUUGUCAUCCCUCACAUUUUCUUUGUUAAGCCUUGAUUUUUUAUUAGACAUAAGAAAAAAUGCUUUUAUAAGACAGGAGAUGAAUGCUUUUAUAUGUUGAUGUCGUAGUCAGUCUUCAACCACACUCUGUUUUUAGAAUUCAUUUAUGUUACUAGUUGAGUGCUGCUGUAUUUUAUAUUUCGUUCCUGUAAUGUUUGGAUGUUUAGCUUGAGCAGUCUAGCUUAUCCAGUAGAUAACUUGUUCCCUGUUUUGUAAUGUUUUUGUUUCCUCUAAUGAAAGCAGGUUUUACUUAUCUUGAACUGCAGAAGCCUACUUUUUGACAUAGGUGGCAUGGCACAAACUCGCAUCCGCAUUUCCUUCCCCAUUGGCAUGCUGUCUCAUCUUUUGUAUUCUGUUACCAGCUUGAAGCUUGUGUAGACAUGUUAUGCUCUUGUAAUUCUGAUCACAAACAUCACUUGACAAAUGGAAAGUCACAAUCAGAUCUUUCAGGUGAUCGGGAGGUUUACUUUCUAACAUUUGUUUUCAUUGGGGGGAGGACAACAAUACAGAAUUUAAAAUUUCUGAUAAUCAAUAGUAGUUUGCAUAUAUCAGCUGGGACCUGUAUGACUGUAUUAUGUAAUUAAUUAUUUCUCUUAUUGUUUUGGUACUGUUAAAAGGAGUUAGCCACAAAAUAAAAAAGGAGGCCUCUUAUUUCAUACAAUUUUUCAAAAGUGAUCAUUCAUCCGUUUCUUUUUCAACAAUAGAGGAAUGUAUACUAAUCGUCUGGUCCAUCUGCUGCUUCACUCCCUAGUAGCUUCAUCUCCUGUCCUUUGCUUUAUUUCUGUUGAUGAAUGUUUUGUCUGGGUUAUUUAUUUUCAUUUCAUGUCCAUUGCUUCAUUUCUGUUUGGAUUCUGUCCUGGACUUGAACAAGGGUUAGGUUAGCUGUAUAAUUUGCGGUUUUAUAUACACAACUGUCUACAUUGAUUAAAACCAGCAUUAUUCUAAGGUUCAUUUAGAAUGUAUUAUCACCAAAAUUAUAAAGUAUACUUCUAUUACAAUUAAUUUGUUGAUUCUAAUUUGGACUUGUAGGAACAGACCAAACAUGUUCAUACGUGGCAUUGCUCAAGUCAUCAUCAUUCGGGACAGAGAAUAAGCCUUCAAAUGUCUGCUGAGUCAAUGAACCUUUCUAGAUAUCUCAAGUGUAGUGGAAAUUGAUGAGUUACAAAGGAUUUUUAAACAUUUUCUACUGGAGGCUAGAAAUGCUUCAAAUAAAUGACUGUGUUGCAAUUAUUUUGUAGGAUCAAAGACUCUGCAAAGAGGUAAGAAAGUCAUCAUCAAGUAACUUUGCUCUUCAAACUUUUUAAUUUUAUUUUUAAAUAUCAGUAAUAACUGGGAAAGUUUGCAUUUCCUUAAAUUGCUCAUUCUUACAUCUUUUAUAGUUUGUUGAUCUUGGGCAAGUGGAGAGAGAGGCGUCAAGUGAUACACAACAACCAUUUUCUGUGAGCUGAUUUGAUAAAGAGAAAUGGUAUGCUUUCUUGUCUUAAGCGGUGUGUUCUGCAAUUAUUUGAAACAAAGGAUGCCGCACUUCAAGUUCGAGAAAAUCAGGUAUUUUAGUAUUUUAUUCUGGAGAAAUUUGAUUUAUGUAGAAACUUGAACAUGUAAAUGAGAGAAAAAAAAAUUUAUAUAUAUAUAUAUUAUAUUGUAUAUGCUCUUAAUGAGUUAAUAUGGUGCUUGCUCCUGGUUGGAAAUUUAUGUAGUCAUCUACCUAUGAUCAAAUAAAGAUGAAAAAUAAAAUAAAAUUGAGAGCAUCUUCCUCUCCCCUGCUUUGCUCAUCCCUUGUUCUUCCACUUCAGCCCCACUAUUACACCAUUUUUUCAGCCACAAUUAUAAUAGCUCCAUGAGCAUUAAGUCCUUUUCAAAUUCUGCUGACAUUCAAAAUUGGAAUUGCUGGUGAUAUAUGAUAGCAUCCUUGUCCGACCAAAAAGAAAAAAAAAAAAAGUUGAUAGCAUAUUGUACCAUUUUGGCCAGUGUACGCAAUAUUAUUGCAUCCAACUUUGCAUAUUAACAUCAGUGGCCACAGUUCCAUGAUUUGAGUGCACAGAAAGGUUUCAAAAGUUGUCCCACAAAGAACAGUCGUUCAAAGUGAAAGAGAGUUUUCAAAGCUUAGUUACAAGUUCAUGUUAUUUACAAUAUCAAAAAGCUUUCAUACUUGCUUACAAACCUGUAUUUCCAAGUUCUGCAAACCUUGGAAUAUCACUUCAUCCAAAUCCCCUUCCAAAGCAGGAAAAAUGGCAGCAGCUUUGAUUGGAGAGGCUCUCAUCUCUGCUUCUAUCGAGUUGUUGUGUGACAGAGUUACUUCAGCCGAGUUCAUAGACUUAUUUCAGCAGAAGAAACUUGAUGAAACACUCCUCAUGAACCUGAAGACGACACUGUUGAUUUUGUUUGCGGUGCUCAAUGAUUCAGAGGAGAAGCAAAUUGUGAACCCUGCUGUGAGAGAGUGGCUUAACAGCUCAAGCAUGCUGUCUUUGAUGCAGAGGACUUACUUGAUGAGAUUGACACUGAAGCUUUGCGAUGCAAGCUGGAAGGUGAGGAUGAAACCCACAAUAAUUAACCAAAAAGGAUCUUUUUGAUUGUUUGAAAGGAGGGUCUUGAUGAUUUGAAAGGAGAGGGUUGCUUUAUUUCUGUUGGAUGCUUAAUUAAAUCUUAUUUGGAGUUGAACAAGGAUUAGGUUAGCUGUAUAAUUAGUGGUAAACGCCUUUUUCUAAGGGUCAUUUAGACUCAUAUUACGAUUAAUUUGUUGUUUCUAAUUUGGACUUGUAGGAACAGACCAAAUAUGUUCACACGUGGCAUCGCUCAAGUCAUCAUCAUUUCAGACUGAAAAUCAGCCUUCAAGUGUCUGUUGAGUCAAUAAAACUUUCUAGAUAUAUCAAGUGCAAUGGAAAUUCAUGAGUUACAUAGAGAUUUGUAAACAUUUUGAAGAUUGCAACACCUGCAAGUGAGAUAGGCGGUGACGAAAUCAGAGAUGAAGCCUCUGAUGCCCCUGUUGUUGCAAGUUGCACCUGAGAACAUGUUUUUUUUUCUUCUUUGGGGUAAAAAACUGGCAACAUGUUCGGAGCUGACAAUUCAAUCCCUGAUGAACUAGAGAAGCAAAGCUCCGGUAAGGAAAUUGGUCAAGGUUGUGACAGGGAUGAUUGAUGGUGAAAUGGAUGCUAUUUCUUAUUGCAGCCUGUUCUUAAAGUUCUUGUUGGCAAAUGCAAGAGAUGGAGUAUUUUGAUUGGGAGGAGAGAUAAUGACAUGGCUUGACAAUUCUAGAACAGCCCAUCAUUAAUCCCAGAAAAAAUCCAGUUUCUGCUAAACAAUCACUUAUGGCAAGGCCAACUCUGUAAAUGGAAUUUGUGAUCCCUUCAAAUUGUACACAUUUUUUCUUUUUGAGGAAUUUAAUCAAACAGUAUUCUAAUGCAUUAUGAUGGCACUACACGCUUUUGUUGUAACAAAUUACAAGGAGGAAUUUGGAUUGAGUUUCUUGUAUAAGCACACCUUACACAAAUUUCGUAUAUUUUCUUCCAGCAAGUCUGUCUAUUAAACCCCUUAUUUGAAAUUAAUUGUUAUAAGUUUUGAUUCAUCUUUAAUCAGUGUCUUCCCCUUGUUGAAUAACACUCCUCUUUCUAAUUUAUAUUUGAAGUUUGAGGUUUCAAUUUCAAUUGUGGGUUUUGAUUUUACAGAUUUUGUUUGUCAAUUUCAGUUUGGACAAAGCAUAUGCAAUCAAAGUAAGCAUUUUAUGUUAUACUUUUGAACUAGGUGUUGAUUUGAUUUAAUCAUAAGUUUUGCUGGUGCAUUUACUAGGCUAAUCAUUCAAUACUUUUGAUCAUAGAACUUCUUUGGUUGAUAUUAUCUUUGUUAAGUUUAACCAUAACUUUAGAGAGGGGACUUAACAGAUUUAUAAUCUCAUCAUUAUAGUAUUAAAAAUUAGAGAUUAUUUAAGGCAUUGUCUAUUAUCUGAAUUCUGCUUACUUUUAGUUCAUAUGUUUACAUCUUAGCAUAUUCAUGUGAUUAGUGCGGCUCAUACCACAAAGGCAAUUUUAGGCUCAUCAAGUGCUAAGCAAUGUCAAGCUUCCAAGUGACAAGUUCUCUACAUAGUUUGAGACCUACACUUACUAGAUAUUAGAUCAUUUGGAUCAUUUCCAUAUGUGUAUAUGUAAUUGACAUGUUAUAACAUUUUUGUAGCGUUAUAUAAUUAUUUAGCAAUUUAAUUAUUUCUUUGCAACUUUAUUUUUUUUGUCAGUCAUACUAUUGUUGACUGCUAAAAACCAUCAAGAAAUAGUUCUUAAGUUAUAAAAAAAAAUUAUAAAAAAAAAGAUUUGUUGAUGCUUAAAAAGCAUCAAGAACAGAUAGUUUCUUGACGGUUUUGUGACGUUUCAUAACUGUAAGGGGCUUUUUCUUUCGACAGCUGUAAAUGGGCUGGGCUGCCGUAAAGGUCAAGACUGAUGAAAUUGUCCCUUUUUGUCUGAGCUCGAAAAUUAUGCCCCAAAAUACUUUGAAAGGGCAGCAGAGCCUUAGGAAGUAUUUUGGUUACCCUCACCAACUAAAACAACAACAACUUACAGGUAAUUUCUUAAUGCUUACAGAUGAACUCUUGUGCUUGGCAUGAGUGACAUGUGGCAUGGAAGCAAAAUCAACAUGAGUUUAGCACUGAGGCGAAAUUUAGGCUCUCUUGGGGGAAAAAGGGAAGUGUUAAGGUGAGAGAGGAGAAGUUUGUAGGAGAUUUAGCUAAGAAAGGAGAAAUAUAGAACAAUGCUCUUCUGGCAACUUGACAGAUGCUCUGUCUGCCAAAAAAGGAAGAUGGAGAAGAAAUGUGAAUAGUGCACGAAUUUGCUAGAUUUUUGCAGGUAAGAGAGGAAGCUUGCCCUAUGGGUCUGAGUUGAGUUUUGUUGGGUGGAAGAGACCUCAUUUUAUAGCCCCUGGAAACCAUCACUUCCCAAGAAACCCUAAUGGCUUCUACCUAUUUUGGCCAAGCUUUUCCCUUCCUUUCUCAUUUCCUUCCUUGAGUUUACCCCUUUUGAUGAAAUCCCAUCUGCCUAUUUGCACCAGAUCAAAGUUUUUUGAAGCUCAAGGCCCCCAUUUUCUUGCAGUUGUCUCAAUGGGAGACUUCCAUUCCCAGUCAUUCUCCUUUAUUGCUUUCCUUUCUUUUUUUCAUGGCCUAGUCUGGUGGGGAAAGGAGUUGGGAUAUAUAUGCUGGUUUGAAGGGUGCUUCUCUUCCUGACAUCUUACACACUAAUACCCCUUGGUUCCUUGAAUGUUUUGGCUUUGAAACUUGCUCCCCCCCUCCCCCCAUGUACUGGAACCUCCCAGCAGCUCUGUUCAAUGAAUUUUCAGACCUUUUCUUCAUGGCUUUUAUUUUUUUAUUAACUGGCUGGAGCUUUUGUGGCUCAUUGUGGCAAUUGUAUGGGCUAAGGUGGUUCAUUAAGUAAGUGAGCUAUUUUUAUUAAACAUUGGGCUUUUUGGUUGAGUCACUAGGCUAUUUUGAUUGGGCUAUUGGGCUAUUUUUUCCUUUCUUGUACUCACCCACAUGUUUGGACCAAAGAAAUGAGCUUGAGUCCUGAGGCUCCCAAGCGACCCGAGACUUUCCAUUUCUCGGCCCAUCAAUGGGCCUCAUGUUGAUUUAUUACCAUCCAUACCACAACCCACUCAAGCAAGCCCCGGGCAUUUGAGUGGCUUGGGCCCACUUAGGCUUGUAGUGUGGUUGGGUGCGAAAUGACGAUUUCGUGCUUGGCAUGUUUUAAUUUUAUCAUCCUUGGGAAAGGCUGCGAUGUUUGAUUUCGGCAUGGGCUUGUAGAGCUGGUAUGCUUUAUUUCAACUCUAGCAUGACGAAUUAUUUAUUUAGCAUGGCACGUGAAUUACAACUCGCAUGGGGUGGGUUUUUGUGUACUACACCUUACGCCUCUUCUUAAUAGAACAUCGUUUUGGGCUGAUAAUUUAUUCGGGCCCAACUGUGAAUUUUUUGGGUCUCAAUAAUAACCAUCAUAAAAUAUUACAUUUUGACUGACGUCAAGAAAUGGGGUAUCCCUUUCCUGAUAGUGGCAUCCAUGAUGCCUUCCAAGCCGUCAAUUAAGGGCUAUCGUGAUGCAUUUUAGUUGUCAGCAAAAGGUGUUUUUCUUGUAUUGUAUUCACUCAAAAUCAUGUUUCAUUUAAGACUAGUAGUAUGGUUGAAUACCAUUUGUUUUGUUAAAGAAUAUUAUACAUUAGGGAUUUUUGUAGAAAUGUCAUUUGAACUUAUACCUUAGUUUCAAUUUGUUACCUUGAAGAAAAAUUUAAGAGAAAUGUCACCUUAAUUUUUAAAAAUCCAUGAUUUGUUAUAUGACUUUAAGAUCAUCCAAUUUUCCAUCCAUUUUAAGGGGAUUUUAGUCUUUUCAUUUUCAAGGAAAAAAAAGAGAUGAAAAAAGAGACAUCUCUCUUACUUUGUUGCCCAACCCAACCCAACCCCACCCGCCCCCCAAAACCACAUAGGAUUGCCUCCCCUUUCCCCACUUUUCUUUUUUCUUUUUGUCCUACUUUUCCACUGUGUUUAUGUUGAAGGAUCUAAAGUUUGCUUGGUCACCAUCUGUUACGUAGGCUUCCCAAUUGUUGGUUUGGGUGGGUUGUGGGAAUUUGUGUGUGGAGGGCAAGACCCUAUCUGACAGGACCUGCCUCGAAUUCCUCGAAACCCGAGACGAAUCUUGUGGAAUUCCCGACAUUACACCGAUGUCGGGCCCACUUAUGAACUAAAUCCUCCUUUCCAAAAUUAAGGAAAAAGAGUACGAGGCUUUCUGCCGAAAUUGCGGCAGUGUCUUCCUUAUAAAUUUAACAUUUCAGCUUUGGUGGCCAUUCUCUCAUUUUAGCUUUGGUGGCCGGAUGAGAGAACGGCCGGCUAAAACGUGGCCAACUGGCAUUGCCGUCGCGAGAGAGGAGAGAGAGAGAGAGAUUUUUAUCAAACCAUUUUUGCCAAAAUUACGAUUAUGCAACUGAGGGUAUUUUGAUCGUAUCUUUUUUGUUAUAACUCCGAUUCAAGCUCACUACAUGCCUAUGGAUUCAUCUCGCCGUGCUUUAUGCAAUUGUAUAGUUGAAAUUCCCAAAUUCCAUCCCAGUCAAAAGUCAACUUUAAACCCUAUAAAAUAUUCUAGGGGAAGAAUGGUCUUUUAUCUAAUUAAAUUAAUAAUUGAAAAUUUAUUUAGGAUCGGGUCGUUACACUGUCGUUGAUGGACUGUGCGAUGACACUCACACAAAGUCCUUGAGAAUAAAACACACACACACCGUGAAGAGAGUAAAACAAAUACACAAGUACACAAAGAUUUAUAAAGGUUUGGCCUCCUGCCUACGUCCUUUUGGUGAUCCACCCGAGAAAUUCACUAGUAUGUAAGAACAACUUUGGUUACAACUAAACCCCCUUAGCUUUCAUAAGAACCCUAGAUCUCUUUUCUCCCACCCUUGCUCCAACCCUUUGAUGCCCUUGUAAACACUCAAGAAUUCACCCUUGAAUUCUGUCAUGUGUUACAUCUUCUCUUCUCCCCUUUGUUAACCUAACCCUAAAAGUUAUAUUUAUAAUUCAUAGGACUUUAAGUACAAGUUAACUAGGAAUAGGAAACAUAAAAGACCCCCAAAAUUGGAGAAAAUAUGUCUAGAUCUCGUUAGGAAAUUGCACAACACGUGCGAUCCGCUCGAGCGCCUGCAAAAUCAUCCCUUUGCCGCUCGAUCUGCCGAUAGCUCAUGGGAUGGGGGAAUUAGAGAUUUUUUUUUUUUCAAUUUUAAUUGUUUAAAAGAUAUACAAUUUUUUAAUAAUAAUUUUUCCAUUUUUAAAAUACCCUUGAAAAUAGAAAGAUUAAAAUGCCCUUAAAAAUGGAUGGAAAAUUGGAUGGUGUUAAGAUCAGAUGACAAAUCAUGGAUUUUGAAAAAUUAAGGUAACAUUUCUCUUAAAUUUUUCUUUAAAGUGACAAAUUGAAAUUGAGGUAUAAGUUCAAGUUACAUUUCUGCAAAAAUCCUUAUACAUUAUGAUAUUCUAACAAUAAAAUUGGCUAAAAUUGAUAUGUUCCCUCUUUUAUUUUCUUUUUCUCUUUUCCUUUUCAUUUUAUGAUCCAAUCCUUUUCAUAUAUUUUUGUUCAAGACUUUGUUUUAGAAUGCUCUAUUACUAAUUUGGUACAGGUCCCUAAAAUCUCAGAGCCGCCUUAGUACAUUCAUAACGUACAUGUUCAGAGUUCAAGAAUAAUGUAUAGAAUGUGAAAUUGACGAUGCCGGCCUUUAUGAGGCAACGUCUUUAUUUCUUUGGUUAUUCCAGUUUAGAAUAUUUGCACAAAUGAGAUGACUCCAAGCAUAAAGUCACAUUCGACCAAAAAGCAUGAAGUCACACACAAAAAGAACACGGACAAUUGCUAAGUUUAUCCUUGUACCCUUAUUAUCCGACCCAAUUGAAAAAUAAAAAAAGAUGAUAAAAAAUAUUGUUCACUGCUUUAAAAUCUAUGAGUAGAGUCCUCCAUUUGAAAUUUCGUCAUUAUACAAAAUUGGAAUGAAAAAAGAAAAUCCUACAGCUAAAUUUGAUAUAUUUCCUUUUCAUUUUAUGCUGGGUGUUAGGGCUCGUCAAUGGGCCGGGCCAGGCUAGCCCGGCCCAAAUUUAAUGGGCUUGGGCCAGGCUGGGCCAGGCUUUAAAGAGGAGAGAGAAAAUAUCAGGCCGAGUUUUUUAAGAAAAUUCAAAGCCCAAGCCCGACCCAUGAGCCCGGCUUGAGAAAGCCCAUCGGGCCGGCCCGGGCCUAAACAGGCCCUACUUCGUUAAAAAAAAAUCAUAAACUUAAUCAUAAGGUCAUUUUAGUCCAAAUUUGAGAUUAAACUCACUUAAUUCCAAUAUUUUCACUUCAAACCAAAUUCAUAAAACACCCAAUAAAGUCACACAGCUUGUAAGAUUUUCCACAAAAAUAAUAAAACCAAGUACUAUUUUUGAGGUUAUUACAUAAUUAGAUCGUAAUAUGUUUUAAGAAAUAAUUUUAAAAAAUAAUAUUAAUAAGUAUCAAAAAAAUAAUUUUUUAAAGGAUGGUAUGAAUAAAUAUGCAAAUAUUUGGUGAUGUGUUCAAGAAAAGGAUGAUUAUAUUUGGUGGUACGAUUAUGUUUCGUGAUAUGAUUAUAAUUAGUGAUGUGAUAUGUUGUUCAUCUUAUAUAUAUAUAUAAUUGUUGAAUUAAUAAUUGACACAAAUUAAUGUGUUAAUCAUCCAAUUAUAAACUAGGAAUGAAUAAAGAAAAGUAAAUGAAAUGAAACAAAUUAUAUAUGUGAUUUAAGUGAUAUAAUCCUAAACCUAAACUCUUAUUUAUACAUAAUUAUAUAUGUAUGCGGGCCUAACGAGCCGGACUUUUGUGGGCGGGUAGGGCCGGGCUUUAUUGGGCUUAAUCGGGCUUUAUUGGACUUAAUCGGGCUGGGCCUAUAGGUCGGACCGAGCUUCAGACAUCCAAGCCCACGCCUAGCCUCGCCCGCCUUGGGCCGGGCCAUUCUUUUUUUGGGGUUCUAUUUCUCUUUGAAUUAACUGCUGAGUUUCAUGAACAUGUCCUCCUUUUGAAAUUGUGUAUUAUUCAAAAUUGGAAUUUGCUGGACAUACUUGAUAUUUUCGUGAGUAAAUUCUGAUUUGGUGGUUGUGCUCGUCACAAAUCAAUGAAAUGACAGCAGUGAUUUUGCAAGACAGCGUACCUUCUCUUGGGGUGCUUUUCAUUUUGCAACAUUUCUUUACGUGUAAUUUCCAGAGGAGGGUUUAUCAUUGUAUACAGCUCUUCGGGUGGUUUUUCUACAAAACAAAUGUCACAAAGAAGGAGGAGAAGCGGAAAAGAUUUACUUGGAAUGUCUCAAGUCUCCUUUGAGAUAAAGGCAUCGAAUGCACAACAUUGUUUUUGUGCUAUUUCAUAAUUAAAGUGUGCUUCCCAAGUCUCCUUUGUGUUUUGUAACUUGUAAUGUUUGUUUUUUUGUUUCCCAUGUUUUGUCUCUUAUAAAAGAAAGGCUUUUUAUCACAAAUGGUCCUUCAGGUUUACAAAAUUAUCACAAAUCGUCCUUCAAGUUUUUUUGUGACACUAAUAGUCCUUCAGGUUAUCAUUUACCCAUCAAAAUGGUCCUUCUGUCAGUUUCUGUCAAAACUGACGUUAAAUUCCUGUGCUCAGCCUGCUUUUGAAAUGAUAAUCUCAUCUUUUCCACUCAACCUUCAACCAAACUCAACUGUCAGAACCCUUUCCCUCCAUUUCCUCAUGGUCCUUCCAGUUUGGCGCCCCUGUAAUAUAUAACCAAUCUUAAAAAUUAAACUUCUGAAGAAAUUGAAACAAUCCAAGCUCAAGAGAAAGACCAACAAUUGAGAACUGCAGAGAAAGAUCAAACUCAUGGAUCAAUAUGGUAAAGCCAAAUUGAAAAACAUAAUUUGCUAAAGAUAAAGCCAAACUGAAAAACCAAACUGAAAAACAUAAAGAUAUCAUUGACAAAUAUAAAAAGUUAAAAAAUAUUGCACAAUCAAAAUACAACCACAUGUUUCACAAAACAAAACAAAACAACCACAUUUGCAGACAAGCUGUAGUUUACACUUUAACAAAGAUUAAAAAACUAACCUGUAUACUUUGGUUGUUUCCCCCCCUUUCGAAAGAACUCCUCGGACUCAUCCAUCUAGUCACUUUUGUAAGAAGAAUAAUGCGUAUUUGACUCUUACGAACCCAGAUAUUCCUUUUGCAGACCAGCUUUAUCAAUUAAAAACCCAAAAAACCUUAAUUGUGCAGGGCCCGAGGAUGAAAUGGAGGGAAAAGGUUAUAUAUGCGGUUUAGAGCGCCAAAAUGGAAGGCCCGAUGAAGAAAUGGAGGGAAAGGGUUAUUUCAGUUGGGUUUGGUCGAAGGUUGAGUGGAAUGAUGCGAUUAUCAUUUCAAAAGGCAGGCUGAGCACGCGACUUUAACGUCAGUUUUGACAGAAACUAACAGAAGGACUAUUUUGAUGGAUAGAUGUUAAACUAAAGGACUAUUAGUGACACAAAAAAACCUAAAGGAUGAUUUGUGAUAAUUUUGUAAACCUGAAGGACCAUUUGUGAUAAAAAGCCUAAAAGAAAUACAGGUCCAAACCACACGGAUCUACUUGCAUAAUAAUGGACCAAAUUUAUGAUUUUUAGAAAGAACCUUCUACUGGUGGAAUCUUGGGCUACUGUUGUGGCUCUCCUCUGUGUGCCUCCUUUUUAGAACGAUAAAAUAUUCAAAAUACCAGAAAAUGUUCAUGAUUAAUGCAAAUAUUAAGAAUUGAAAUUAUUAAUUAAAUGAAGAUAAUAUGGUAAAUUCACACUUUUUCAUAUUAAAAAAAUUAAAAUUAAAAGAAAUAUCAGAUAAUUACUCUUAUUUUUAUGGAACACAGCUACCCAUUAUCUUUUUUAAUUAUAAAAUAAAUUUAAAUUAAAAAAAAAAUCUCUCUCACAGACACGGAAGCGCGUGCUCAGAGGCUAGUUAAAAAUAAUGAACUUUGCUUUUGAAGACGUCUAUACCAGACCCACUCAACCUGCUUUAUGAUUAUGCAAAGAACAAACUCGUCCUUAGACUCAUUUGGUUAAACUUAGAAAAUAAUGAAACAAAAAUAUACACACCCACAAGUAACACAGCCAGGAUUGAAAACAACUGGAAAAAGAAAGGCAUGUCAAAACAAAAUUUUCAACAACUCAUCACCAUUAGACAAGAAAAAGAAAAAUCAAUACAGAAACAGAAAGAACAGAGAAUAAAUGUGGUGGAAGAAAAACGUUGAAGCCAUUUGUGAAUCCAACAACACUACCACUCUGUUUCUCUCCUUUUGUUCAGGCGGAUCUGCAUAUAUCCUAAGGCGUAUUACGGAAACAACUUCUUGCGGUUAUACUUGAAUGUUGUGGAUGCUUCAACGUUGCCAUCUGGGUGGAGUGGAUUUGUCCAAUUCACCUUCACUAUGGUUAAUCAACUAGACAGACAUAAGUCAGAAACAAUAGGUAUAUACGUCCAAAUUGUUGUUAUUUGAAAGGUUCUAAAUUUUAACAUUUUGUUGUAAAUGUGGAGAGAAAAAGUAGAGAAUUGGAAUAGAGAGGAGAGACUGAUUUUCUCAUUCAUAUGUUCAGAUGAAUGUCUUCAGUGUAUAUUUUACAAGUAGGGGGAGGUAUCUAUUUAUAGGCUAAGGUUUUGGUAAAAUACAGGGAAGGAAAGUUCCUGGAAGAUGCAAGGAAACUUCCUCUGUGGGCUCCACCUUCAAACUUUUACAACACUCCCCCUUGGAGACCACAAAUGAUAUGGAAUAUGCCUCGUUAAAAACCUUGCCAGUAAAAACCCAGUGGGACAAAAACUGGUCAAAGGGAAAAAGAGUACAUAAUGAUGUGUAACAUAAAAUUCUGUGUAUAUUGACGCGCGUGCGACACUGCCUCGUUAAAACCUUGCCAGGAAAAACCCAGUGGGAUGAAAACCUGGACGAAGGAAAAAGAGUACAGUGUUUGAAGAUCUUUAUUGAUAGCAUGCUCCCCCUGAUGCUUGGUAAAAUAUCUUUAAGUCAUACUGUUGAUCACCUUUCUGAAUAUCGUAGUUGACACUGCUGCUGUGAGUCAAUCUUGAGCGACACUGCCUCGUUAAAACCUUACCAGGAAAAACCCAGUGGGAUAAAAACCUGGAUGAAGGAAAAAGAGUACAGUGUAUGGAGGUCUUUAUGAAAAACCACGCUCCCCCUGAAAAAUAUCUCCCCCUAAAAAAUUUCAUGACUAGCUUUUCCAGUAUGCGACCAUAGAAAUUUUCAUAGUAUACUCUAAACCCUUGAGCGACACUGCCUCGUUAAAACCUUACCAGGUAAAACCCAAUGGGAUAAAAACCUGGAUGAAGGAAAAAGAGUACAGUGUGGAGCUGACCUCUAUCUGGUCUAGUAUACUUCCGGAAAAACAUUUAAGGUGUCCAACGGAUAAUCCUCAUAAAAAUGCUUCAAUACUUUCUUAGUAUAAGCAAGAAUCUCGUUGGCAUAAUGCUCGAUCUUUAAGUCGAGACAAAUAUUUCGUGACUUCUGCAGAAGCUUUAAUGUGUUGCAAACACAUUAUAAACAAUGUACUCACUGAGGUAAUUUAUGCAUAUUAAUAUUGAGUACAAAUUUUGUGCUUCAAGCACAUGUCCUUUAGGGACUUGCUUUAUGCAAUGUCAAUCCUCUCAACGGAUUUUGUUUAAAAGGGGAUUAAACUUUAUGACACAUUAUAUAGCUUUAACCCAGCUAUUUAUACAUCUUUAGGGAAUCACUUCAAGUGAUAUGCUCUGUGCAUUUAAUAACCCUUAAAGAUAACAUGUUGGUCUCCGUAAUUGUGCAGUAAGGGGGGAGGCACAAUUGAAUCUGUAAAUAUGGAAAAGACCCAACAUUCAUUGUUUCUGCCAGAAACAUUGUGUCAUACAAAGUAGGUAUAUUCCCUUUUAUUCCGAACACCCAAGUAUAAGUUUCAAUAUUAACAUCUUUUGGGGUUCGUACUGUGGGUUUGUUCUUUCACGUUCAUUCUCAUCUAUAAUGGAAUUACCUCUUUCCAUUUUGGCCAAUGAUAUUGUCGACAUCUAAUAAUUGAACGUGGUUCCAAUCAACACAGCCCAUUGAUGAUUUGAGUAGCUACUCCAAAACCAAAAAUUGUCAUUCAUCAAUUCAUUAUCCCACCAUUCUCAUGUGCAUGCGCAUGCAUCAAUUAUAAGCAUUUCUUUGCUUUUGGGUACCCAAGCCACUUCAGGGGGCUUUUAUUAUGUGAGAAUGUGGAUUAUAACCUCCAAUGGAGCGUUAUUUUGCAGUAGGGCGUGGAUAAUCUCCAUUUAGGGAGUUGGAACAUUUAGAACCCAUAUAUCUGUCAUGCUGCAGGCAUGCCACAGAUUAAUACAUACAUGUCAAUUAGUUUAUGGGACUUUAACCCAUAUGAUGGGACUUUAACCCAUGUAAUUUGCUACGCAUUCGGCGUGCAUAAUCUCAAUAUUGACAUGUCAAAGGAUUGUCCAUUCGGGACUUCAAUCCACAUCAUUUGCUACGCAAUAGGCGUGCAUCAUAUUGAUCACUGCUAUACCCAUAUUCUGUUCUUAUGGGACUUUAAUCUGUGCAAUGUAUUAUCAAUGUAUCCAACUUGCAAUCUGUAAAAUUUGCAUUAAUAAUACAUGGAUACAUACAAGCCAUUCUUUUGGGACGGACUUAUCUCCCCAUUUGGUUACCUUUCAAUAUAAAAUAUCAAAUAGGUAUAUAAGCAUAAAAUAACACAAGUAUUGCUUACAUCCUUAGGUGGGAGAAACUUUUCUCAAGUAUCGCUUGAUGAUCUUGUUAUAUCCUGCAAGAGCAAAAAUCACAAUUCCUUUCUCUGUCAAAAACAAAUAAGAGGAAUAGGUAGAACCGGUGAAUUUCAAAUUAACCAUAGGAAAAUUGCGAGAUUCUCGGGAUGCUUUUGAAAAAGUAGCUCCGUGAAAUCCGUAAAGCAAGAUUGGCUUUGAAAAUAAUACUUGAAAACGCCGAAAGUGCCGACAGGCAUUAUUAGAGGCCACGUGAAGUUUUGGACUUCUAGGAAAGAAAAAGAUAAUAUGGGGAUUCGAGAAGAUAUUGGGGUCUUGAAAAACAGUAGCCAUAUUUCCUCCUAUAGAUAUGGCCUUUGCAACAAUUGCGCACCUUCUUAAACUUGCACCUGUGGUUUUUACGCCUUUUCAAAAUGACGGUUUGGAACCUUGUGCCUUAUAGGUUCAAAUAACCACAUUGUUUCUCCCAAAUUUCAUAUUUUAUCGCAUGGUAGCCCGAAACUUUUGGCCUGGGCACAAAUUCAGAAUUUAUUUGCCCUUUUCAAAUGGACAUGAAAUAUGAAUUGAGUAAAAGCCAUGAUAAUAUCGCAAUAUAGUAGUGAAGAGCAUUAACUACUAUAUACCCACAACUUCAAGUUCAGGAUCUCUCAUAUAUUUGGAUCCAUGGGUUUCCGGCCCAGAUAUAACAAAAUAUGUGGGGAGCCUCAAUUCAUCAUUUGAGGUUCAUACUGAUAUUAUCCAUUUCACGGUGUAUUCUUGACAACCGGAAUUCACAAAAUAUAUUUCUUCCUUGAAGUGUCGAUUAUAACAAAAUCGAACUUUAAAUUCAUCAUCUUCUUAUGCCAAAGAAAUAUGUGGCAUACCACAAUUUGCAAUAAUACCUCAAGGGUUGUCCAUUUAAUUGUUGGAACUUCAGGUUCUCAACACUGUUAGAUUUUGAACUUCUGGCCAAAAUCACAUAUUCUCAUGGUAUGGACAUUCAAUCCCCUUAGAUUUUGAACUUCGGGCCAAAAUCACAUAUUCUCAUGGUAUGGACAUUUUUACAAUUUUCUGUACAUAUUUCUGGACUUCAAGCCCUUACAUAAUUGUCCAUAUUUUGAGGAACUUCUGGCAUCUCAUUUAAUUGCUCAUCCAUGAGUUUAAGGAACUGCAGGUUCCCUUUUGAAUGGUGAUGGUUUACCCAAAAUGGUAAAUACUUAUGCAUACAUCACUAUUCAUGUAUACGGCACUAUUUAUGUAUACAGUACAUUUGCCAGUACAGUUAUCAUCCAUGUGUACGGCAUUAUGAACAAAUACGGUACUGUUACAUCAUUAAGGAACCCCAUGUCCUUAUUUACAUGUCAGGGAUCAAGGACCCUCAAGUCCGAUCACAUGUUUACAAAUAUAGUACCGGAGAGACUGCCAGCUCUCAUAUUAACAUCAUCAUCAAGGAUCUUCAAGUCCUGAUGUAAUUGUAUGAUGAGGAUCAAAGAACUUCUGGUCCUGAUCUGUAUACUGUAAAAACUCAUCAUACAGCACAUUUAAUCCAUAGAAUAAAUUGCUGGUAAAUAAAUUACUGGUAUGGACGAUAAACUCGCACCAUACUUUAAAUAAAUAUUGCCUUACAUACACUUACAGCAUCAAUAAUUGAUAUCCAUCCAUGAUCCACCUGUAUAAAUGUAUAUAUAUAUAUGUAUAUAUAUAUAUAUUAUUUUUAUUUGGACUUAAACAGAAACAGGCAUUUUCUAUAGCUGUAAGUAUAAUUGUACCUGCCUACGCUGAAGAUUCCUUUCAUUGUUGCAGGAUGGUGGGCAUUCAGUUUAAAUAAAGCAAACACACACAUUUCAAAUUUUAAUUGAAUUUCAAAUUAGCAGUUUACUUACAUGCCCAUCCAUGACGUAAAAAGCAGAGACAAGUGAUUGUCUUUCGACAAUGACAUGAUAUCACAGUAGUGGGGAUAACGCUAUGAUAUUGGCCGAUCGGCUUCGCUGUAUCCCUGCACACCUUUAAUAAUUAUAUAAUAUUAAAAUAAUAUAAUUAUGUACCUGCACUAUAGACCUGCAUCUUAAGCUUCUUCCCUUUAUGGGGUCUGCCGCUUUGCCUUUUGUUUCCUUUGCUUUGCUUUCCACUGAAGCAAGUUGGCCAGCACCAAUAAUGCCGCCCACAAUGCAAAAAUCAAGUUGGCCAGCACCAAUAAUGCCGCCCACAAUGCAAAAAUCAAGUUGGCUACUUUUGCCUGUUGCUUUCUCAAUUUCCUCCACCCUUUCAUUGUCUUUUCUUCUUUCACUACUUCUCAUCUUCUGCCUCUCUCUUGCCUUUUUUUUUUCUUUUUUUUUUUUUGUAUUCGAUUUUCUGGCAAGCCUCCAAAGACAGCAACGACCAAGUUGCCUUGUCAUGGCUGGCGGCCAUUGCAAAAGCCUUUUCCAUGAAGAAAUGGACUUGGACACGAGGCUGGUUGAUUAUGUAGUUGGAGAUGAAGAAAGCAGCUGACAGUCUAGGGAGGGAGCGAACCAGAGAGUUUGUUACUCCACUGGUGUGGUUGGGAGGUAGGGAUCGUCUGUGGUUGGUACAGAGUUUUCUUCCUCAGCUCAAGCAAGGCAAUAGAGGUAGGUUUGUUUGCUCAGCUCAGCUCAACCUGUGCUCUCUGUGUUUGUUUGCUGGGUUAUCUGGGAGAGUAAUUUUCUUCGGGUUCGGUUCUGGUAUGCUUUUGCAUAUAGAAAACAGAGAACCCAGAAAGGAAAUCCAAGAGAGAGACUUUGGUUGAGAAAAUGGCAAUUUUUGAGAAAAAUGGAGAUGCUGAGGUUGGUUGGACAACACCGAAUGGAAGUUGUUGGGCUCGGAGCAGAGAAUUGGUUCUCUAGAUCGGAGGUUUUGUGUGAAAUUUUACUGGCAAGCAAUCCGUGUGGCUCUGUACAAAACUGGGUUGGUUUUGGGUGGGCAAUCUGGGCUUGGUUUCGAACUGGGUGUCUUGAUCAAUUUCUGGGAUCAAGAAAUCAGAGAUUUCAGCCGGUUAAAGACUCGUGCUGAUAUCGUGUUGUAAAUGUGGAGAGAAAAAGUAGAGAAUUGGAAUAGAGAGGAGAGACUGAUUUUCUCAUUCAUAUGUUCUGAUGAAUGUCUUCAGUGUAUAUUUUACAAGUAGGGGGAGGUAUCUAUUUAUAGGCUAAGGUUUUGGUAAAAUACAGGGAAGGAAAGUUCCUGGAAGAUGCAAGGAAACUUCCUCUGUGGGCUCCACCUUCAAACUUUUACAACACAUUUUGAUUUUUAAAUUUUGUUUUAAUAUUUCGGCCCACUUAGUUCUUCUCAAAAUAUGUCAUCAAUAUCGUUGAAAGGUUGAACUUAGUGAAUUAUUAUAGUGCAGUACGGUAGAAUAAGCACAUGAUAUAAUUUGUCCACAUGUUAUAAUAUAAGUGAAUAUUUAUUGAUAUUAUUUCCAAAAAUAAGAAAUAUCAACAAUUAUAUCCUCCUAUAUUAUAAUACAUAUACAAAUUAUACCACAUUAUCAUACUCUAAUACCAUUUUAUAAUUUCUCGUACUUAGGAGGUAUAGAGCGAGUCAAUGACAUUACAUAAUAUAUAAUUGUUCAUAUAAUGGGGCAACUAACGUGAUCAACAAGUUGUGGUGAUUAAUUUAACAUAAUAAAAAAUAUACCAUUUACUUGAGUGAUGUAACAAUUUGUUCUUUUAAAUUGGAUUGCCAUCACUUUAAUAUGUUAUGUUUCUUAUUAUAGUCUCCCAUGUUAAGUGCUUCAGCAUUGUUUGUGGUGUGUACACAAAUUUUCUUAUAAAAUGUUUUAAUGCUUCUCACAUGUAUAUCAGAUAUAGACAGUUGAUGUGACUUAGAAAUCAAAUUGUCAAUAAAACAAAAAAAUAUAAUUGGUGAUCGAGGUCCAAUUUAAUAGAAAAUAGUCUUAACUUGCAUAUUAAAGGUCUUAUAUUCGAAUCCUCACUGCAUUAUUGUUGUAUGCGUACACAAGAAAUUCUCUUCCCCAAUAAUUUAGACUAUCACUUAUACUAAAAAUAUAUAUAUAUAAUGACUUUUACGAAUGCAAACAUAAAAUUACAUCAAACAAUAAUCACUACUACAAAAAAGCAAAAAGACGACGGUAAAUCACCGUCGUGUAUUGGGGUUUUCAAUGGUCGUGGAAUCCACCGUCAUCUUUUCCCUCAUAAACCACGACGCUAAAUAACCGUCGUUGUUAAAAUAUACAACGUCAUCAACAAAUACAAAACGACGUCUUUGUACUGCAAAAAGAUCUAAAAAAAGCAAUCGAGGAUGAUAAUAGACGACCAACUCUCUAAAAAAACCGUCGUUAAAAAGAAAAAAUAUGACACAUAUUAAGAGAACAAGGCCGCAAGAUAGACAUACAACGACGAAAAUAAAAAUACGACGACGUUAAAUAUAAUUUUCACGACAAUAAAAAAUAUGACGUCUUUAAAUACAUUAGAAGACGACGUUAUUGAUACAUACUACGUCGCAUAUAUAAAAACAACCGUCGUAAAAUUAAUUUUCCACUUCGAUUUUUCGAUAAAAGAUGACGUGGAAAUAGUUGUCAGUGUCAUUAUUUACGACGUAUGUGUUUAUAGAUUAGACGUUGAAAAACUAAACAACGUCGGUUACAAAUAUAUGAGAGUCGUAUUACAAAAUUUAUACGUCCUAUUUUCAGAAACAAACAACGACGAUAAAUAUUAGACGUUGUUAAACAAAACAACGUCGGAAAAAUAAAAACAGACGUGUUUAGUCUGCUAAAGUUCUAGAAAAUAGUCGAGGAUGAGAAUAGACAACCAACUCAAAAAAAUCACCGUCGUUAAAAAGGAAAAAUCUGACACAUAUUAAAAGAACAAGGCCGCAAGAUAUACAUACAACGACGACAACUAAAAUACUACGCCGUUAAAUAUAAUUUACACGACAAGAAAAAAUAUGACGUCUUUAAAUACAUGAGAAGACGACGUUAUUGAAAUCUACUACGUCUCUUAUUUACAAAAAACCGUCGUGAAAUAAAUUUUCCACUUCGAUUUUUCUAAAAAAGAUGACGUGGAAAUAGUUGUCAGUGUCAUUAUUUACGACGUACACAUUUAUAUAGUCGACGUUGUAUUUAUAUGUAUUCAUUACUCACGACGCACUUAAUAAUAUAGACGACGUUGAACUUCUAAACAACGUCGGUUCCAAAUAAAUGAGAGCCGUAUUACAGAACAUAUAGACGGCGUAGAUUAUGAUGAGAGCCGUAUUACAAAUAACGUCGUUUAAUUGUUAUUAGACGGCGGUUAUAAUGAAUUUCCGUCGGAAUUCAUUUCGUUCCUCUUCGUUUAUAAAAGAACUUGCGACGUGGAAAAUGUAUGAUGACGUCGUAUUUUUUAACGUUCAGAUUAUAUAUCUCGUUUUUAGACGUCGGUAUUAUGGGAUUGGAGUCGUGUUAUUUUGAAUUACAUGGCGGUUCUUAAUCCUUCACCGACGUGAUAUCCUGAAUAAUUGCUUCACAAUAGCGUCGUGGUUCUUCAUUGUUACGUUGCUUUAAGACGUCGGUAAAUAUGCUGAAUAACUGAUUCACAAUAACGUCGUGUUUUAUUUGAACGUAGAAAGUGAAGAAAUCACAUUACAAUAUAUUACAAAAUUAAUGUCAUACACUGCCAAUUACAUAAGCAUCAUUCAAUCCAUAUAUCUUCACACCCAUCUCGAAUAUUUUGACCGCCUAACUCACCCACCAGUUCAUCAAAUGUGUCAACAUUUGGCAUCCCUCUAGUAAAUGGCUCACACUCAAUUAUCACAUCACCUAAGACUUCAUCACCAAUAACAUCAUUAUAUUCUCUAUUAGGCAUUGAUAACACUACCGACCAACCACGAUGCAUCGGGUCGUCAACAAAAAAUAUUUGUUUGACUUGAGAAGCCAAAACAAAUUGGUCAUUCCUAUGUCCAAUUUUACUCAAAUCUACAAGGGUAAAUCCAAGUUCGUCGACUACAAGACCAGAACUAUCUAUCCAAUCACACCUAAAGACUGGGAUUGUAAACUUUUGGUAGUCAAGGUCCCAAAUUUCUUGAAUGACACCAUAGAAACCCAUAUUUGAGAGAAUUGGGUUUUUAUCCUUGGCACUAGCAACUUGCAUGGUAUGUGCAAGUAAAUAAACUCCACUAUUUUGAGUUGUCCGCACAUCAUCUUGUGCCUUGAUAUUGAAUUUAAUACCUUUAAUAAGAUAGCUCCUAUAUAAUGGCACUGACAUGUUUGGACCAGCUGCUAGCCACCUUAAAUUUUCUGAUACGCCAUGAUUGUCUUCCUCAAGUUCACUUUGAACCUGCAAAUUAAUCAUAUCUUAAUUCAAUCUAACAUAUAAAUAAGAAGAAAAUUAAAAGAGAAAUAUGUUAUUCAACAACAUAUACCUUGAAGCGUAGCCAUUGAAUGAAAGUGCUAUUGUGCUUAUCCUGCAGCCACUUUGUUCUCUUUCUAAAUUUUGGAUAAGCAGUCUUGAUGUGGAUCAUAUGUUGCCCACAUGACACGAAAAAUUCAAGCAUUACGAUCCUAAAUAUAGAAGAUAAACAUAAGAAAUAAUUUAAAAUGGAAACUUAAAGAAUAAAGCUCAUACGUACUCGAUAUAAGGUAGGACUUCCUCCGUAUUCUCCAAGACAUAUAGAUGUGCUUGAUUCAACAGGUCCUGAUCAACUACGCUCACUGUGCAACCUGAUAAUGGCUUUGAAAGCCCCAUCUUUUGGCUUGAAGGCACUCCAACUGUACUAACAUCAGAUAAAUGCUGAGUACAACACUCUACCGCUUCUUCAGCUAUAUACCGCUCAGCAAUGCAACCUUCGGGACGAGUACGAUUCUGAACAUACCCCUUCAGCACUUUCAUAUAUCUUUCAAACGGAUACAUCCACCGAAAAUAUACUGGCCCACAUAGACGAACUUCUCUGACAAGAUGUACUACUAGAUGAACCAUGAUAUCAAAGAAUGAAGGGGGAAAGUACUUCUCAAGCAAACACAGAGUAACUACUACAUCUUCUUCCAACUUAUCUAGCUUGGAAACAUCAACAGUCUUUGCACAUAUAGCAUUGAAGAAGAAGCACAAACGAGUUAUUGCAUACCUUGCAGGCUUCUCCAAAACAGAACGAAUUGCCACAGGGAGCAAUUGUUGCAUUAAGGUAUGACAAUCAUGUGAUUUAAGGCCAAGAAGUCUUGAAUCUUGUAAAGAUACAAGAUUUUUAAUAUUUGAAGAAUAACCUUCAGGGACCUUCAUACCAUAGAAAGAAUUGCAAACCUCUCUCUUCUCUACUCUUGACAAAUUCCAAGGCCCAGGAGGCAAACGAGUACGUCUUUCUCCAUACUCGGGUUGCAAAUCAGUUUUGACCCCCAUGUUCAAUAAAUCUAAUCGAGCAGCAAUCCCAUCUUUAUUUUUUCCAGGGAUCUCCAGCAAUGUACCAAUGAUACUAUCACAAACAUUCUUCUCAAUGUGCAUAACAUCUAGGGCAUGCCUUACAGGAAGGUAUUUCCAAUACUCGAGAUCAAAGAAUAUUGAUUUCUUCUUCCAACAAACUCUGUCACCAUUUUCAACCAUAUGCAGCACUUCUUCUCCGGUUAAUGGCUCGGGAGGUAUGCCAUAUUCAGGUUUCCCAUUAAAAGCUGCACGUUGCCUCCUAUAUGGAUGAUUGAUUGGUAACCAUUUUCUAUGCCCAAUGUAACAAAUUUUGUGGCCAUUUUUCAACCUGUGACUAGGUGUAUCAUCGCCGCAUAUUGGACAAGCUUUAUAUCCUUUAACAACACAACCAGAUAAGUUUCCAUAGGCGGGGAAAUCAUUAAUUGUCCACAUUAAUGCAGCUCUGAGUGUAAAGUAUUCUCCAUUAUGUGCAUCAUACACUCCUCUAAUCCCAUCCCACAAAGAUUUUAAAUCAUCAAUCAAAGGCUCCAAGUAGACGUCUAUAUCAUUUCCGGGUUGUUUAGGACCGAAAAUCAAUAAGGUUAACAUCAUGAACUUUCGUUUCAUGCACAGCCAUGGAGGGAGAUUAUAUGUAACUAAGAUAACCGGCCAACAACUAUAUCUGCUACUUAGAGAACUGUGGGGAUUGAAUCCAUCAGAUGAAAGAGCCAAUCUCAAGUUUCUCGGCUCAUUACCAAACUCAGGCCAUUUAUCAUCAAGAAGUUUCCAAGACGGGGAAUCCGCCGGAUGAGACAUCUGACCGUCAAUUGAUUUUCUAGGAGCAUGCCAAGUCAAACUCUUAGCUGUCUCAUGUGAUUGAAACAUCCUUUUAAACCUUGGAAUUGGAGGAAAAUACCACACCACCUUCGCUGGCACACCCUCUUUCAAGAUUGAAUCUUUGCCUUCCUUCCACCUUGAGAUACCACAAGUAGGACAAUUAGUUGAAUCCUCAUACUCCUUCCUAUACAAGAUGCAAUCAUUGGGGCAUGCGUGCAUUUUCUCAUAACUCAGCCCCAAUGCACACAAAGUCUUUUUAGCCUCAUACAUAGAGGUUGGUAUUGUAUUUCCUUAUGGAAGCAAAUCGCCUUGAAGUAUCAAUAAUUCUGUAAAACAGACAUCACUCAUCCCAUGUUUUGCCUUCAAAUUAUACAACUUCACUAAUGCCGAUAACUUCGUGUACUUUCUACAACCAGGGUACACUGGUUGAUCUCCAUCCCCAAUCACAUUGGCAAACUCAUACGGAUCGGAACCAAAAUCAUUAUCAUCCAUAUCAAUUUCUUCAGACACAAAACUGUACCUACUAUGGCCAUCAUCUUCUUCAACAUUUCUACUAGCAUUAGUAGUUGCUUCCCAAGGUUCUCCGUGAAAUGUCCAAUUCUUAUAGCUUUGGUCAAUUCCAUUAAAGUAUAAGUGAUCCCUUAUAAUUCCAACCCCAAACAACUUCAAAUUAACACAUUUAACACAUGGACAACGGAUAUGUGUUGUAGUUAGAAGAUUUUCUACAGCAAAGUUCAAAAAUGCUUCCACCCCAAACUCAUAUGCCUUCGAUCUUCUAUCCGAGUGCAUCAUUGACUUAUCCAUCUCCGACACUAUAACCUAUUAUCUAUAAUAAAGUGAAAAUACAGGCAAUGACCAUCACUAUAGCAGAUUAUACAAAGAUCUAAUAGCAAGUAAUACACAACAAAGACGACGGGUUUUAAACAAAAACAGACGUAUUUGGCAUAUAUAGACGACGGAUUUUCAACAGACGUCGUCUAAUAUAAGUAAUACAAACGACGGUUUAUGAAAAAACCGUCGUGUAUAAGUAAUACAACGACGGUUUUUUCAUAAACCGUCGUGUAAUCGUCGGCGUAUGCCUAAAAAGGCGUCGUGUCUCAGUUUAUUUUCAAGAACCCAAAACCCAUUAAGAACACAACAUAUAUAUGAAACCAAGCAAGAAAACAACAUAUACAUGAAACCAAGCAUGAAAACAAUAAAUCCAUUCCCAAUUCAACAUAACAUAGGGUGAUUAAAAGAUCCGACAAAAUUAAAUCCAUUCCCAAUUCAACAUAACAGAUAAUGUAAUCCAUGAACCCAUUAAACAGAAAAUCCAUGAACCCAUACUUAUAAGCACAUUAUUAACAGAUCGCAAAGCAUAUACCUAAAACCCUUUAACAAAACAACCUAAUAUCAUUCAAUGAAUUUACAAGGGGAAGAUAGGGUUUGUACUUACAGGUUGGACGAGCUCACAGAUUCGACGGAGCAGAAGUGAGAGAGCAACUUUUAAUUAGAGCAGAAGUGAGAGAGCGAAAUGUUAUGUUGCGCGAAAUCUGAAAAUUUUAGGGUUCAGGGUUAGAAGAAUAAGAAUAAGAGCCAAAUAUAAAAAAAUUUAGGACGCGUGAAAAUUUUUAGAGCGCGCGCUCUUUAAAACUUCGAAAGAAAAACCAUGGCGAAAGUUCUACAAGAACCGACAUAAAUGUAAUAUUCCACGACGGAAACACUGAACGUAACGCCGUUUAUUUUGACGCUUCAUUUUUCGGAUUAAUUUUAAAUUUAUUUUCAAUAUUUUGAUAUAAAGACGACUGAAAAACCACGUCGGGGUUAAGAAAUUGAAAACGUUGUAAAUUAUAAUAGACGACUUACAUAUUAAAAUGACGUCGUUUAAAGUAGAAACUAUGUCGGAUAAUUUACUGCACGACGUAACAUAUGUAUUCCACGACUCAACCACCGUCGUUAACAAUUAAUACCCUAAACCCUUAAAACUAAAUUAUAUAAUUUUAAAAAUUAACUUUAUAAAAGGGUUUAUGGUUUUACAGCCUAAUAUAUACCCUAGACUACCCAAAAAUUAUACUUUAAAAAUAAACCCCAAUAAAUAACAACCCUAAUCUCUAAACCCUAGACUCUAAACCCUAAACCAUAAAACUAGAAGUGAUUUUAUGACUCAUCAAAACAAUUUUGUUUUGGAUGUUCAUUUUAAAUUUUUGUAAUUCAAAAUGAAUUUUUUCAAGGUUUAGGGGGAAGAAAAUAUAUCAAUGACUUCAUAGGAGUUGACUUUGCAUUUUUCUGAUUUAUUUUAAAUUUAUUUUGAAUAUUUUGAUAUAAAAAUAAUAAAAUAUUCUUAUCACAACAACAAACCACGUCGGUGUUGAUAAAUUGUAGACGUUGUAAAUUGUAAUAGACGACUAAGUUGUUAAAAUGACGUCGUUUAAAUGAGAAACGAUGGCGGAUAUUUAACUAUCCGACGUAAAAUAUAUAUUCCUCGACUUAACCACUGUCGUUACAAAGUACUACCCUGAACCCUUAAGAAAUUGAAGACGUUGUAAACCAUAAACGACUCCAUUGUUCAAAGAACGUCGUCUAAAUAUCCUUUUACGCCGGAUUUGUUUAAAACGAAACCACAAAAAACGACGGCUUUUGACUUUAUUACGUCGUUGGAAAAUUAUUACACGUCGGUUACGCAUUUUGUAUGUUUGUUUUUGUUUUUACUUUAAGAAAACCUCAACAAAUUUUUACAUUAUAUAUUAUAGACAAAAUUUGUACAUUAUACAUAAAUAUCAAGUGUUCAAUAAUUCCCCUAUUCCAGUUGAAUGCAAACAAACUCUGCCCAUUCAUUCCGGACUUCAUCAAUUGCUUCUUGGGGGUAUGGCUCUUCCUGUUUUCCCUUCGCAUACUGCAUAAAAACAAUGACUAUUAGGGUUUAUAAAUAAAAGGAAAUUCAAUCACAGACGACCAUAACCGACGUAGUAUAUCUAUUCAACGACGGUAAUUUUACAUGACCGUCGUUGAUAAUACAAAAAACGACGUAAAAUGUUUGAAGGUUAUUUCUUCUUACCUUCUUCUCAAACCCCAAGGAAGGAUCCAUGAUGAUGUCCUUCAUGAAGCGCAUCACGUAAUACCCGCAUUCGACAUUGCUGGGUUGCUUUGGUGUGCCUGACAGGGUUUUCCAAAUGACUGCCUUACGGCCUGAUCUGGCUAUGUGGGAAUUAUAAAUUUUUAUGGCACUGUUCACGAUGUCUUUGGCCUCUUCAUCGACCACACGAUUUCCUGGCAGAGGAUCCAGAAAAUAGACUGUUUCCCUCUUUGCUCUUACAAUCAGCAAGAUCCAAUGACGGCUGCACAAAAUUAAUAUAAAAACGACGGUUAUUUACAAAAACGACGUAUUAUAAUAUUUCACACGACGAAAUAAAGUAGCAAUCGACGACAUUAUAUAUUUAUAACGACGAUAAAUAACUACCGACGUGGUUAGUCGUUUCAAACGACUCAAUAAAAUAAAACACCGACGUGGUUAGUUUAUACGCUGUCAUUUAUUGAAAAUCAUAAAAACAAAAUCCUGUUAAGGAGACUAACCCUGGAUUGUAAGGCAUGAGGAAAAUCUGUUCACCGUCAGUCUUCUGAAGUCGUGAUGCUACAAGCCGUGAUCUGUCAGCUAUUGUGCCAGAGCUGGCACUAACUGUAGCAGGGUCGAUAAAGCCAACCAUUGUGCACAUAUUUGCUUGUUUUAAAACAUCGUGUAAGUACCUAAAUAUAUAAAAUAAUAUAAACAAGUCAGCGCAAAAAAAACACACGACGGUUAUGUAUAACAAAACGACGUAUUAUAAGGUUUCACACGACGUACUGAAAUAGACAACGACGUUAUAAUAAAUUUAUCACGACGGUACAUACUAACGACGUGGUUAGUUAGUUAAGACGACGCAAUAAAUAAACCAACGACGUAUUAUUUUAGAAUGACAAACCUCAUAUAUACAGCAAUGACUGUAGCUCCUAUUUCCUCCAUGCCUGCAAAUUGUGUAAUAUCUUCAGGCAGGAGGAAGGUAUCGCGCUCUAGACCAAACACCUCCUUAUCAAUUGUAAAGUGCAGGGUCUUAUCUUGAGUUACGAGUGUCGUUUCCACAUAACGACAAAGGGUUUGUAAAGAAGAUGGCGCCUCCAUAUUUGAAUAAUCAACAACUUUAGUAACCUGUUUAAAGAAAUAAAAAAAUGACGUGGUAAUUCAAUAAAAACGACGGUUUAAGGAAUAAAAUGUCGUUUGAAAACAAUUUAAACGACGGUGAAAAAACCGUCGUGGUGAAUUAUUUAUUACGUCUUAGAAAACAAUUCCGCCGUCUAAGUUGUAAACAAACGACGGUUUAAAGAAAAAUAUCGACGUCUGGAAUUUUGAAAACAAAUAAAAAAGGUAAAGUUAUGUGAACAUACCUGGUCGUCAUCUUCUUUCUCCUUUUCAUCUUGUUUUUCUUCCUUAUUCUCUUCAUAUAUGACGUCGGGAAUGAUUAACUCCGUCAUCUAAAAACCACAAAGUUUUAAAAAUAACGACGUUUAAUGGCGUGUAAAACAAGUAAACUAAAUACGACGUGGUAUUGAAAUACAAACGACGGUUUAUUUUUAAAAUCGUCGUGGUAUGUAUUUCAAACGACGGUUUUAUUAAAAAUAACGACGUCUAAUGGUUUUUAAAAAAACAGAGAAUUCAAAGUUCAGAUAUGUUACCUUUUCUUCCUGAUGUUUCCCAUUUUUGGCAGUAUCAUCCUCAAAAUGCUGGGAUCUCACAUCACCUCCAGAGCAGCUUGCUUUGUCAGACAUUGGAUUUUUGGGACUUUGGCUAAUUCUGGGUUUAAGCAUGCUUGGAUCAAAAUUGGGAAUUAAUUGGGAAAGCUGACUCAGGAAAUGCUCCCUCUCAGCCUCUACCAAUUGUUUCGUUCUAGCCUCCAUUCUUAAAGCCUCUUCCCUUGCCUUAGCCUCCAUCUUUUUAGUCUCUUCUUGAAGGAGAACUCUUAAACUGUCCUUCAAACGGUCGUCAAAGCUCACUCUCUGUGGUUUGGGUAAAUUGAAAUAUUGCUUUGGUGAGAUCCCAGCACCUACUCCUCUGACUCUGCCUGGAUGCUCGGGGCCCAAAGCCAUGGUCAGCACAUCAUUGCUGCCAGAGACGGUGACUUUGCCUUCCGAGACUUGUUUUUGCAAAUCAUCCUAAAACAAAGAUAUAUAAAAAAGUAAGAACAAAAACACACGACGGUUAUUUAUAUACAAACGACGUAUUAUAUAAUUUCACACGACUCAAUAACAUAUAAAUCGACGUUAUUAUAAUUUAUCACGACGGUAGUUAUACCGACGUGGUUAGUUCUUUAAAACGACGAAAUUAAUAAACCACCAACGUCUUAUGUAACAGAGGGAUGAUUCAAUAUUCACACCUUUAACGACGUUGUUUAAAACAUUUCGACGUAGUAAUUUAAUACAGACGACGCGAAAUUGAACCACCGACAUCUUAUGCUAUAAUUACAGAAAACAGAGUUCUGAUUCCUAUUUAGACCUUUAACGACGUGUUUUAAAAAAUGUCGACGUGGUAAUAUCAUUCACACGACGCAAAAUAUAACAUAAGACGUAAUAAGAAUUAUUCACAGUUUAAUAAAAAUUUAAAACAGAGUGAGUAGGCUUACAAUUAAUUUUGCUUUCUCUGCCACCUUUGGAUCAGGGAUGUUACCAUGUUUGUCAUGUCUAGCUCUCUUCCAUAAGGUAGAUCGAUCAAUUUCUACCCCAGGCAUGGUUUCCUCUAAUUGAUCCUCCAAACCGGCAUAUCCUUUUCGAGACAAUCGAUGAUUGUACUCGAGUUUCUCCCUAAUCUGUGCAUGUUGAGAAUGCACAGACUCAAAAUCUUUGGAUAGCCUUGAAGCUACAAAGGCAUCCCAUUGUGCUUUCUCUAUGAAUUUAUAUGUUUCAGGGGGUUGGCUUAAUCUCUCCCUGUCAUUGGUGUAUGGAAGGAUAUAAUGCCUCGUUAGUGUAGACUUGAAAUCCUUCCAUUUCUUGGCAGCAGAAGCUAAGACAGAGUUCUUGCCCCCUUGACCUACUACAAAAGCAAUGUCAACUGCUUCCCAAAUCUGCUCCUUUAUAUCCUUGGGGAUUUGAGCCCAUUUCAAGUCCACAAGUGGAACUCUGGAGCGUGCCAACACACCAAUAUAGGACUGCAUCUCACUAUGAGCUUGGCCAAUUCCUUUCCCCCUUUUAUUGUACUCAACAAUUGGCCUCAGUUUCUGCAGUUUUCUCUUCACAACACGAGGCAUUGUGCUCAUACCUCGACCAGCCUUUGAAUCAUCAGAUAUUGUUGUCCCGCUGGUUGGUUCUGUAUCAGCAGAUGAUGAAGCAAACUUCAUCUUCUUCGAAGACUUCAUUAUCUUCGAAGACUUCUCUUGAGGAGGUACUUGCUCCUCACCUCCAUUUUUCUUGGAGCCAGAAUCCUUACUUUAGUCUUGUUGAGAAACCAUUUUUACAGACAAAACUGCAAGUGAAAAUAUUUCAAGAAAAGAUUAAGAACACAAACGACGGUUAUUAAUAAAAUACGACGUAUGAUAUGAUUUUAAACGACGCAAUGAAAUAAUAUCAGACGUAAUAAAUUUUUAAAACGAAGGUAAUUAAACAACGACGAAAUAAUUGACUACAAACGACGAGAUAAUUAACUAUAAACGACGGAAUAUUUAUAUAACGUCGUGGUAUUGAUGUUCACACGACGUCAGUAGUAAUAUACCGUCGUCUAUAUAAGGAUCCAAAACCCUUCUUUCUUUCUCUGUGAAUGUUUGAUUGCAGAUUUGAUUUUUCUGAACCAUGGUUUUUGUUUUCUAAUUUGAUAAAAUACAAGGCCAAGAAAGAAAGUUUUGGAAUCUUAUAUAGACGACGGUAUUUUAAUAUGACGUCGUGGUAUUAACAUUCACACGACGUAAAACAAUAAGAUACUGUCGUCUAUAUUAGAUACCAACCCUAAUUUCUUUUUCUUUAUAUUUUAUCAAAUUAGGGAAAAACAAAAACCAUUGUUCAGAAAAAUCAAACCUGCAAUUAAACAAGCAAAUAAAAAAAAGACUAAAAUUUUAAAAACAACUUUGUCAAUUUUCAGACGACGCUAGAACGACUGACGAACCGUCGUGGUCUACAUAUUUAACCACGUAAAUAAGAAGCUACCGUCGUCUUAUUUAGUUAAGGUAGUUGUCUUCAAAGUUGGAAACUUUCCCUCUUUGUCUGUAUAUUUUAUCGAACUUGGAAAGAAGUAAAAUGAUUUUGGCCAGAAAAAAGGUAAAAAGAUUUUUCAAACAAAAAACGUAUGAGCAUGCAAAACAGCAACCAAAAUAGUGAAAAUGAAAGCUUACCUUUUGUGUGCAAUGAAAGCAAGAGGAAGACGAUCGAUGUUUAAAUUCAGAGACGACGAAGAAGACGAGAGGAAGACGAUGAGAUACUCUGAAAGUGCUCUGACAAGGAAAAAAGUCUAAAAGUUUUCUCUGGGAGAUUGAAAUUUUUAAUCGGGUUUGGAAAAAGUGCAUGUGUAAGUCAGGUAGACGAAAAGUUGCUUAUAUAUAAAACCAUUUCAAAAAAAUAAUACGGCGGUUACAUAUAACUACGACGUAUAAAUUACAAAAUACGACAGUACGUUUAACUUCGGACGUGGUAAAUAAUUACGACAGUAGUGUUAUAGGUACCGUCGUAGUAAACUCAAAAUUAAAGUACAUAAGUAAUAACUCGCGUCAUGGUAGAUCAUUUAACACGUCGGUUUUAUUAAUGUACCGACGUGGAUUUAUGUAAUAUACGUCGGUAAUACCGACGUUGAUUUUACAAUUUAAACGGCGGUUUUUUUGUAAGGACCGCCGUUGGUUUUAAAAAUUUAUUCUAUAAAUUUGUUGCUUUCAUUCAUUUUCGGUUUACAUUUAGGGUUCCAAGUUCUUCCUCUCUCAGAGACACUAUCUCUCACAUCUCAAAGACAGUAAUUUGGAUGUCUUUCUCAAAGAGAAAUUGAGCUUACUCGCAUCAAAUCUAUGUCCACAAGAAGAAGCUUGUCAACUAGCCUUCUCACUUCCUUGAUCAAGCCUGAUAGGACACUUAGUGCUUCUGAAUACUCCUUGCUUUCCAUCAAAAGAGAUGCAAGCCUGGCCUCCACUCGCUGUCGAAGGAAAGUUCGCUUCUCAGGGAAAUCUGAAGAUCAGAUGUGCCUGAUCCUCUGCUUGAUUUUCUUGGCUAAGAAGAUCCGUCAGAUUUGUGAUAGCCUCUUCCUUUAUCCGUAGAGCUUCAGAAGAAGAAGAUGGGUUUCAAGAAUGCGAUAAAGAAUAGAAAUGGCUUCAGAUGGCCUCUAAAGCAUGAGCAAUCGAAUCAGUGCUUUGAACUAUACUUUGAACUAUACAAGUCAAUGCUUUGAACUAUACAAGUCCUGCAGAAAGAUAAAGGACCAAACUAUUAAAGAAACCCCAAACUAACACGACGCAAUAUUUGUUUUGCGACGUGGAAUCUUUUCAUUUAACGUCGUUAGGUUUAAUAUAACCGACGUGGAUUUGAAUUUUUAAAUUAUGAAUAGCAUUUUUUUUCCCGUGACCUUUCAGUUUAUUUUUCAAUUACAGUGCGUUAUAAAUAGAGUUUUUUUUCCGGAGGAAAUUUAAAAUGAAGGAAAUUAAUGUUCUGGAAUAUGUAAAAUUUCUUUUUUGGAUGACAGAUUUAAAUAAAAUAAGAAUAUAAAAACAACGACUGUUUUUGUAUUACUGUCGUCGUUUUUCGUCGUCUUAAGUAAGACUAAGACAACGUAAUAUAUUUGUUGAGCGACGUUGAUUUGUGUUUUAAACGUCCUUAGGUAUAAUAUAACCGUCGUUGAAAAUUGUCUCUCUGAUUGCAAAUUUGCAACGACGUUAGGUAUAAUAUUUGUAGAUACACAAACGCACACACAUCAUCAACUUCCAAAAAAUUGUCUCUCUGAUUGCAAAUCUGUGUCAUCUGUUAAGAUUAUGAUGUGGAACAAAGUUCCAUUUGGUAAGAUUUCGUAACCCUUGGGAUCUCAGAAAAAUCUGAUUAUGUCGGCGAUUUUCUAUAUAAACCGUCGUGGUUAUUUCAAUUCUUGUCAUUAAGUAGAUCUACCGACGUAGGAUAAGAAAAUCAAAGAAAAAAAUUGUUAACAAAAAUUCUUAUUAAGACGACGGUUUAAAUUAAAGGUAAGACGUAUAAAAUGAAUAAAUACGACGUUAAAUUUUAUAGUACGAUUUAAAGAUAACGUCGUAGAACUAUACCAGAAUGACGUCGAUAUAUUUAUAUUUUUCGUCGUUGUACAUUAAUUUAAUACGGCGAUAUUUUGUAUUUUAAAGUCGUGGAUUUGUUUGUAAUUAUACAGCGUCUUAUACGAAAACCUCGUCGUGUUAUUUUAUGAGUAAAAACGGCGGCUUUUAUUGAAAUCGUCGUCUUUACUUUCUACGUCGGUUGAUUCAUAACUUCUGUCGUUCUUUGUUGGCUUUGAUUUUACACUGCGGAAAUCUGUUUCAAAUAGACGUCGGUUGUUUAAUUAAGUACGUCGUUGUUUUUGAACAGCCAUUUGAAUCUCCAUUUUUUAGUUGUCUAAGGUGGUAUUACACGACGGUGUUUUUAGAACCGUCGUCUUUUUAAAAACCACGACGGUUUUCACUGAGACCGUCGUUGUUUUCUGGUCGUCUUUUUCACUUUUUGUAGUAGUGAAUGGAAUAGAAUGAUGGAAGUUAUUUUUUUUUUUUCCUACGUCUAAAGUAUACUUUAUAUAUAUAUAUAUAUAUUUAUAUUUAUUAUGGAAGUUAUAACCGUUUAAUUUUCAGUUUUUAUUUUCUAUUUAUUGUUUUAAUUUUUAUAGUUUAAUGUGUAUGGAGAUUUCAAGUAUUGGAUGUUUAUAAAGGGUCACUCCUCCUUCACAUCUGAAACAAACCACCAUCUCAUUUCUGUAUUUUCAUACUUUCAUAUAUUUUCUACUUUCCAGAUUAUUAUUUUUGGGCAACGGUUCUGUGACUUGGAGAUUUCUAUCCGAUUAUUAACAUGCUCAUAGCGGACCUUGAGCUUGCGUAUUGAGGAUAGUAUCUUGGAGCCUUGUAGACCUUUAUUACCUGCAUGUAGGGAGGCUAUAAAUGCUUUAAGUCAGCGUCUUUGACGUGCUUUUGCUUUCUUUUUUUUACUUAUUUCUUCGUUACUUUAUUUUUACUUUACUUUUAAAUCUUUAUUUUAUGUAUUAUUUAUAUUUAAAAAUUUUGAAUAAGAGUUUUACAGAAAAGGAAAAACACAAUUUCAAAUAACACAAAUUUCUCGUUUUUUGUUCUUAAAAAAGAAGAAGCAUUGAUUGGGGAGUUAUGGUAAACUCAGUUUCAAUGGUUGCGAUGAGAGGCGGUGGCGGCGAGGAGAGGACGAAGGCUUUGCUGCCGACGGGGUGGUGUGGGUGGGUGGAGACCUCGGCUGGCUGCUUGGUCCUGGGUUCUCCUUUAAUUCUCUGUUUUCUUUUUUCAUAUUUUUCUUUUUCUCUUAGAGUUAUUGAUGUUAAGUGAAUGGACAGAUGCCAAGAGAAGAUGUGAACCCAAUUAUAUACAGCUGAUUACAUAAAGUAACAAAUUAAUUAAUACUUGAGUGGAGGACAGGCUCGAGUGGAAGAAUUGAUUAAGGCUUGAGUGGAAGACAAACUUCAGUGGAGGAAAGUACAGAUAAGGAAAGCAUGCCACGUUUAACGGCUUUAUCUCAACAAAUUAGGAAUGCUGGUUUUGUUUCCUCGGUGGUUGAAAGGUGGUGCCUUGGCUCGGACAUCUCCCUAGUAAUUAAUCGAAGGUGGAAUCUUACAAGACAUUCAGCUGCUCAUUAGCUGAAUAUCUCGCUCUCUUUAAAGAGAUCGAAGCAAACUGCAAUUUGCAAUUUGUGUGAUUCAAGCAUGAAUAUCUGACAUAGUAACUAUACCAUUUGUUGGUUUGAUGAGAAAAGUUUGGUUAGCGAGGAUGAAACCAUAAAGUUCCCCAAAACACACAAAGAGCACGGACAAUUGCUAAGUUUAUCUUUGAGUUCACGCAUAUUUGCACAAAUGAGAUUACUCCAAGUAUGACUAUACCAUUUGUUGGUUUGAUGUGAAAAAUAUGGGCAACGAGGGUAAAACUAUACAAACACACACAAAGAAAGUGGACAAUUACUAAGUUUAUCUUUGCGUUAUUCAUCCGACCUAACUGUAAAAUAAAAAAGAUGAAAAUAUAUAAUGUUCACUACUUAGAUCUAUGAGCACUAAAGUCCUCCUUUUGGAAUUGCACAAAACGUCACUUUUGGUCUUUGACAAAUUUUUAAAAUAAAUGAAUUUUUUACUUAUUUGUGGACUGAAAUGCCUCAAAAAAAAUAAUGAUAAUUUGAAGAAUUUGAUAGAAAUUAAAAAAUAUCCUCAAAUUACUUGGAAUUGAAGACCACAUAGGCAAAAACACCACUUUGGACAAAGGCUGGUGAUAAUAGUCGAUAUCAUCUUUUGUCGGUCCGACCUAAAAAGAAGAAAAAGUUGAAAGCAUCUUGUUACCAUUUUUGCCAAUGUGGGUCCAGACAAUUUGAAGAAGUCCACCGACAAUUUCUCAAAAGCUAUUGUGUGAGUGUUUUGAAGCUAAACCAAUAUUAUUUUGCACAUACGACCCCACAUCCCCAUGUGAGGCUACAGAAGUGUUUCCAAAACGAAACAUGAUAUUUCAAAACAAAGCUAUGUAUAGAAUAGAGUCAUUUGUAUUUGCUUUCACAAUAACAUUUUAUUUGUGAAAGCAUUUUAUAUUUUUACAUUAUGAUGUUCUAACAAAUAAAUUGACUAUAUUUGGCCAACAGGGUUUAACCGAGUAAAAAAGUCCUUAUUUAUAAACUACUGGUUUCAUAUUUGAACUCUAUGACAUUCUCUUUACCCUUAAAGUUUAGACUAUCGCAUGUAUUAUAAAUAAAAAAAAACAAUUGGCUUAAUUUGAUAUAUUUCAUUUUAUGCUGGGUGCCGUUAUUAAGUUUUAUCCUUGUUUCUUGUUGAAAAAAAAUUGAUAAAAAAUAAGAAUUCCUAUAGCUAGCAACUUCUCCACCUUCCCUUCUUCGCAACUAGGGAUGCCAUUGCAAGGUCACCAUCUCAGAUUAAGUCCUCCUUUUAAAAUUGUGUUGUUAUUCAAAAUUGGAAUAUGCUGGUCAUUCUUGAUAUAAUCUGUUCCACAAAAAGAAAAAGAAAAAAGUUGAUAGCAUCUUUUACCACUUUGGCCACUUUUGAAGAUAUUCACCGACAAUUUCUCAAAAGCUAUUAAGCUGUACGUCCACAAUAUUAUUGCAUCCAACUUUGCAUAUACGACCCCAUCCCCAUGUGAGGCUACAAUAUUGUUAAAAAAAUAUGCUAACAUUGUCAUUCAGUAUGCUAACAUUGUCACUAUGUUUGCGAAUUGCAUAUUAUCUAGAACAUAAAGGCUUUGGUGUUUUGUAGAUCCUCAGGGAGCCAAACCCGUCUUUAUAAAAAUGGUCCUUAUGAUACUACUUUAACAACAAUAAAGUAUAAUAAACUAGGCCUUUGUAGUCACUGAACGAAUGUUUUGUCAUAUAUAUGACUAUUUAAAUGUAAUUACGGGAUUAAAACAUUAUAAUAAAUUGGAGUGAACCAUAACAUUAUAUAUGAUCCAAUCCUUUGCAUAUAUUUUUGUUCAAGACUUUGUUUUAGAAUGCUCUAUUACUAAUUUGGUACAGGUCUCUAAAAUCUAUGCCUUUAUGAGGCAACGUCUUUAUUUCUUUGGUUAUUCCAGUUUAGAAUAUUUGCACAAAUGAGAUGACUCCCAGCAUAAAGUCACAUUCAACCAAAAAGCAUGAAGUCACACACAAAAAGAAUACGGACAAUUGCUAAGUUUAUCUUGUAUCCUUAUUUUAUUGAUCCAACCCAAUUGAAAAAUUAAAAAGAUGAUAUAAUAUACUGUUCACUGCUUACAUCCAUGAGUAAAGUCCUCCAUUUGAAAUUGCGUGAUGAUAUAAAAUUGGAAUGAAAAAAGAAAAUCCUACAGCUAAAUUUGAUAUAUUUCCUUUUCAUUUUAUGCUGGGUGUUAAGUUUUCUUAUUUCUUGUUGAAAAGAAAAAUGAAAAGAAAUAAAUAAAUUCCACAGCUAGCCACUUAUCCACCUUCCCUUCUUCCCAUGUAGUGACAACAAGGGAGGCCUUCAAUCCAAAAUAAAGACAAGGGAUGCCAGAUCAGCAUCUCAGAUAAGUAUCCCAACCAAAACCAAUCAAAUAAUGACAUAUGUAUCUCUUUUUGUGUUUUGUUCUAUUUCUCUUUGAAUUAACUGCAUAGUUUCAUAAGCGUGUCCUCCUUUUGAAAUUGUGUAUUAUUCAAAAUUGGAAUUUGCUGAUCAUACUUGAUAUCAGCUAAAAAAGUUUCCAACAUCUUGUACCAUUUUUUUCCAGUGUGGGUCAUAACUUGAAGAAGCCCACCGACAAUUUCUCAAAAGCUAUUACCAUCCAACUUUGAAAAAUAAAAGUUUUCAAAAGUUACCCCAAACAACAGUCCUUGAAAGAGAGAGUUUUCCAAGGCUAAAGAUUACAAGGAUGUUAUUUACAGUCUCGACAACGACAAGCUUCAUAUUUGUUUACAAACCUGUAUUUUCAAGUUGUGCUAGCCUAGCUACUUGCAAAAAAUAUCCAGUUGGCACAUGCAUUAACGUGUGACAAGAAGUUAGUUAUAUUUGUAAAGUAAAAGAACGAAGUACAUAGCAUGUAAGUUGAUGCUAAAUAUUUGAUCAACAGAGUUAAACAUAAAACCACUGACAAUAUAACGUUGUUCACCAAAAAUUGCAUUUCGUUGAGGGUCAGUAGUGUAGGUUUCAAGAUACGAUUUAUUUUGUUAAAGAAUAUUCUGAUAUUCUAACAAUAAAAUUGGCUCAAUUUGAUAUGUUUCUCUCUCUUUUUUUGUUUCUGUUUUCCCUUUCAUUUGAUGCUUUGUUGUGCUAUUGCUAAGUUUAUCUUAGAGACCAGGGAUGCUUAGCAAGUUUCUUCACCUGCCCUUCUUCCCAUGUACUAACUAGGGAUACCAUGUCAGAAUCUUAGAUAAGAAUCCCAUGCUUUGUUGUGCUAUUGCUAAGUUUAUCUUAGAGACCAGGGAUGCUUAGCAAGUUUCUUCACCUGCCCUUCUUCCCAUGUACUAACUAGGGAUACCAUGUCAGAAUCUUAGAUAAGAAUCCCAACCCAAUCAAACUAUGACAUCUGUAAGUAUUCAAAAUUGGAAUUUGCAUUGUGAUAGUUGAGUGGAAGAAUCGAUUAAGGCUUGAGUGGAAGACAAACUUCAGUGGAGGAAAGUAAUUAAUUAGACCAUUAUUUGUUGGUUUGAUGAGAAAAGUUUGCUGGUGAUAGUCCAUAAUCUUUGUCCGACCAGAAAAUAAGAAAAGUUGUCUUGUACCAUUUCUGCCAGUGUGGGUCCCACCCACCCCAUGCGAGUAAUUUGAAGAAGUCCACCGACAAUUUCCCAAAAGCUUUGGCGUCCAACUUUGCCGACCCCAUCCCCAUGUGAGGCCAUAGAAAAGUUUUCAGCCACAAUCAAAUAAGGAACAGUCCUUGAAAAGAGAGGGUUUUCCAAGGCCAAGAUUACAAGUUCAUGUUAUUUACAGUCUCAAAAAGCUUCCAUACUUGUUUACAAACCUGUAUUUUCAAGUUGUGCUAGCCUAGCUAUUUGCAAAUCUUGGAAUAUUUUACUUCAUCCAAAUCCCUUGAAGUCUGCAGAGAAGAUAAAAGACAUGGCUUUGAUUGGAGAGGCUCUUAUCUCUGCUUCCGUCCAGGUGUUGUGCGACAGAAUUACUUCACCCGAGUUCGUUGACUUAUUUCGGCACAAGAAACUCGAUGAGCCACUCCUCAGGAAGCUGAGGACGACACUGUUGGCCUUGAACUUGGUGCUCAAUGAUGCAGAGGAGAAGCAACUUGUGAACCGAGAUGUGAAAAAGUGGCUUGACGAGCUCAAACAUGCUGUCUUUGAUGCGGAGGACUUACUGGAUGAGAUUGACACUGAAGCUUUGAGAUGCAAGCUGGAAGAAGGUGAAGAUCAAACUCACAAAUUUACCAAUAAGGUGCGGAACUUGCUCUUUUCUUCUCGUAGUCAUUUUUAUCAGAGCAUGAAUGAUAAGAUAAAAGAGUUACUAGCAAGGUUAGAAAACUUUGUACAACUGAAAAGUGCUCUUGGUCUGGGAGAAGUUGCUGGGAGGAAGGUUUCGCAAAGAACUCAAACAACCUCCUUGGUUCUUGAACCUUAUGUAUAUGGUAGAGAUGAAGUCAAAGAAAAGUUAUCAAAAGUUUUGCUAUCUGAUGAAGCAGGCAAGGAUCCUGUGUCUUUCCUCACCAUUGUUGGAAUGGGUGGGGUUGGCAAGACAACCCUUGCUCGAAUGCUUUACAAUGACGAUAAGGUGAAAGGGCAUUUUAAACUUAAAGCUUGGGCUUGUGUUUCAGACUACGAUGAUUAUAUUAAAAUUACUAAAACUCUCCUUGAGGCAGUCACUUCAAAGCCUUGUAACACGGCAAAUCUGAAUUUGCUUCAAGAAGAUCUAAGAGAGCAAUUGAAGGGAAGGAAAUUUUUAUUUGUGUUGGAUGACCUAUGGAAUGAGAAUAAUGAGGAUUUGAACUACCUUAGAGCUCUUUUUAUUACUUUAGGAACAAUGGGAAGUAAAGUCAUUGUAACAACACGGAGCAAAAAUGCAGCAUCUGUCAUGCAAAAUGUUCAUAUUCAAUACUUAGAACCAUUGUCGCAGGAGGACUGCUGGUUAUUACUUGCAAAACAUGCAUUUGGAAAUGUAAAGUGUAGUGCACAUUCAAACUUGGAAGAUAUUGGAAACCAAAUUGCACGCAAGUGCAAAGGGUUGCCUUUAGCUGCACAAACACUUGGGAGUUUGUUACGUUGCAAUAUGAAUUUCGAGUACUGGAAUAGAAUACUAAAUGAUAGUUUUUGGGACCACCCCUAUGAUAAAACUAACAUUCUUCCGGCUCUAGGGUUGAGUUACCAUUAUCUUCCUACUCAGUUGAAACGAUGCUUUGCUUAUUGUUCAAUUUUUCCAAAGGAUUAUGAGUUUGAAAAGGAAGAUAUAGUUCAAUUAUGGAUUGCAGAAGGUAUAAUUCCACAAGCUGAGAAUGGAAAUAGGAUGGAAGCAUUGGCUAGAAUAUACUUUGAUGAGCUGUUAUCACGAUCGUUGUUUCAAAAGUCAAGUAAAUUCAGCUUCAUUAUGCAUGAUCUCAUUAAUGACUUGGCUAUGUUCAUGUCUCAGGGGUUUUGCCUUAGGCUCGAAUAUGGGGUAUCCCAUGAAGUUAAAAGAGCUCGUCAUUUGUCAUAUGCUAGGGGAGCAUUUGAUGCUGCUCCAAGAUUUGAACCAUUAUAUGAGGCUAAAUGUUUGCGGACCUUCCUACCUACCUCUUUAAAUCCAUAUAGAUUUUAUGAAAGAUUUUUUGUAAGUAAAAAAGUUCUACAAGAUUUGUUGCCAUCACUAAGAUGUUUACGGGUGUUAUCAUUGUCACGUUAUCAAAAUGUUACUGUGUUACCUGAUUCUAUUGCAAACCUCAUUCACUUGCACUACUUGGAUCUUUCCCAUACCGCAAUUAAAAGGUUACCUGGGGUACUUUGCAAUCUCUUCAACUUGCAGACAUUACUAUUGUCAAAUUGUUCCUCACUCCAUGAAUUGCCUGCAGACAUUAGAAAAUUGAUUAAUUUACAGAAAUUGACAUUGGGCGGUUGUAGUUCUCUUAAUAAAUUGCCUGCAGGCAUGAAGGAGUUGACUAAUUUGCAUCAUCUUGAUGUCAGUGGAACUGAAAUAGUAGAGAUGCCGGUGCAAAUGGGUAGACUGAAAAAUUUGAGAACAUUGACUGCAUUUGUUGUGGGCAAAUCUACUGGGUCAGGCAUAAGAGAACUGAGCGAGUUCCCGCAACUUCAAGGAAAACUAUCAAUUUUGAAGCUACAAAAUGUAGUUGAUGCGAGGGAUGCACUGCACGCCAAUAUGAAGCUCAAGACAGAUCUCAAGGAGUUAGAGUUUUCAUGGGGUGCGCAGGAUGCUGAUGAUUCCCAAAAGGAGAAAGAUGUACUUGACAAGCUCCAGCCUUGCGUGAAUUUGGAGAAAUUAACCAUUGGAUUCUAUGGUGGAACCAAUUUUCCGAAUUGGUUAGGAGACUCGUCUUUUUCUAACAUACAAGUCAUGCAUCUCAGUGACUGUAGUUAUUGUUGGUCGCUCCCACCAGUUGGACGGCUGUCGGCACUCAAAGAGCUCUGUAUAAAAAGAAUGAAGUCUUUGAGGACGAUUGGCGUUGAAUUCUAUGGCAGAGAUGGAGCUUAUCUGACUCAGCCAUUUCGAUCUCUGGAGAAGCUAGAGUUUAUAGAGAUGCCGGAGUGGGAGGAAUGGGUACCAAGUGGAAGUGCAAGUGGUAGUGAAUAUGGUCCAGACUUUCCUCAUCUCCAGGAGCUGAUUCUAAACGAGUGUCCGAAGCUAAGAGGAAGUUUGCCUUGUGAGUUGCCUUGCUUGAAGAAGCUUACGGUGUAUGGGUGUAAGGUUUUACAUGAUGGAAGGGCCGCUACCGCAACUACCAAUAGUCUUAACUAUAAAUCUCUGGAAGAAUUGGAUAUAAGGGGUGGAUGCCAAACUCUGUUAUCAUUAUUAGAGACAAAGCUCCUGUCCCGACUUAAGAUUGAAAAUGUUGACGUACAGUGCUUGCCCAACUGCAAUCGUCUUCAACGUUUGACUCUUUUGAAUUGUCCAACGCUGUCGUCAUUCCCUAAAGAUGGCCUACCCACUACAUUGACAUCACUUACUAUACUCAAUUGUAGGAGAUUAGAAUUCCUACCUCAUGAGAUGUUGGCCAAAUUAACAUCGCUUGACUAUUUGGGCAUACAAAGUAGCUGUGAUUCAAUGAGGUCCUUACCGUUGGGCAUUUUUCCCAAAUUGACGACGCUUCAAAUUCUUGGUUGUGAGAAUCUGGAAUCUUUUUCCUUGAUUGAAGAAGAAGGAGCUGUUGAGAAUCUCAGCCAUCUCAAUUCCUUGCAAGUCAUUAACUGUCCAAAAAUGGUGUGUUUUCACGAGGGAGAAUUGCCCUUUCCCAACCUGAGUCACUUUGUAGUCAUUGACUGCGAGAAUUUGAAGUCAUUGCCCGAACGCCUUCACACCCUCACUGCCCUUCGAUCUUUGAAUAUAUGGAAUCUUCCGAAUCUGGAGUCAUUUGCAGAAGAUGGGGGUUUGCCUCCCAACCUCCGAUCUUUUAUCAUUAGGAAUUGUAAGAGACUGAGGGCACUUGACUCAGUGGGUUUGCAAGCACUUGUCUACCUUCAGAUCGAUGGAAGUGACCAUGUCUUGGAGACGUUGCUGCUCCCUACCACUCUUCACACUCUCUGCAUCUCUGAUCUAUCAACUCUGAAAUCUUUGGACGGAAAGGGUCUUGGACACCUCACUUCUCUUCAAACUCUAAAAAUUUACAGCUGUCCAAGUCUUCAAUGCCUGCCAGAAGAGGGUUUGCCGCCAUCUCUUUCUCAUCUGAGUAUCCGCUGUUGUCCUACCCUGGAGGAAAGGUAUAAGAAUAAAACGGGACAAGAUUGGGCAAAGAUAUCUCACAUUCCUUGCAUCGAGAUAGGGGAAGAAGUGAUCAUAUAAUAUGAGCUAUUCCAUAUUUCACGCUCAACCCUCAACUCUCAAAUCAAAGUCAGGUGAGGUAUGUGCCUUCUCUUACUUUAAAAAACUGCUUCUCUUCUUCUAAUUGAAUACAAAAACCAAAACACAUAUUCUCUUUCUCUUCCAAAAACCCAAAUACAUGUUGGACAUAGCCCAACGCUGUACUUUCAUAGGUACUGCAUGUAUAUUAUCUUAGUAUCAACAGGUGGUCUUAUGUGGACGAGAGAGAACAUUGAGGAAUUACAAAAUCUUCUUAGUGAAUUAAGCUUGCUUCAGCUCUGUUUGUCAUCCCUCUCAUUUUCUUUGUUAAGCCUUGGUUUUUUAUUAGGAGAUGAAUGCUUUUAUAUAUUGAUGUCGUAGUCAGUCUUCAACCACACUCCGUUUUUAGAAUUCGUUUAUGUUACUAGUGGAGUGCUGCUGUAUUUUAUAUUUCGUUCCUGUAAUGUUUGAUGUUUAGUUUGAGUAGUCUAGCUUAUCCAGUAGAUAACUCGUCCCCUGUUUUGUAAUGUUUUUGUUUCCUCUAAUGAAAGCAGGUUUUACUUAUCUUAAACUUUUAUUUUUAUUUUUAAAUAUCAGUAAUAACUGGGAAAGCUUGCAUCUCCUUAAAUUGCUCAUUCUUACAUCUUUUAUAGUUUGUCGAUCUUGGGCAAGUGGAGAGAGAGGCGUCAAGUGAUACACAACAACCAUUUUCUGUGAGCUAAUUUGAUAAUGAUAAAUGGUAUGCUUUCUUGUCUUAAGCUGUGUGUUCUGCAAUUAUUUAAAACAAAGAGUGCCGCGCUUCAAGUUCGAGGAAAACAGGUAUUUUAGGUUAGCUGUAUAAUUCGUGGUAAAUGCCUUUUUCUAAGGUUCAUUUAGACUCCUAUUACGAUUAAUUUGUUGUUUCUAAUUUGGACUUGUAGGAACAGACCAAAUAUGUUCACACGUGGCAUCGCUCAAGUCAUCAUCAUUUCCGACAGAAAAUCAGCCUUCAAGUGUCUGCUGAGUCAAUGAACCUUUCUAGAUAUAUCAAGUGCAAUGGAAAUUCAUGAGUUACAUAGAGAUUUGUAAACAUUUUGAAGAUUGCAACACCUGCAAGUGAGAUAGGUGGUGACGAAAUCAGAGCUGAUCUUGAAGCCUCUGAUGCCCCGGUUGUUGCAAGUUGCACCUGAGAACAUGUUUUUUUGGGGUAAAAAACUGGCAACAUGUUCGGAGCUGGCAAUUCAGUCAGUGAUGAAGUUGAGAAGCAAAGCUCCAGUAAGGAAAUUGGUCGAGGUCGCCACAGGGAU
rnacentral:lncRNA from 1 species